rnacentral:lncRNA from 1 species
CCGUUUCUGCCACAUAAUUUCAUUCAUUACAAAUAAAUGGAAAAUAAUUCAAAACUUAAACCAAAGCGUGGAGAAUACAUUAUUAAUUUGCUACAACAGAAAUACACCAACAAUAACAGCUAUUAACCUACUGAUUGAUUCCCAUAAUCGAUGGCUUAAGUCACUACAACUCAUUUUCAACUUGCUACAUGUAAAUCCUUAAACUUACACAAGAAAAGCAUUCGAAUUUUACAACAAACACUACACUAAGUGAAUUAAAACAUUAUGCAGUUGAGUCCAGCCCUUUUUUCUUCUUCAGGUUUUGCAAAUUUCAAGUGCAUGCCAAUUUAUAUGUCAAAUCAUGAGAUGGACACCUCUUCUGGCUUCGUUUCGACUACAAACACUCGAUCUAAAAUGAGGAAAAUAACUACAUUUUAAACUGUAGAACAAGUAACAAAUCUACUCAUGAAUAGCAUGAACAACUAUAGAAACAUGCUAGUUUUACACAUUGAAAGAGGGAGAGAGCAUUCCAGAUUCACUCAGACUCGCUAAACCAUCAUUGAAAAGCAGUUAUCGAUACAAAUGAAUGAUUAACUAUUGUGAGAAGCAUUCAUCUAUACCACAAAUAUUCAGAUCAUAAUAGGAAUUCAAUAAUAUUAUAGCACUUAACAGUCAUUUCAUUUUUCGAAGCUAAAAUCGAUACUUGGACAAAUAACGGGACAAACAAGAAAAUAAGUCGCUGAAUUUGAGAAGCACAACUAGAAAUGGGAUCAGCUUGACAAAAAUAGCAGCAAACAAACAAAAAAGGUAGCUCAACCAGAUUUGAACUCAGAACUUGGAAAACAACUGUGAGAUAAUGAAACAAACUAGGAAGCCUUUAGUUUUUUUUUUUGUUUCUGAAAUCCCGGAGUUGGUUUUUCAGAAGUUUUCUUUUCUAAAAACAUGAAAAUGAAGAACAAUGAACUCUCAGAAAUCGGUGUAAAAUCAGUAAAAAUUUGAACUUCAGAGGGUUUUUGUGUGUAAAAAUCUGUCUAUCCCCUAAAAUGAGUGUGUGAGUGAGCCUUAUACAGAGUGUGAGUGUGCUAAGGGAUAAGGAAAGGUAAAAUCCCUAAAAAUAGGGAAAAUAGCAUCUUUCUUUGACCAAUUUGUGUACAACUGUCCCUUUUUAUAAGAUAUUAUCUAUUUCAGCAUCUUUUCUUAACCAAUUGAGACAUGUGUCCCUAUUCUAGAAGCUUCUCUUAUUCUUAUCUGAAAUUCUCCCUAAUACUUUCCAAUUGGCCCCCUUAAGUUCUAUUUAUUACCCUUCUCACUCCCCAAACUUUUUUUUGUAUUGAACUUAAAAUCCCACAAUUUCAUAAACCAAACCUGCUAAAAAGGAAACUCUGUGGCAUUUAAAAUGACUACAAUGUGGAAUCAAAACAUCUACCAUUAACUAAGCGUGGGGCUACUCCAUAACAAACAGAAUUAUUACCAUCCCUUAAUCAUGCUAAUUAAUUAGCUUUAAACACAUACCUAGGUGAUUAAAGAAAUAGGAAUUGAUGAGUUUUCAAUUCUUAGCUCUAUGUUUUGAUGAUAUAACAAACUUAUUGUCAAGAACUAGAUAGGGAACCUGACACACUUGGUAACAUUGCUAAUCAACAAACUCUAGCUAAUGUGAACUGCUGCAACUGUAGAAGAUAUAGAACCAACAUAGAGACUUGAUCCCUUGUGUUUCCCUAACAGUAGUACGAAAGUCAAUUGUGUACAACUGAAAAGUGACUGCCACAGAAAAAGUGCACAUAGUGCAGCACCGUUCUGCAGUCACUUGUCCUUUGACCAACCAAGUGCUUACAUCAUUCAAGUGAUGUCAUCAAAGGUGUAUUGACAAGAGCAUUACAAUAAAACAUCACUUGAACACUUGAGAAUUCACAUCAUGCAUUCAAGCCUUCUGAGAUUCGUGUAUUCAAUUCUCAAGUACAUCAAGAACAAAGUUUAACACUACUACAGACCAUUUCCUAAAUCUAGUAUUUUAUUGUCCUUAGUUGAGUUGUAACUUUGUAAUAGUUCUUCAUUAUAAUUCCUAAUUUGUUUAGCUAGAAGCGUUGCUUAGGAACCCCUUUGUAAAACCAUAAACCCUUUGUGUUUGUGUCGUGACUAGAGUUAGACAUGAGUUGAAGUCUUUGUAAUAGGUGUAUUGCAAAGUGGCUUAUAAUAGGUGCAUUACGAGUUAGUAAGGGAUUAAGAGUUUAAUUCCUAGAUUGCAUAGGUUGGAAUCUAAAAGUUUCUCAUAGUGAAGUUGAAAUCCUACCAGUGUAGGUCGUGAUUUUUUUAUCCCCUUGAGCAGGGAUUUUUCCACGUAAAACUCCCAAUCUUAUUUACUUACUGUUUCAUUAAUGUUCUUAGUAGAAACUCAUAGAGGACCUGAUACUCUAUAGUUUGGUGGACUCACAUAAACUAUCAAGAAUGCAAAAACUAUAAAGAACUAUACUAUUCCGAUUAAUCCUAAAUCAAACAAAACAGAGAUACUAAGAAAAGAAAAGGUUCAGAACAGACAACAAUAGAAAGAAAACAUAAAGAAAUAAAAAAUAACAAAUAAAAAUAAAAACAAAACAAAGUGAAGGAAUGAUAGAUUGAUACUAUUGAAAAUGAACUAAUUUGAACAAUUACAUACGAAUUAACCUAAACUACUAACAUAUUAAUAUAGGGAAGAGAUACCUAAGUGCUCCAACGGAUUGUGAGAAGAAAAAGAAUUUCCGGCAAGCUAGAGAAAUUGCCACACUCAUACUGGCCGGAUUUCUCCAUGCGAGAAAGUGUUGGUAUGCGGCAAAUAUCUCCUAUUGUCCCGAUAAAAGAAGCGAGCCAAGGUGGGGAUGAACUAUGCGAUCCCGAGGAGCUUGACCAAGGUUUUGUGGCCAUGAAAUCAGCAAAAUCGUGCAAUUCUCAAUAAAAGUCGACUGGUGUAGGUUUCGAUCCCAAAUGAGCCAAAAUAAGGACAAAUCAAACAAAAGGAAAACUUUAGGGUUUAUGCGAUUUCUAGAUUUGGAAUUCAUGGAGUUUGGGCGAUUUUUUGGGAAAAUUAUUGAGGGAUUUGGACUAAGGGGAGGAUGGAGGUUGUAGGGUGUGAUUUUGGGGCUAUUUGGCAACGUGUCACCGCCGUGGGCGAUUUCCGGCAGCGGUUUAAGGCUAAGGGUGGGAGAGGGAGGCGAAGGGAUCUGGGCUGGUCUUUAGGGUUUGAAGGUAGCUGGGUUCAGAUACUAAUAACGGAUGAACGGUUAGUUCUCAACCGUUAGAUCAUAAUUGAUAAACGGAUGAGGUCGCUUGAGUGUACUGGUGGAGCUAGACCAGGUAGGAGGUUGGGCUAGGGCGAUUUUUGGUGAUUUGGGCUAUUGAAAUUAUUUUUUAGGCCCAAACUCUGAUGAAGACCUUAAUUCCUUUCCUUUUUUUCUUCUUUCCUUUUUCCUUGCUUUAAAAUCAUACUCAAAUUAAUAAAACCUAAAUUAAAUCCUAUUUUAUAUCUAAUUUGUAGAAUUUGAUUUAAUAAUCUAUUUCUACAUUAAAAUAAUUAAUUAAAUUAAACUAAUGAAAGGAAAUUACUCAUUUUAAAACUAAAAGCAAAAUAUGUAAAAAUGACCAUUAUUUUUGUGAUGUUUGUUUGAUAAUGCAAUUAACUCAUGUAAUUAAAUCUUAAAUGCAAUUGAGAUCUAAAAUGCUCUUCAUGAAAUAUUUUAGACAUUUUGGUAUUUUUCUUAUAAUUUUAAAACGUUAAAUAUGCAACUAAAUGCAAACAAUAAUUUGCAAAAAAAUCCUAAAAAUUCUAUAAAAAUUAAAAAUAAUUAGAAAAUCCUAUUUUUGUGAAUUUGUACGAGUAUUUUUAGUCAGGAAAAAAUCACGUACUCACAGCUACCCCUCUUUGCUCGGAAACACGAAGAGUUUUCUGCAAAGUUAAAGUGAGCAAAUACGAGCAAUUUUUGCCCGUUUGGAUACUCCACGUGAAGCGUUUUGCAAAAGUUUAACCGAACCUUGCUUCGGAGGUUUCCUACAUAUCCUUGGUUAUAAAGGAAUCAGGUCAUUGUAGUUCUGGAAGUUUUGGUAGUUAGGAUUACCGAGAAACUGUGAUUUCAUUGCUGUUGUCGAUGCUUCUGCUUGCUGAACUCCUUAUUACACCAAAAUCAAAAUGAAAAGAAACUAAGAAAGUCUAUCAGCUAUGAGUUACAACAUUCCUAUCUAUAGGUCUUUAGAAACUUGAUCUUGAUACUUUUACAGUUCUGUUAUACAUCUCGAUCUAUCGAUUCACAUUUUUGAGGCGAGCUUCUGCUAACUCUAACAUAAAUUGACCCUAUUCUUCAGGGGGAUCUUGUUGUUGUCUUGAACUUUAAGCUUAACUCUAAAAUGAAUUCACUCGUUCUUCAGGUGGGAGUCUGCCAACAACUUGAACUUGAAAUAAAUUCCCUCAUUCUCCAGGUGGGCAUCUGCCACUGAUUUAAAACUUGAAAUGAAUUCUCUCGUUCUCCAGGUGGGCGCCUACCGCAGACUUAAAAUUUGAAAUGAAUUCCCUUGUUCUCCAGGUGGGCGCCUGCCACUGACUUAAAACUUGAAAUGAAUUCCCUCAUUCUCCACGUGGGUGCCUGGCACUGACUUAAAACUUGAAAUGAAUUCCCUCAUUCUCCAGGUGAGUGCCUUCCACUGACUUAAAACUUGAAGUGAAUUCCCUCAUUCUCCAGGUGAGUGCCUUCCACUGACUUAAAACUUGAAGUGAAUUCCCUCGUUCUCCAGGUGGGCGCCUUCCGCUGACUUAAAACUUGAAAUAAAUUUCCUCGUUCUCUAGGUGGGCGCCUGCCGCUGACUUAAAAUUUGAAAUGAAUUCCCUCGUUCUCCAGGUGGGCGCCUGCCAAUAACUUAAACUCGAAAUGAUUCGCUCGUUCUCCAGGUGGGCGCCUGCCAAUGACUUGAAUUUAAAAUAGAUUCCCUCAUUCUCCAGGUGGGCGCCUGCCAAUAACUUGAACUUGAAAUAAAUUCCCUCAUUCUCCAGGUGGCUGCCUGCCAUUGACUUGAAUUUGAAAUGAGAUUACCUCGUUCUCCAAGUAGGCGCCUAUUACUAAUUUAAAACUGGAAAUGGAUCCCCUCGUUCUCCAGGUGGGAGCCUGCCAAUAACUUAAACUUGAAAUGAAUUCCCUCGUUCUCCAGGUGGGCUCCUGUAAACACAACAAAACAGACAAACAAUGAAAAUUUUCUGCCCCAGUUUGUACCAGGAACAUUUGAGAGUGUUAAAGAAUUCAAUUAUCCAGGAGGGUCCUAAAAAUUUAAAACUAGAUCCCAUUAUCCAGGAGGGUCCUGAAAGCUAUAUUUUAUUAUCCAGGGAGGUGCUGUAAACUUAAAACUAAAUCCCAUUAUCCAAGAGGGUCCUGAAAACUUGAUAUUAAAUCCCAUAAUCCAGGAAGACCCUAAAAGCUUAAAACUGAACUUAUCUGAAGCAUGCUUUACUCCUGGAGGAUUCCUGCAAAGCAAAUAAAAUUUCUUGCCCCUGUUUCAAAUAAAAGAAAAUCUUGUCACUUUGAAAAUGUGGUGGUUAGUUUGUGGCAUCUUUGCUGAAGUGUCUGCUUUUGCCAUUGCCAUGCUUCAUUCUGAUUAGCUCCUUCGGGCUAGCAAAGAAUUGUUUGACCUUCUGACUGAACCUCGACCACAAAACCUCUGAAUCCGAAUCCCUUACACUCAACUUGUUGUAUGACAUUUCUAUUCGGACAAUUGUUGAACCUUUGCAUUUCCUCAAAAUUCACGAAGGCACUUGACCUCCUGAACUUCAAUUAACACCUUAUUGCUCAUUAUGAAUCAUGCCACUUGUGAUGUGCUUUGGGCGAAUUUCACUUUGUGCAAUUAAAAAGUUGGUAAUAGGCUUUAAAAUCCUUUCUUGCUUAUUUAACAAGACUAACUUGAAAGAGACUUGGAAGAAAAAUAGACCCAAAAGAAGCAAAGUGAAGUGACUUCGAAAAUUGGGAAUAAAAGGAAAAUUUCGAACAAAAAUGACUAUUUAAAGAAGAAUGGAAAAGAGACUUAUCUGAGUGAAGCAGCUGAUUCCAAUGAUCAUGACAUGCAUUUCAGAUUGAUCAUCCCAGUCCAUCCAAUUAAUCACAUUUCAGUUCAUGCCAUGUCUUCAUACUUCAAAAAUAGGGAUUUCCAUAAACCAAUUUCUCAAUAAAGUCACGAACCUCAUUCGGCUUGUAGCACCCCGAAGGGUUUUCACCAGCAAACCUCUCUUAUUUGUUCAUCUCUCAGCUCACCGUUGCCUUACGAUGCCCGCGAGGAUUUUCACCAAUAAGACUCUCUCAUUUUAAAUUUCUCUUAUCUCUCCAUCGCCUUACGAUGCCCAUGAGAGUUUUCACCAAUAAAACUCUCUCAUUUUGUUCAUCUUUCCUUGUCCCCAUGAACAAAGUGUUACCCAUGAUGUGAAUCAUACAUCUAUCUCGCUUGACUUGGAAUUCCUCAAAAAAUAAUCGGAAGGUCUUUCUUUGGACCGUAGUGUAGGCUUUUGGACAUGGUUAGAAAGAAAGGGCGGCAUGCAAGCUCAAAUUAGCUUAAAAUGAAAGGGUUCAAAAUUACAACUUUUGGAAUCAGAUCUUUCACAAAACCAAAACUUCUGCCCCAGUUUCUUUGGAUCUAGGGACUUUUGGAUUUUUAUUUUGAGGGGGCCGAACCGUGUAAGGCUGCCUACGUAUCCUUAAAAAGAACCAGGUUGAACAUAGUUCAAGCUAAUAAAAGUUGUUUUGUUUUUGUUACUUUUUCUUUUGCUUUUCUUUUUUUUCUUCUUUUUCUUUUCUCUUUUCUUUCUUUUGUUUUUCUCUUUUUCUUCUUAUUUUUCUUUUCUUUUUCUCUUUUCUUUUUUUUUCUUUUCUAUUUCUAAACUCUACUUCUGAUUCCAAAAUAGGGGUAUGAAAGAAAAUAAAUAAGGCUCAAAGGGGUAACAAAGGAUAAAAGUAUUUGGAUAGCAGAAUAAAAUGCCUUCGUCAUUCCAAUCUUUGAAAUAUGCCAAAUACAAAUAACGCAAUUGAAGACAAACAAGGAAAUCAUACAUAAGAUCUCUUGACUACAUCAGAAUUGAUAGCCAUAUCUACAUAUUUGCCUUCUAUAUCUAUUAAAUACAAAGAAACAUUGGCCAACACUCUUGUCACAAUGAACGACCCCUGCCAGUUUGGGGCGAACUUGCCUUUAGCUUCAUUCUGAUAUGGAAGGAUGCGUUUCAAUACCAGCCAGCCCACUUCAAAUUCUCGAGGACGCACCUUCUUGUUGUAUGCUCUUGACAUUCUCUUCUGAUACAGUUGACCAUGACAUACUGCUGCUAAUCUUUUCUCAUCAAUUAGACUCAACUACUCCAGCCGAUUUUUAACCCACUCAUCAUCAUCAAUUUCAGCUUUCGCAACAAUCCGAAGGGACAAAAUCUCAACUUCCGUAGGUAUGACUGCCUCAGUUCCAUAUACCAACAAAUAAGGAGUUGCACCUACUGAAGUGUGAAAAAUAGUGCGGUAACCCAGUAAAGCAAAAGGCAACUUUUCAUGCCAUUGCCUAGAACCUUGCACCAUCUUUCGAAGUAUCUUCUUUAUGUUCUUGUUAGCAGCCUCAACAGCUCUGUUUGCCUUGGGAUGAUACAAAGUAGAAUUUUGAUGCAUAAUCUUGAACUGUAGGCAUACCGCUUUCGUCAAAUGACAGUCAAGAUUAGUAGCAUUGUCUGUGAUGAUUACUUUGGGAAUUCCGAAUUGCCAAAUGAUAUAUGAAUGAACAAAAUCUACCAUUGCCUUCUUGGUUAUAGAUUUGAAAGUUACAGCCUCGACCCACUUAGUAAAGUAAUCAAUGGCCACCAGAAUAAACCUGUGUCCGUUUGAUGUCACCGGCUCAAUUGGUACAAUGACAUCCAUGCCCCAAGCAACAAAGAGCCAAGAUGCUGAUAGUGUGUGCAACUCAGAUGGCGAAGCAUGAAUCAAAUCACCAUGCACCUGGCAUUGAUGACACUUGCGAACAAAGCUGAUGCAAUCUUGUUCCAUGGUGAGCCAAUAAUAACCUGCUCGAAGAAUCUUCUUUGUCAAGACAUACCCGCUCAUAUGCGGCCCGCAAACUCCGGAAUGUACUUCGACCAUGAUAAUCAUAGCUUUUUUAGCAUCUAUGCACCUUAUUAGUCCUAGAUCUGGAGUCCUCUUGUAAAAGAUUCCCCCACUCAAGAAAACUCCACUAGCCAGACGUCGAAUGGUUCUCUUUUGAUCACUUGUGGCAUUUACCGGAUAUACCCCCGACUUGAUGUAUUCCUUGAUAUCAUAGAACCAAGGUUCACCAUCAAGUUCCUCUUCAACCAUAUUACAAUAAGCAUGUUGAUCACGAACAUGAAUAUUUAGAGGGUCGACGCAAGUCUUAUCUGGAUGGUGCCACAUUGAUGCUAGAGUAGCUAGGGCGUCGACAACCUCAUUAUGAAUCUGGGGAAUAUGCCUAAAUUCUACUGACCUGAAUCGGUGACAAAGACAUGCAAACAUUGUCGAUACGGUAUGAGCUUCAAAUAUCGAGUCUCCUAUUCUCCCUGAAUCCGGUGAACCAACAAAUUUGAAUCUCCCAAAACAAAUAUUUCCUAAACUCCCAUGUCUAUAGCUAGCCUCAAACCCAGAAUGCAUGCCUCGUACUCAACCAUGUUGUUGGUGCAAUAAAAUCGAAGUUGAGCUGUUACGAGGUAGUGAUACCCUAUUUCAUAAAUGAGUACAAUGCCUGUCACGCCCCCUUUUUCCCUCUGCGAAGAGGAGUCUGGGUUUCGACAUUCAUUGGGGUAAUAACUCAUUUCCUUUUGGAAAUUGGGUAUUUUGAAGAGUCGCCACCUAACGGAUUAUGUUGCGUUAGGGCACCCACAACGGUUAACUCUUGGAUUGGUUUGCAUUACCAGAGAUUUAGGGUAAGGGCUCAAAAUAACAUUGAGGGGAAUGUGUUAGGCACCCCUCUCGAUCCACAACUGUGGGUCCCAGCCGAACUUAUACUUGUGAAUUUAUCCUUUAAAAAAUAAGUUGUUGAAACAAAUAAUUGUAAAUAGAGCAUGUUGGACAUUAUAUGACUCAAAUAAUAAGAUAAGGGAUUUGAGAAAGUUGUAUACAUAAAGGAAAGUUUUAAACAUAAGGAAUUAGGGAAAGAAGGGGUCCUAGGUUGGUUAGCAUAUAGGAUCACCCCACACAAUGUCCAGUAAACACUCCUCAAUGAAGGGCUAAACGUGACAUUAGCGUGUAGUCAUCAUAUUCAUAUCUACCCAUUCCCCACCCCUUAGUGGUAACUAAAGCGAGUGUUGGUUAGCGAUCUCUAUUGUGUACUGUUACCCGUCCCUUCUUAAUGGUACCUAUAGGUAGUUCUAGACCUACCCCUAAGGUUUAAAGGAAAAAUAUUAAGGUUACAAGAAAUAACACAUAGGACUCUUAGUAAAUAAGAACAUGAAGGAGCAAAUAAGAGGCUCAAUUUACCUCCACAGAUAAGGCAUGUAAACAACACGACUCAAACACAGAUAAGGGCAAUAGUAUCCUAAGACAUGACGUCUAGGUGAGUAUCAGAACACAGUAGAUAUGCAGGUUUAUUUUAUAACUCAGAAGCAGGGCCCUAAUCAGUUUGCCUACUGAUUUAAAGCAUGUUAAUCAUUAAGCAGUACACACAAAGGACAGUUUCCAGUUUUAUAAGAAAUUGGAUUACCUAAGGCUUGCCUAGGCGUAGGAUAAUGCACAAUUGUUACCAUAACCAUUAGAACAAUGAAGGAGUUAUUUUACCUAAAAGCAUACUAUCUAAGUGUUAUAAAAUAUAGGGAUUAUUACCAGUUUAUUUUAAACAGGAUAAUCAAAUGCGAAGCUAUUUUUACAUCUUCCAUAAUCAGUAGUUUACACUAGGUGUGACCGAGCAAGUACGAAUGAGAUCCUAAAGCAUGAUAUCUAAGAUGUAUGUAUAAAGUUCAUAAUGGUUUAUAUGCAGAAUUCCUAAAGCAAGAUUUCUAAAUGCACAGCUGGUUAGAGCAUGAUUUCAAAACGCAUAGGGGACAAUUUAUCUUUAAUGUCGUUUAUCCUAGAAAUAGGAUUUCUAAGUGAUAAUAGAGAUGUCAAAAUGAGAUGCUGAAAGCAGUAGACAUGGAUCCUAAGAGCAUGGUUUCUAAUACAUGAUAUGCUUUGCAUAUAUUGGUCCUAGUUCUAAUGCAGAUACAGGAGAAUAUAAACCUAAAGCAUGUUUUCUACCCAUUGAUAUUGAUAACAUGUAUAACUACGCUCCCAUUUUCACUAUCCAACCCCCAUGUUCGUUUACAAAUUAUUACAUGCCAAUAUCGAAUGAAUUACAUAAGUAGAUAAGAAAAAUAAGAAGUUACUCUAUAGGGAGCCUACCAAUAGGCCCAAAUUUCCAAAAUUUCCAAUGCCAGAUUACCUCACAACCUUUCACAUAAUCCAGCUGUGUUAGAGUUCCCUAAGGACCUCAAGGGAUCCCGGGCUGUGCUCACACCCAUAUUUCAUAAUCAUAGCUGAGUAAGUGCAGUGUGGAAGGGCCAACUCUAAUGUAUCAGAGUUCAGAGGGAUCUCAUAGGGAUCCCUAAGCAAUCACACAUUAGAGGGGAAGAACUUAAAACCUAAGAGUAGAUUUGAGAGUGCUUGAAAAGAUUUAAGCAGGGAAACAGUUUGAAAAGGGACUCGUUUGAAAUAGUUUUGUAAAAGACAAUAGAGAUAAUUUUGAAAAGAGAGUGGAGUAGUAAACAACAGUCCAAACACAGCACCCCCAAAACAGGUUCAUACACAGCCAGAGAUCAUAGAACCAAGGCAGAUUCAGCAACCACAAACAGGGGUGUCAAGGGAUUUGGGGACACAUAGGUCAUGUAGUUAAACACAUAGUUACAAGAGCAUAGCAAUCGUUGUGAGGGUUUAUAGGAUUAGGGGAUAGCUAGUGCUAUCAACACAAUAUGGAUUAUAGAAACAAUCAUAGAAUGAGACAUCUAAAGUGACAAAUCAAUUUGCAAAGUAAGUGCAUAUCAAAACUGGACAACAAGUAGACAAGUAUUCAAAGCAGGAUAGAGUCAUAUUGAAACAGACUACCAGGGGAGUAGAACUAUCAUGCUAAAUGAAGCCAUAAUGUGAACAUGUCAAUUACACAUUGAACAACCGAACCAUAGAUAGAAACAAAUCAAAAACAUGAUAAGCUGAAGCAGUAAAUGAAACAUAUUGGUUUUGGAACUUGAAUUGAAAUUAGGACAUACUAGAAAAGAGACAAUAAACACAAAGUGAAGAAUAAGAGAGCAUAAUAGUUAGCCUUGGCUUGUUGCCGACUAACUUAGAAUAGUAGUAAGUAAUCACAGAAAGAGAGCAGAGAGUUUUGAGUAUGUGAGAGAGUGUUUUGAACCACUGUGUUCGUGUGUUGUGUUAAUAAAAGAAUAGGGUACUUAUAGUUUGAAAACAAGUAGAAAAUAAGGCAAAAAUCAUAGUUCAGCAAUAAUUAUAGAACUAUGUACUAAUUAGAAUCAAAUCAAUGUAAGUACUUCCCCUUAAUUAAGGAGUUAAAUAACAAAUAAGGAAAGAAAUCAAUGUACGACCAAUAAGGACAAACUUCAAAUACAGUAGGUAUAAGGUAAACAAUUAGGGCUAGGUUCAUAAGGUUCUAAUUAAUAGCAUAAGAAUCAAUUAACAACAUAGUCAAUCACGUAAUAAGGCAAGAAAAUAUUUAAAGAUUGAAAUCAACAGGGAAUAAAGUAUACCAAUCACAGGGAAUCAGGGAUUCUAUUAGAAGGUAACAUUGACCAAAGUAAAGUAUCACAACUGAAGGAAGCAAACAUGACACAAAUAAGCAUAGGUAAAAGAAUCACAUGAAUCCUGGGUUCAAAGGAAAGGAUGGUACUGAUGAGAGGAAAUAACCACAAAUUUUCCUGGAAUAAACACAUAGUAGGCAGGAAUAGUCGAAGUCAAAAACCGAACAAGAAAACAUAGGUUAAAGAUCUCAGAAUCACGGAAUGUUAAUGAGAAACAUACAGAUUAGUUGAACAUAUUACCAAAAAACAAACUCAGAAACCUAAGAUUAAAACUAAGAAAUUAUUUCAACAUAAUGAAUCAGAUAUAAGAAAAACUUAAAUAAAUCGUUUAAACAUAGUAAAAAAUCAUAGAAUAAUACUAAAAAUCAGAGGAAAAGUCAUUUUAAAAAAAAGGGGUUAAUAAACCCUAGUUUUGAAGACGACGAGGUGUUUUGAAAAAUUGGAGAGUUUAUCAUGGAAAACAGCAAGAAUAACUCAAAAUAUACUCAGAUCUAUGGUAGAUCCGAAGAGUCAAGAGAUGAGUUAGGGUUUUAGAGAGAUAUAACCCAGAGAUGGAGAGAUUCUGACUUAGAAGCCGUAGAUCUAGCCGAAAAAUAGAAAGAUCUUACUCAGACAGGCCAAGGUAGUCUGAGAACGGUGAGCACGGACCAUAUAUGUGAGUUGAACAAACACCGGUCCCUUGAUGACCUUCGAGAUGACAAGAAUCAGGCGUGGGGGGGGGGGGGGGACCGAUGGAGGCUAGGGGUGCUGGUGGAACCACCAUUGAUACCAGCGAGCUAAUGGCCGGCGAGUGGGAGCCGUGGUUAUGCAGAGAGCUUGAAAGAGAAUGAGAGAGUGUAAUGGUGGAGUGAAUGGAGGAAAAUGAGGGUUUGGGGGGUAGUCUAUUAGGUUAAAUUAGGAAGGAAUUACCCUGGACCGUUGAUAAAAAAUGAUCAAUGGCCAGGAUCUGGGCGGACUUGGGUCGGGUAGAAUUUAUGUUUGGGCCUGGGGUAUUGGGCUGAUUUAAUUGGGUUAAAAUUGAAAUAAAAUCUAUUUGUUAAAUACCCAAUUAAAUUAAAUAAAAUAAUUUAUAAAAAUAGCUGAUAAUUGUACAAAAUGAAUUUUAUGCAUAGAAAAUAGUUUAAAAGAUUACUUGGUAUUCAAAAAUAUAAAUGAUUAAUUUCCGGUCAAAAAUAGUAUAAAAUCAUAUGAUUGGGCUAUAAUUGUAAAGUUAUUGCAAUUAUAGCCAAAAGAUGCCAAUUUGGCCAAUUAUGAAAUAAUUUGAUUCAAAUAAGACCAUAAAUAAUAAGUUAAAUCAAGAGAUGCUUCUAAAAUCAUUUAUAAUGCCAUUUUGCAAUUAUUUAUUUGAAACAAAAUGCUGGAUAAAUUAAUAAAAAUAUACAGAAAAUUGUGGAAAAAUACCAAUUGCUAUUAAUGCAUGAUGUUAAAGGUAUAUAUGCAAUUUUAAAAUAUUUUGGGGAAAAAUUGGGUAUCAACAGUUGCCCCUCUUUACCUGGGAAGGAUGAAAGAGUUUUCGGGUAAAAAAAUGAUGGCCAAUUUUGACCGAACGAAACAGUUUGAGAGAUUAGGCCGCACUCCGGCUUCUGAGCUGCCUACAUAUCCCUGGUAUUAUAGGAGUCAGGCCAUGCGUAGUUUCGGAUUCGUCGGCGAAGUGUACUGAUAAAGUCAUUUCAAGAACGGACGCAACAUCUAAGGUUAGGUGAGUGAACAAUUUAUGGGAAUGUUAGGUUUGAUAUGGCUGAGAGAACUAGAGCGGGAUCGCUCCUGUUGGGAUAGCCGUUGCUUGCCGGGUUACCUGCAAAUAGAAGCAAUACAAACGUAUACUAUGCAUAAAUUUAAAUAUGAUGCAGGUUCCCGUUGGACUAUGAAAGUUGUCUUCAGAUGGUUAGGGAUGUCGUCCUUAGACCAUGAUGUCAUGGUCCAUGAAUUGUUUGAUGAGUGAUUCGCAGGCCAUGAAAUGAUGUUCCCGGGCCAUAAAAAUGGUGCCUCCGAACCAUGACGCCUUUGAAGAAUGAUAUGCAAAUUUGAGAUAUCCUCAGGCCAUGGCAUGGUUUCUUCUGGCUAUGAGGAUGAUGCCUUUAGACUAUGACGCCUUUGGAUAGUUUGGCGAUAUUUCAUCCCAUGAUAUGCAAUGAUAUGAUAUUGACAAGACAAAGCUUAGUCUUGCGAAAUGGAGGGCAGACCUUAGCCCAAUUGGAAAGCAAAUAGAUAGUGCUAGAAAUAGAGCAAUAUUUGUGCCAAGGGGGACGGUGCUUAGUCCCAUGCGAAUGGGGAAGCAGGGAUUAGCCUCAUGUAGUUAUGGAGGCAAGGAUUAGCCUCAUGCAAGUAUGGAGGCAAGGAUUAGCCUCAUGCAAAUAUGGAGGCAGAGAUUAGCCUCAUGCAGGUAUGCAGGCAGGGAUUAGCCUCAUGCAGGUAUGGAGGCAAGGAUUAGACUCAUGUAAGUAUGGAGUCAAGGAUUAGCCUCAUGCAAAUAGGGAGUCAAGGAUUAGACUCAUGCAAGUAUGGAGACAGGGAUUAGCCUUAUGUAGGAUGGAGGCAAGGACUAGCCUCAUGCAGGAUGGAGUCAAGGAUCAGACUCAUGCAAAUAGGGGGGCAGGGAUUAGCCUCAUGCAGGUAUGAAGUCAAGGAUUGGACUCAUGAAAAUAGGGAGGCUAGGAUUAGCCUCAUGCAAAUAUGGAGGCAAGGAUUAGCCUUAUGCAGGUAUGGAGGCAGGGAUUAGCCUCAUGCAGGUAUGGAGGCAGGGAUUGGCCUCAUGCAGGUAUGGAGGCAAGGAUUAGCCUUAUGCAAGUAGGGAGGCAAGGAUUAGCCUCAUUCAAGUAUGGAGGCAGGGAUAGCCUCAUGCAGGUAUGGAGGCAGGGAUUAGCCUCAUGCAGGAUAGAGUCAGGGAUUAGACUCAUGCAAAUAGGGGGGGCAGGGAUUAGCCUCAUAUAGGUAUGGAGUCAAGGAUUAGNNNNNNNNNNNNNNNNNNNNNNNNNNNNNNNNNNNNNNNNNNNNNNNNNNNNNNNNNNNNNNNNNNNNNNNNNNNNNNNNNNNNNNNNNNNNNNNNNNNNNNNNNNNNNNNNNNNNNNNNNNNNNNNNNNNNNNNNNNNNNNNNNNNNNNNNNNNNNNNNNNNNNNNNNNNNNNNNNNNNNNNNNNNNNNNNNNNNNNNNNNNNNNNNNNNNNNNNNNNNNNNNNNNNNNNNNNNNNNNNNNNNNNNNNNNNNNNNNNNNNNNNNNNNNNNNNNNNNNNNNNNNNNNNNNNNNNNNNNNNNNNNNNNNNNNNNNNNNNNNNNNNNNNNNNNNNNNNNNNNNNNNNNNNNNNNNNNNNNNNNNNNNNNNNNNNNNNNNNNNNNNNNNNNNNNNNNNNNNNNNNNNNNNNNNNNNNNNNNNNNNNNNNNNNNNNNNNNNNNNNNNNNNNNNNNNNNNNNNNNNNNNNNNNNNNNNNNNNNNNNNNNNNNNNNNNNNNNNNNNNNNNNNNNNNNNNNNNNNNNNNNNNNNNNNNNNNNNNNNNNNNNNNNNNNNNNNNNNNNNNNNNNNNNNNNNNNNNNNNNNNNNNNNNNNNNNNNNNNNNNNNNNNNNNNNNNNNNNNNNNNNNNNNNNNNNNNNNNNNNNNNNNNNNNNNNNNNNNNNNNNNNNNNNNNNNNNNNNNNNNNNNNNNNNNNNNNNNNNNNNNNNNNNNNNNNNNNNNNNNNNNNNNNNNNNNNNNNNNNNNNNNNNNNNNNNNNNNNNNNNNNNNNNNNNNNNNNNNNNNNNNNNNNNNNNNNNNNNNNNNNNNNNNNNNNNNNNNNNNNNNNNNNNNNNNNNNNNNNNNNNNNNNNNNNNNNNNNNNNNNNNNNNNNNNNNNNNNNNNNNNNNNNNNNNNNNNNNNNNNNNNNNNNNNNNNNNNNNNNNNNNNNNNNNNNNNNNNNNNNNNNNNNNNNNNNNNNNNNNNNNNNNNNNNNNNNNNNNNNNNNNNNNNNNNNNNNNNNNNNNNNNNNNNNNNNNNNNNNNNNNNNNNNNNNNNNNNNNNNNNNNNNNNNNNNNNNNNNNNNNNNNNNNNNNNNNNNNNNNNNNNNNNNNNNNNNNNNNNNNNNNNNNNNNNNNNNNNNNNNNNNNNNNNNNNNNNNNNNNNNNNNNNNNNNNNNNNNNNNNNNNNNNNNNNNNNNNNNNNNNNNNNNNNNNNNNNNNNNNNNNNNNNNNNNNNNNNNNNNNNNNNNNNNNNNNNNNNNNNNNNNNNNNNNNNNNNNNNNNNNNNNNNNNNNNNNNNNNNNNNNNNNNNNNNNNNNNNNNNNNNNNNNNNNNNNNNNNNNNNNNNNNNNNNNNNNNNNNNNNNNNNNNNNNNNNNNNNNNNNNNNNNNNNNNNNNNNNNNNNNGGGAAUCCGAUCAAGCGUAGUUCAAUUACAUUAGAAAAGAAAUGUAAAAUAAUCUGGGCAUAGUAUCUCUUGACUGUGUCUAAACUAAUCGGUUUUGGCCAGACUUCUCCAUCCAUUUCUGCAAGUAUGAGUGCUCCUCCUGUUAGUGCCAUGUGAACCAUGUACGGACCUUGCCAGUUGAGAGAGAAUUUCCCUUUGGCUUCAUCUUGAUGCGGGAAGAUUUUCUUCAAUACCAACUACCCUGGUGCGAACUGUCUUGGUUUGAAUCUUUUGUUGAAAGCUCUAGACAUUCUGUUCUGGUAAAGUUGUCCAUGACAUACUAUGUUCAUCCUCUUUCCAUCAAUAAGGGUCAAUUGAUCGUAGCGACUUCUUAUCCACUCUGCAUCGCUGAGUUCAGCUUCCUAUAUGAUACUUAAAGAAGAAAUCUCCACCUCGGCUAGGAUGACAGCCUUGGUACCACAAACCAGCAUGUAGGAAGUUGCCCUAGUUGAUGUGCAGACCGUGGUGCGGUACCCCAAUAGAGCAAAUGGUAACUUCUCAUGCCAUUGUUUGUGGUUGUCUACCAUUUUCCUUAGUAUCUUCUUAGUGUUUUUGUUGGCGGCUUCUACGGCUCCAUUCAUUUGAGGUCUGUAGGCUGUGGAAUUCUUGUGCUUGAUUUUGAAAGUUUCACACAUGGCCUUCAUCAAAUCACUAUUGAGAUUGGCGGCGUUAUCAGUAAUAAUGGACUCGGGAACUCCUAAUCGGCAAAUAAUUCAAUCCUUGACAAAAUAUGCGACGAUUUUCUUGGUUAUGGCUUUUUAAGAUGUAGCCUCUACCCAUUUUGUGAAGUAAUCAAUGGCUGCCAGAAUAAACAUGUGUCCAUUUGAAGCAGUGGGCUAAAUUGGAUCAAUAACAUUCAUUCCCCAAGCGGCGAAUGGCCAAGGUGAGCUCGUUGCAUUGAGCUCAUUUGGCAGCACUUUAUCAUAUCGGCAUGCACUUGACAUUGAAAGUAUUUGCGGACAUACUUAAUAUAAUCCAUCUCCAUGGUCAUCCAAAAGUAACCUGCCCUGAGUAUUUUCUUAGCCAAGACAAAACCAUUCAUGUGUGGGCCACAUGUCCCAGCAUGCACAUCUUCAAGUAGCUUAGAAGCUUCCUUUGUGUCAACACAUCUUAGUAAACCCAAAUCAAGAGUUUUUCUAUACAAGUUCCCUCUGCUAUGGAAGAAGUGAUUAGACAAUCUCCGGAGUGUGCGUUCUGAGUGUGAUUUGCAUGCUUCGGGUAUUCCCCUUUUAAUAAGUACUUUUUGAUGUCAUGAAACCAAGGCUUUCCAUCUGCUUCUUCCUCGAUAUGAGCACAAUAUGCCGGAUGAUUAUGGAUCUUCACCGGAAUGGGGUCAAUGUAAUUCUUAUCUGGAUGUUGUAUCAUAGAUGACAAGGUGGCCAAUGCAUCGGCAAACUCAUUCUGAAUUCUGGGCACAUAUCUAAAUUCUAUCUUCAUGAACCUUUUUAUCAAUUCCUGCACAUGAUGCAAAUAUGGAAAUAUCUUGGAAUUCUUGGCGGCCCACUCUCCUUGUACCUGGUGCACAAGACAAUCUGAGUCACCGAUCACUAGCAACUCCUGAAUGUUCAUGUCGACUGCCAUAUUGAGUCCUAGUAUGUAGGCUUCAUACUCUGCCAUGUUGUUGAUGUAGGGAAAUUUGAGUUUAGCAGAUACCGGAUAAUGCUGACCCGUUUCUGAUACCAAAACUGCUCCAAUGCCUUCUCCUUUAAAAUUAGCGGCUCUAUCAGAGAACAUCCUCCAACCAUCAUAUGCUUCGGUAAUAUCUUCCCCUACAAAUGACACUUCUUUAUCAGGAAAAUAUGUCUUUAAAGGUUUGUAUGCUCCUCCCACCGGAUUUUCAGCGAGGUGAUCUAACAAUGCUUGUCCUUUGACCGCCUUUUGAGUUAUGUAGACGAUAUCGAACUCACUUAGUAAUAUUUGCCAUUUAGCCAACUUCCCAGUCGGCAUGGGUUUAUAAAAUAUGUACUUAAAAGGGUCCAUCCUAGAUACAAGGCAUAUUGUAUAGGCACAGAAGUAAUGGCUUGACUUCUGGGCCGUCCAGGUCAAAGCACAGAAAGUGCGUUCAAGUAGAGAAUACUGUGCUUUAUAAGGUGUGAACUUCUUACUCAAGUAGUAUAUGACAUGCUCCUUUCUUUCUGUCUUGUCAUGUUGUCCCAAAACACAACCGAAGGCUCCAUAUAAUACAGAUAGAUAAAAUAGCAAAGGUCGUCCUUCUUCUGGAGGGACCAGAACUGGUGGUGUGGACAGGUACUCCUUGAUUUUAUUAAAAGCUUUCUGACAAUCCUCAGUCCAGCUUGCUUCAACAUCUUUCCUCAGCAUCUUGAAGAUAGACACAUAUGACUGUGGACUGUGCUAUGAAGUGGCUAAUGUAGUUGAGACGUCCUAAGAAGCUCAUCACGUCCUUUUUGCUGUUAGUUGGCGGUAACUCCUGAAUUGCCUUGAUUUCAGGUGUAUCCAACUCAAUCCCUCGACGACUGACAAUGAAUCCCAAUAAUUUUCCUGUAGGAACCCCGAAUGCAUACUUUAUGGGGUUCAAUUUCAAAUUGUACCUGCUUAGUCUGUCAUAGAACUUCCUCAAGUCUGCUAUGUGAUCUGCGGACCUCUUGAAUUUGAUCAUAACAUCGUCCACAUACACCUCUAUUUUUUUAUGUAUCAUAUCAUGGAAGAUGGUUGUCAUGGCUCUCAUGUAAGUGGCCCCAUCGUUCUUCAAACCGAAUGGCAUCAUCUUGUAAUAUUAUACACCCCAUGGUGUAAUAAAAGCUAUCUUCUCUGCAUCUUCUUCAUCUAUCCAAAUCUGGUGAUAACCCGUGAAGCAAUACAAAGGAUUGGAGUUCAUGCUUGACACAAUUAUCGAUCAAGAUGUGUAUAUUUGGCAGUGGAAGGUCGUCUUUGGGACUUGCUCUAUUUAAAUCCCGGUAGUCAACACAUACUCUGACCAUCCCAUCCUUCUUCGGAACUGGAACAAUGUUAGCUAACCAGGUUGGGUACUCAACUACCCUGAGAACUUUGACUUUAAUCUACUUGGUAACUUUCUCCUUGAUUUUCAAACUCAUAUCUGGUUUGAAUUUUCUGAGUUUCUGCUUGAUUGGUGGACACAUGGGAUUAGUAGGCAACUUGUAAGCCACUAUAGAUGUGCUCAAACCGGUCAUAUCGUCAUAUGACCAUGCAAAAAUAUCCUCAUACUCUCUUAGUAACCGAAUGUACUCUUCCUUCUUUGCCGGUGACAAGUAAAUGUUGAUGCGAGUCUCCUUGACGGUCACGGUGUCUCCCAAAUUUACUGUUUCUCUUUCGUCCAGGUUGGACUUAGGCUUGUUGAUAACUAGGGAAUAUGAUGCAUUUUACACUCCUUCCUGCUUUAGUUUUGAUUAGAAAGGUGUACAAAAUAGUCCCAAAGGCUCACAAGUUGUGCUUGAUUGUAGGUUUGAUCAAUAAGGUGACAAGGUGUCAAAAACCAGCUCAAAAAGGAGUGAAACUUGCACAAGUACCAAGACAAGACAAAGCUCAGUCAAAAUAGUGCCAGUGCGGCCGCACAUCAUUCUGUGCGGUCCACAAAAGUGAAGUUCAGAGAGGUUGCUUUUCAGGCCAUAAGGCAAUGUGGCCGCAAAAGGGUUUUGUGCGGUCCACAUUAGGUUUACCAUGACCGCACUCGAUUUCUUGCGGUCUGCAGUGCCAAUGUUCAGAGAGGUGGCAAUCCCAAUGCGGUCCGCGGUCCAUUUCAUGCGGACCACACUAGAAGCCACCGCGACUGCACUCGAUUUUGUGCGGUCAGCAUUGCCCAAGUUCAGAGAGCAAAUUAUUGGAGCCUAAAGCCUUAGUGUGGCCGCACUCAAUUUUAUGCGGUCCACACUAGCCUUGCAGGGGUAUUUUUGUCCAGAGUUUUCAGCUUAGUAUAAAUAGCUUCUUUUCCCAUUUUUAGUUCAUUGGAUAGUUUUGUACUCAGAGCUGCGCUCGUGACUUCAUUUCUUUUACCUAAUUUGAGUAAUUUUAGCUUAAUUUCAACAUUGAAUCUUCCAGUUUAAUUUAGCAAUUAAUUAUUAUGAGCUUUUCUUUAUCUAUUGCCUUAUUUUCUUCUCUAAUUAUGAGUAGCUAAACCCAUAAGCUAGGGUUGUGGCUCAACCCUAGUGUGGGUAAUUGAUGGGUCUUGUGUUUUAGGACUUGAUUGACUAUGAGUGUUUGAUAUUUGGACUAAUUUCAUGUUUAAUUGUUGAAUUAGUGAUUGCAAACACUAGUUAUUGUUUAUUUAACUUUGGCUCUUCUUGAGAAAAAGAGCCUAAGUCUCUGAAAUUGGUCCAACAAAGACUUGGGGCGUACUCAAGAGAUUGAUAGCCCCAAUUAAAGGGUUAAACCUAGAGAUAGUAAUACCCGACUUGAACCUCAAUUGCUUGCACAAAUUUGCAUACCCAAUUGGACUUGAGAAAGUCAAUUAGGGCAAAAUUACUUGAACCACCGAGAGGUGUAGAAUGAGUAGAAUCGUGCAAUGGCUAUAUCAUACUCCCCAAAUAUGAUAAUCUAGCCUUAGACUCAAGAAUCCGUUAAUUAACCACCUAGAAGAAAGUCACUACCCUAGUGCCUUUUAUCUAUUUUAUCAAUUCUCAAUAGACUAAUCUUAGCUUUAUUUAGCAUAAUUUAGCAUCGUAGUAUUAUAUAAUUAGAUGUAAAAUCAAAACUCAAAAAUGUUUAGAAGUGUAAUUUAGAACAAAUACACAACUCCACUUUAGAUAGACACUCAACACAUACAUCUCCCUCCCUGUGGAAAUCGAUCCCGACCUCAUCGGGUAAAAGCUGCUUCGACCUCUCUCGCUACUCAAUAGUAGUGCAGGGUUGGCCUCGAUCACUUUUUGGCGUCGUUGCCGGGGAGCUAAUGGUUUUGGCUAUCUAUCUAUCUAGUUUUGUGUAUUGUUCUUAUUUCUUUCUUUGUUACUAAUUUGUGUGUGUCACAACUUCAAGUACCAAAUGGCAGCAAACAACGCCAAUGACCCUCUUGAAAAUGUGAUUGCGGGGGAGGAGGUAGAUGAUGUCAAAGAUGAUGAGGUGCCUAUUGUACCUCAAGGACAAUGUAAAGGCCACCAGGCCAAUGUUAAUUCCAAUGACAAUAUUCCAGACCCUCCUUCGCCACCUCCAAGAGUGGCUCCUUGAUUGCUUCCGAACCAAGGCUAUGCAAGUGCUAUUGUCUAACCCCGAAUCUGGGAGGGCAAUUUUUAAAUAACCAAUGUGAUACUGACAUUGCUGGAGUAGCAUGGGUAUUUCACGAGCGCUGCCAAUCAAAAUGCUUACAAACAUCUCAAAAGGUUUGUGGAUACCUGUUGGGGGAGCAAGCAAACUAAUGUGUCCGAAGAUGCACUACGGUUGAGACUCUUCCCAUUCUCACUUAGAGGGAAGGAAUUGGAUUGGCUUGAGCGAAUUCCCAAACAUUCCAUCACUACUUAAGAUGAGUUGGCGGACAAGUUCAUUGCAAUUUUUUUCUCACCGGGGCAUAUGGCUACAUUGAGAGAUGAGAUCUUGGCUUUCAAAUUGGAUCCAACCGAACCUUUGCAUGAGAUUUGGGAGCGCUAUAGAACAAUGGUGAAGGAAUGCCCCAACAAUAAUAUGACCGAGGCUAUGAUCCAACAGACUUUCUACCGGGGCAUUAAUACAACAAACCAAUUCAUAGUGAACCAACUUGCUGGGGGCAACUUCAUGAAGUUGUCUUAUGAUGAGGCUUAUGACAUUCUUGACGAGAUGGCUGACACUUCUUCUGCUUGGCAAAGUAGAGCCAAUUUGCCCCAGGGUGACCCUAAGGUAACCCCAUGGUUACUCAUUUGCACAAGGAGUUACAUGAUCAUGGGCAGACUAUAGCUGAGUUGACAACUACAAUGAACCAACUAGCAAAGGCACAGUUGCAAUAAGUUCAAAAUCCUCGCCAAGUGAAUGCUAUGGAGGGUGUCAACAUGCUAGUCAAUAAAAGAAGACAAAUAGGGCAACAACACCAAGGGAAUUCGGAGUAAUUUGAUAAUGAUUGUGGGGGAUUGCAAGAUGAUGUUUAUGAUGGAUGGAAUGAAGAGGUGCAAUACGUGAAUAAUUAUCAAGGACAAAGGGGAAAUUCUUCCAACCAACAACAAUGGAGACCCCAGGGCAAUCGGGGCAAUCAACAACAAGGCAAUGGCAAUUGGGGGGAGCAACAACAAAAACUCCAACUGGGGAAAUCAGAACAACAAUCAAAACAAUCAAGGAAAUUGGAAUGGUAACAACAACAAUUGGGGUGGUAACAAUAAUCAAGGUGGAUGGAAUAAUGGCAACCAAGGAAACCGGGGGCAAGGCUUUCAAAGGCCCCCAAUGUACCAACAACUGAACAAGCCGCCUCCAUUUCCAUCCCAAGGUCCUAGUUCUUCUAACAAUGAUAUGGGGAGAAUUGAAAUGAUGUUCAAACAAAUGAUGAAAAAUAAUGCGGAUUUUGAUGCGCAGUUGGCUUCCCACAAUACCUCAAUCAGAAACUUGGAGGUGCACUUAGGCCAAAUCUCACAGUCUUUGAAUACUCGUUCUAAGGGAGCUAUACCUAGUGAUAUGGUGGUUAACCCGAAGGGUGGGAACAAUCAUGUUAUGGUGGUAACUAUAAGAAGUGAGAGGGGUGGUGAUGUGAAUGCCUCCAAACAAAAGCAAAUUUUGAGUGAUGAAGCUGAGUUGCAAGAAGAUGAAGUUCCUUUGGUGGUUGAAAAUGCGAUUGAUGACAAUGUGAACAAAGAAAUGAGGAUUGAUAUUCAAGAUGCCGAGGUGGAAACUAAAAAUGACGUGAACCCAUCUAGGGAACAUGUAAUAGAUAUGCCGGAGCCGGUUGUUCCUAAAGCCAAGGCACCUUUGCCAAGGCCACCUCCGUCUUAUCCUCAAAGGCUCGCGAAGCAGAAAAGUAAGAAUCAUUUUAAAAAGUUCAUUGACAUGAUGAAGAGCUUGUCCAUUAAUGUGCCUUUGGUGGAGGCUCUUGAACAAAUGCCGGGNNNNNNNNNNNNNNNNNNNNNNNCUAUAAAGAUGACUCGCCAAGUUAGCGCUAUACUGCACUCAAUGGCCUCGAAGCUUAAAGAUCCCGUGCUUUCACCAUUUCUUGCACCAUUGGGAGUGCAGACUUUGCCAAGGCUCUAUGUGAUUUGGGGGCUAGUAUCAAUUUGAUUCCCUACUCAGUUUUCAAGACUUUGGGUAUUUGGAAACCGAGACCGACUUAUAUGAGAUUGCAAAUCGCAGAUAGAACAAUGAAGAGACCAUCGGGUAUUAUUGAUGAUGUCCUUGUCCGGAUGGACAAAUUUAUCUUGCCAGCUGAUUUUGUGUUCUUGGAUUGUGAGGUAGAUUACAAAGUUCCGAUCAUAUUGGGGAGACAUUUCCUUGAUACGGGGAAGGCCUUAGUUGAUGUGGAAGUAGGGGAACUCACCUUCCGUGUGGGUGAUGAAAAGGUGGUCUUUCAUGUGUGCAAGUCUGCCGCGCCCCCUUUUUUCCCCCUUCCAACGGAGAGGAGUUUCCGGGUUUCGACAUUCAUGGGGUGUAAUGACUCAUUUACUUUUGGGAAUUGGGUAUUUGAAGAGUCGCCACCUAAUGAUUUAAGGCGCAUUAGGAUACCCAUAGAGUUCUUUUGUAACUAUGUUUGAUAACCAGAGAUUGGGUAAGGGCUUGGAAUUAUCCUAAGGGGAAGGUGUUAGGGACCCCUCAGGAUCCACUAGUGUGGUUCCCGGCCAGACAGUUUUUUGUGAAUUUGUGUAAUUAGCAAGUAAUCAAAUAAAAGGCUCAAGUAAUAGGGGAAUUAAGUUAAACACACAAGUGUUUGAAACCAAUUAUUGAAAGGCAAGGUUUGAAAGAGUUAUAAGCUAAACAUGCUUGUAAAAUAAAGGGGGUCCUAGGUUUGUUCAUAAUAUGGAUCACCUCAAUGCAAUACCCGGUAUGACACUCCUCAGAAGAGGGGAUAUACGUGAUAUUAGCGCACCGGUCAUCAUCCAUAUCUACCCUUCCCACCCCGUUAAGGUAUUAAAGCGCGGAUUGGUCUCGACCUCUAUUGCAUGGUAUUACCCAUCCCAUUCCUAUUAGUCCCAGAGGAAUUUAGGACUACUAUUCCUAUAAGAGGGAGGAUUUUAGGCUGACUCUUAGGUUUAAAGGUAAAAAAGCUAAGGCCACAUACAAAACACGUAGGACUACAUUUUGAGGGGAACAUAUAAACAAUUAGAGGGCUCAUAUAUAUACUUCCGCAAAUAAUGCAUAUAAAUAACAUGACUUAAACAUAGUUAAGAUGUGAAUUUUAAAAUCCUAAAGUAGAGUUUGAGUCAGAACCAGAUUCAUUACAUAACUCAAAAAAAAAGUUCGAAUCAGGCCUGCCUGCUGGUUGUAGCAGCUGGUAAUUAACAAAGGCAAUUCCAGUUUUAUUUAAACAGUUACCCAAAGCUUUCCUAGGCAUAAUAGUGAUGUCCUAUGAGCAUGAUAUAUAUAUUGAUUAAGAAUGCAAUAGAGCAGUGGUUAAUUUUAAAUACGCAAUCUGGAUCCUAUAGGCAUGCUUUCUAAUGAUAUUGAUUAACACGAAAAAAGUAUGUUAUUUAAUAUGAUUCAGACAGGCACGAGUCAAACUAAUUUUUAACUAAAUUGGUUUUAAACCUUAUAGGCAUGAUUUCUAUUACAGGUGAUUUUAAAUCCUAUAGGCAUGGUAUCUAAUUAUUAAAAGCUGACUUUGGACUUAUAGGCAUGAUCCUAAGGGAAACGAAUCUGGAUACAUGUUGUAAUGAAAAAUUGGACUUCAAUUAUUUUACAUCCUAUAGGCAUGAUAUCUAAUUAUAAAGCAGAUUUUUAACCCUAUAGGCAUGAUCUCUACUGUUAAAGCCAUUUAGACCUUAUAGACAUGGUUUCUAAUUGUGAAAAGUAAAGCAUGCAGAAUUUAUUUUAAACCAAAGCAGAUCCUAUAGGCAUGUUAUCUCACUGACCAUAUUUGGAAUCAAAAUAGACCCUGUAGGCAUGUUAUCUACCCAAUUUACCCAGAAGAUACAACUACCCACCCUUUUUCACUAAUCACCCCAUAAUUGUUUACAAAUUAUUACAGACCCAAUGAUUGAAUUACAAAAGAAGUGCAUAAAUAAGAAAUUACAACCAAAGGAAGCAUGAUCUUGACUUCCUCUCUAAGUUAUGUAAUGAACCACUUCAAUGCCAGAGUUUGAAAGCCUUUUCUCAUACCUGGGUGUGUCAUAGUUCCCUAAGGACCUCAAGGGCCCCAACAGUGCUCACACCCAGAUUUACAUAACCAAAUGNNNNNNNNNNNNNNNNNNNNNNNNNAGAGGGGCAAAACCUAGAUUCUAAGAAUAUAGUGGAAGUGCAGAACAUAGUUUGAAAAAGAGAUUUAUUUUUUAAAAGCUGGACUGACAGUCCAUUUUGAAAGCAAUUAGUGACAGAGGUGAUUUAAAUCAGCAGUAGUAGUAAAACUCAAAACUACACAGAAUCAGUAGUCAUUCAAAACACACAAACCAGGGGUCUGGUUUGGUCAUGCACAUCAAUAGCUUAUGCUGGCAUGGCGACAAACCAGUCAAAGAAACACAAACACAUAGAGGGGAUAUGGGGUUUGGGGUUCAUAAGACAGAGUAUGCUUUAAAACACACAUAGGGGAAGCAUUAAUCUAAGGGGAAAGGGAACAUAUUACAGUAUGCUAAUAAUGUAACUUGACUACAGAAACAUGAGCAGAAGUAUGCAAGAGCGAAAGAAACUAAAGCAACUAAGGAAACAUGUUGUUGUUGGGGCUUAAAUAUUAACUAGGACAUACCAGUAGAGAAGCAAAGUGCAGAAAGGUAAAGCAAGCAAAAUUCUACAGUCUAGCCUCGGCUUUCAGCCGGCUAGACAAAGCAAUAGCACAAGUAGUAGUAAAGAAGGAGAGAGUUUUUUAAGUGUAAGUGUGUGUUCUGAACUCAAAUUGUUUGUGUCUUUGAAAGAAGAGGGGGUAGGGUAUUUAUAAUUUUGAAAACGAGUGAAGAAUAAGGUAAUAAGUAAAGUCUUGAUACAGACAUGGAAAUAAUCACAAUCAGAAUCAAUUAACACAAGUGAUUCCUUUUAAUAAAGGAAUCACUGCUUAACAGAUACUAACAUGGUUAAUUAAGGAAAGAAAUCAGCUUGAAACUGAUUGAUUCUUUCCAUAUAAGGGGGAAGUAAAAAAUUAUGAAGUAAAUGAUUGAGUCUAAGUACAAAAAUAUGCUUAAUUUUGGGAAAGAAUUCAGCAAGGUAAAACAUCACAGUAAUUAAAGGAGGGGAAUAAAUUAAUUUAAACAAAUGAGUAAAAUUAGGGUUCAUAAGAAAACUUUUGCAAUCAGUCACAAUAUUGAGGGAAUCAGGAUCAUUCAAGAAAGAGUCAUGACUUUGCAUUUCGACAUAUAAAUAGCAAGCAAUGAACAUGCAUGCAUGGUCAAACAUGUUGACAAAAAGAAGCAAUACAAACAAACAGUAUUAGCAGGAAUAAGCAAGGAUUUAGUAGUAAAAGAAAUCUACUCGUAGCACAGUAGUCGACAAGGUCAAGUAGUCACAUAGAAUCAGAGUGUAGAGAUCCAAACUAACAGGUAAGAAAGUCAGAAAUAAGUAAAGACCUUCAAACUCAUAGUAAUAAGCGAGGGAAACCCUUUUAAGAAAUUAGGACUUUAAAAAUAGUCGAGUUUAAGAGAUAAUGAGAACUCAGAAUCAAAUAAGUCGAACAAGGAAAAGAGAGUCAGAAACAAAGAACUAAAUUGAACAAGUAUACAUUCAAACAAACAAGGACAGUUUCAGUCUCAGAUAAGACCAAAAAAGACCUAGGGUUUUCAACAUGCUGAAUCAAAUAGAAGGAAAGCAUAAACAAGUCGUUUGAAUAUAGUUAAAUUAUAAACAACAUUAAAAUUAGAGAAGAGAUCUUUAAAAGAUUUAAGAGAAAACCCUAAUCGUUGAAAAAUGAAGAGCCAUUUUGAAAGAAAAUCGGAGAACCUUUGGAAAAACAAUUAAGAAGUUCAUAAUAUGCACAGAUCUAAGAUAGAUCUGAAGAAAAUUGAAAGAUCUUAAAGGUUUAGGGUUUCAGAGAAACCAGAAAAAGUGAGGAAUGUGAGCACGUGAUUUUUUCCCUAUAUGAAUUACUCCCAUAAAUUCAAGAAAAUAAAUUUUUCCCAUUAUUUGCAAUUUCGUAAAUUUUUGUAGCAUUUUUUGUUAACUGUUUGCAUUUGUCUGUGCAUGUUUGUUUAUUUAAAUUCAUGAAAAAUACAAAAAUAUAUUACAUUUGCAUCUAGGAUUUAAUUUGGCAUUUUGGAAUUAGUUAGUAAUUUAGUUGUUUUACAAAAAAAAUAGAAAAAUAGAAAAACAACUCAUUUUGUUUUAAAUUUUUAACUUUGAAUUUUGUAGCUUCUUUUAAUUUGGGAACUAAUUAAUUGUCAUAAAAAUUAUGUUGAGUAAUUAGUUUAAUUUAGGAAUUUAAUUUAGUUUAAGUGUUAAUUUAAGAUUUAAUUUGAUUUGAAAAGAAUUGAGAGGAUCAAAGAUUUUGGGCCAAAUUAAUUGAAUUCCCCAAGCCCAAUUACUUUGCACCCGGUUAUACCUACCAACCCAGCCCAAACCCAUUCUAAAAAACUAGGUCCAACCCUCAUACAAUCCAAACGACCCCGUUUUGCUUCGAGUGUAUCUCAGCCGUUGAUUUUCAUUUAAUCCAACGGACGGGAACUGGGGUCCUUUUGAUAUAAAACUGUCCAAACGCCCUACACCCCCCGCCUCGUCUCUCUCAUCUCUCUACUCUCAGAGACCACAACCUCAAAACCCUAGCACCGCUUCCAUUCCCCACCGCCUCAACCGGCAGCGCCACCUCCAAACCACCCCAAAUUCACACCCUUGAACCCCCUUUACUUCCUCAUCCCAAAUCCAUGAUCAUUUACCCUCGAAUCGGAUCCAAACUUGUCAAAUUUUAAAUCAAAGGUCUAAACCCUAAAAUCCCAAAACCCAAAUCGAGGAGUUUAAUGAAGGUUUAACGCUGAAAUAGGUUUCAUUCGCGUGUUCUCGUUUGAGAACACACAAUUAAAGCCUAUUUCGUUCAAAAGUUAGAGUUCCCCUUGAAGACUGUCAAGAUUUUUUCCACCUGGCCUAAGUAUUCUUCAGUCAUUUUCCUUUCUUUCAUUUUUCUUCUGUUCUUCAUUUUGUUUGUUUAAGUUCUAGUCUCCAUCUUCUCUUACUUCACUUUUUCCGUUUUGUUUUAGUUUUAAAUCAGUUCUGUCUGUAUGUGUUGAAAUCGAGUUUGUUCAUGCUUGUUUUUUAUUUAUUUAUUUCUCUGCUUCUUUGUGUGUUUUCAUGUCCUAUUUUUUUAAAGAAAAGAAAUAUGAUUUUUCUCUUGGGCAAUUCUGCUUGGCCCAAUGAUUCUAUAUAGGUUUUGAAAUCAGAAGUCCAGGAAGAGAUGCAAUCUAGUUGUGCAAGCUUAGGAUUUUCGGAUUAAACCUUUGGGUCCAUCUGACUUUUGACCCAUUUAGAUUUUUGGGGUAAUUAACAGGGUUUAAAGGGGUAGUUUAGGAAUUUUAGGUGGAAGGAAUCUCAUUUAACUAAAUUAGGAAGCUUCUUGGAAGCUGGGGUAGGGACUUAUGUGAAAAUCUCAAUUUUACACUAAGGAUACCUAAGCAAAAAUGAAAAUUGUAAAAGGUUCUAAGUGCAAAAACUAGUUGUAUUUCUGCUGCCCUAAUACCUUGCCUAUAAACCAUCUUUACUUCACUAGAAAGAAAGAGGAAGAAAAAAGAAACAUUAGAGAUAGAAAAACCCCUGAAAACUGAACGCAUGACUAAAAAGAACACUGAAUUUCCUACAGUUCUUGGUGGAAAACUGCUCAAAAUUUGGCUUGUUUUUCUCUGGAUUUCUGAUUCUCUUGUCUAGAACUCUUGAGAAAGCUCCAUAGUUAUACUGUUGGAUUGAAGAAAAUGGUUUGAGUUUGGUUUUAUGUUGGGGUGUUGAUUUGUGUUUCCUCCAUUGUUCCAUCAAUUGUUCUCGAGCUGGUUUUUGCUGUUUUAUUGACUGAAUCUAGGAUUUGUUUUGCUUGCUGCCGGCUACUGAUUCUUCACUCCUUGGUUUCUAUCUUAUCUCCAGGUAUUUCCUUCAAACCAUGAAUGGAAAUGAAGUUCGUUAUGGCUGUUAUGUUGGAGUCAUGUAAUUCAAGUUGAAAAAAAACUGAUUGUUGUCCCUUCUCUGUUGCAUUACCAGUUUUAAAGUCUAUUAUAUUUUGUUUUUCAAGCUUCUCCCAGGCUCAUAUAAGUUAUUUAGUUCUUGUCAUUAUCUUUUUAGGUUCUGUUAUGGUGUUGUAUAAAUGUUCCUUUUCACUAGCUUAUUUUAAACGCUUGAAGGUUUCUUAUCACAUGUAUAAGUGGUACAGAACUAAUGCAAGGAAAUUUCAGUAGCAUCAAGUAUGUUUCAGGUCUGUUUUGGCCUGUUGAAGCCAUUGUUGUGUGUAUGUGCUUCAAUUUGUUUUAAGAUUGAUGUCCAUAAAGUUUGAAAUCAGGAACUUUCAUGUUGAGGUUUAUCUAGUGUAGUAUCUUAUUUCAUGAAUUAUUGAUUGAAGGGCCUCUAAUUCAUGUAGCUUAUAGUCACCUUGAAUGAGGAAAAUGGUUUGAUUGCUUACUGCAAGGGGUUAGCCUUGUGUGGAAUUUCUCCGGACAUUUAUAAGUCUGUUUAAGUCCCGAUCUAGAUUUGUGUUCAUUUGACAAAUUUUAUGAGUUUUUAACCUGCCAUAGCAUGUGUCGAAAGAGGCUCUAUUAAGUCUAACAACUCGCCUAAUUCCCUUUUGAGUUUACUGGAGAUUUAAGUGGUCAGGAGAGUCAGAUGAUUAUGUGUUAUCGAAAGCCAUGUUAGGCUCACAUCUACAUUUUUAUAAUCUGAUGUUUUGCAUGCUUGAAGACUCGAUCUUGAGUCCUGCAACUAUUGAUGCUCAACUCUCCAAGGACUUGGGUUCACGUUGGGCCUGAAAUGGAGACAAGCCGCAUUGCUUUAUAUGUAGGGCCAGUUAUUUGAGCUCAAUGCUAUUUUUCGUUAAUUGCUAACCAUUUUGCCAUUCAUUCAUCCUUUCUAAUGUUGGUCUAUUGGUUUAAAAUUGGAUCAAAUUUUUAGUCUGAAAAGUAGUGAUAAUUCUUUUCCUUGAUUAAUUAUAUUUGUUAAAGUAGACUUGAGGCGUGCCAUGUUAAAUAAGCUCAGUUAUGGCCUUCAGAAGCUUAGUUUCAAUUCCCUUUAAAAUUGGAAUUGAGGUGCGCCGUGCCAAAUAAAAUCUUAAAAUGCAUGGCCCUCGCUUAAUUAAUUUUAAAUCUUUAGAAUUCGAGGCGUACCAUUUAGUUGAACUUCCAUGGCCCUCGCAAAUUAAAAAAUGCGUAGUUGCUUUAAGCGCAUAAUUUAAAUUACCUUCCUAAACUCGGGUGUGCAUUUAUAUGACCCAAAUUCAAAUCUCAACAACGUCAAAUAAAAUGUGUCAUGGACCGCGGGUGCAUUUAUGUGACGUGGUUCAAGAUGUGUUUUAGAUGAUGUUGAAUCUUUCUAAAAAUAUUUAAAUAAAAGCGGUUAUAAGGUUAAAAAUGUACCAUAGGCUAAAACAUGUAUUAAAAUCAAAUAAAUAGGCCAAUAAUAACAGUUGAGCGACCGUGCCAAAACCAUGGAAAUCGGGAAUGCCUAACACCUUCUCUCGGGUUAACAAAAUUCCAUACCCAGAUUUCUGUGUUCGCGGACUGUAAAACAAAGUCAAUCUUUCCUCGAUUCGGGAUUUGAACCGGUGACUUGGGACACCAUAAAUUAUCCCAAGUGGCGACUCUGAAUUUUAAAUACAAUAAUCCCAUUUCGAUUGUCGCUUUAAUUGGAAAAACUCCUUAUACCCUUUCCGGGGUAGGUAAAAGGAGGUGUGACAGCUCUGGCGACUCUGCUGGGGAACGAAUCCAAAAUCUCUGGUUCAGGGUUCAAGAAUUCGAGCUUAGAAUAAUUGUUAUAUUUGGCUUUUAUUUAUUAUUGGAUUUUACGUGUUUGGGCCUAAUGUGCUAAAUGUUGUUUUUUACCGCUUUGAUACUAUUUGAAUUGUAUAUAAAUUGCUAAGGAACCCUUCUCUUCUCAUUUUCGGGGAUGUGCACGCUGGCGUGAAUCCUCUUCUGUUAGUGUCAUACCUUAAAUUAAAAAGAGGCUCGGACAAGUUACAAAGUCGAGUGGCCUUUUGGUUCCCGGUACGUAGCCCCCUCCUCACCUCGAGUUGUCCGCUCGGGUGCAUAAGUCUAGAACAGUAUACCCAGGUUUUAUACUUAGAAUAACUCAGUCUCAUGCCGGAUCCCUAGUAGGAACGUUUGUUUGCAACAUGUGCAUUUGACUUUGGAGACUCAACACAGGAGUUGGGUCUGUCUAGGACAGGUGUACCCGAAAUGAAAAGACCAUCCUGAUGCAUCCUACUUGCUACUUGCGCAUUCAUUUGCUUCGGAUUUGCAUGCUGACCGGCUUAUCGAAUAAUAGGAGAAAGGUUGAGAAGAAGAAAGUCAAUGUAAGGGCUGAGAGAGAUAAUUGCUUGCUUUUGAAAAACCGAUGUCCAAAAUAUACUGAAACUCUGCUGGAAUUUUGAAAAAAAGGGAAAAGGAAAAAUUUUGUUUUUUUAAAAAAAAUGGUCGGUUUUUGUUUUGUCAAAACUGCCCGAACUACGCCAGUUUGAUUCCCACCGGAUGUGGGAUACGUAGGCAACCCCCAUCGGUUCCAACUUCCCUUUUGCAAGAAUAGCCCAAAAGAACCAAAAUGUUAUUGCUUUGUUGUAAAUAAGUAAGGUGAUGUCAUUCUUGUCAAAAAUAGCCGAAUGUCCCCAAAAGGACGCCGGAAGACUGUUUUUGCAAGAACAUCCACCUUUGGUCUCUUUUACAAAUUUUUGGUCGGUUAGGAAGCAUGACCUUAAAAUCUUCUCCCCCGAAGUGCUGAAAGGCCAUAUUUGCAAAGUCGGGUUUUAUUUUUGAAAUACAAAUUUGGAAAAAAAUAGUGUUAACUUUUCUUGAGUCAAAUGAGUCAUGAUUUUACUUAAUUAAAUCACCCUAAUAAAUGUGCAGAAUGAGCACGAGUCAAAUUUUGCCAGUAACAGUCAUGACCAAGAUCCCUUUGGAGUUGUAUAUGUGGUGGGAAGAUCUAGGUGAAUCAGGACAAGAUAGGGUCAAUCGCUACUUGGGAGGUCUUACCGGGUUAUUGAAGAUCAGGCCUAGAGGAUACAUAAUAAAGGCACUGGUUAUGUUUUGGGACCCAGCUCACAACGUGUUUCAUUUCUCGGAUUUUGAACUCUCACCCACUCUAGAAGAAAUAGCCGGAUAUAUUGGGAGCACUGAAGCUCCUAUGAGACACAAGUAUUUGAUUGCUCCAAGAGUCGUCGCUGCACACAAGUUCCUAGAUUUCUUAAAGAUAAGCAGGGGGUCCAUUACCCAGAUCUGGCAGCUGGUUUUUCAACUCCGCAAUUUAUAUACCAGCGAUACAGACAUAUAGAGGGGUUUAACAAUCCAGAAAGCAAAAUUUGCAGCAAAGGGAAUCGCCUCAAAUAGGAAGAACACAGGUGCUUCGCUUUUAUGGUGGUAUUCUUGGGUCUUCUAGUGUUUCCCAGGAAAGAUGGGAAUAUUGAUAUACAGAUAGCUGGGGUCGUCAGCACUUUGCUUACUCAGGCCAAAAGCACCCUCGCACCCAUGAUAGUGUCUGAAAUCUUCCGGACUCUCACAGCUUGCAAAGCCGGAGGAGACUUUUUUGAAGGGUGCAACUUGUUGCUACAAAUAUGGAUGAUUGGACAUCUAUAUCAUCGUCCUCAAUACCUGAACUAUGGGUCGAUAGAGAAAAGCUGCAUAGAGGAGUUUUAUACAAGGGUCGACGGGUUUAACAUGCCAGAAGGGGUCACAGAAUGGAUAUCACGUCUCCGUUUCGUCACUACAAAUCAAAUAGAAUGGACGUUCGGGUGGUUUCCUGUAGAUGAAAUCAUAUACAUGCCAGCUACCGGACCUCAAUUCCUCCUGAUGGGUCUCAGAAGUAUCCAACCUUAUGCCCCAUACCGGGUUUUGAAGCAGCAGGGGAGAUGUCAAAUAGUUCCAAAGGAUGAAGACCUUAAUACUCAGGUAGUCGAUAUUGGUUAUAUCGGUCAAUUUCAUGAAGCAGCAGUUCGCCAGAUCUGGAGCGAGUGUCAGUACUUGACAGCAAGCACCCAAGUGCGUGAUCUAUCCAAGGGUGAAGUCUCACCCUGUUACCUCGCAUGGUACCAAAGAAGUGUUAAGUUUGGGAGACUAGCCAAAAGACCCCAUAUUCAAGAAUUUGUCGAGGCGUCAUAGGCGCAAUAGGAUUGGUUGGCCAAAAAAAAUGAAUAUAGGGCUACCAUAAGCAAGCUGGAAAAGCAAGUCAAGGAUCUUCAAUUUGAGAAUGGUUUGCAAGCCGCCACAGAUAAGUGUGAGAAGAACAAUCUAGCCAAGGAAAAUGAAGCCCUUCGAGCCCAAAUUCGAGAAAUGAAAAUAGCGGCCGAAAAUUCCGCCAGAAGUGCAAAAGAUGGAAAGCUUAUAGAUAACCUUAGGCGGAAGUUGAGUGAGUAUGGUUUUGAUCUGAACAAGGUAGAGGAUGAACUAGAAAGGGCUCGAAAAAAAUUGGCUAAGAAUGCGGAGGAAUGAGCGCCCUUGGUUAGAUAGUUAAAAGAGAAAUAUGAUAAUGAGGUUAUGGGGUUGAAGAAAAGGGGUCACCAUCGUUGAGAACAAAAUGAUCAAGCAGACAAAAAACUUUAAGGUAGAAAGAGAACACUGUUAUGCAGAGAUGACACAGUUAGAAAAAGAUCUGCAACAACUUCAAGAACAGAAUCAUAUAGCUGAACAAACUUUGGAAGCUAGGGCCCAACAGAUUGGGCAUUUGUUGCAAGAAAAGGGCGUCAUAAGAGAAAGGGUCAGAAGGAUCACUGACUACAUCAUAGUGAAGUGCAGUAAGUGUGAAGACAUGACCAGAUCCAUGUUUUUUGCCACUGUAAUGACAUUUGUCCGCCAGAUAAUGGAGGAUCUCUAUCAUCUCCAAGGGGAUUUGGUGCAUAGGCCCAUGGCAAUACCGACUAAUGUCCCGCAGCCCCCCGGAGUAGUUGAGGCAUUGAUGUAUUCAUGAUUUUCAUUCGAGUCUGUGUUUUCAUUUUCUUUAUUGGAGUCUGUUAGUCUGUUUUUGAGUCUGUAUUUUCAUUUUUCUUUGUUGGAGUCGGUUAGUCCACUUUUGAGUAUGUAUUUUCAUCUUUCUAUUGGAGUCUGUUAGUCCCCCUUUUCGAGUCUGUUAGUUUAAAUUCUAUAGGAUGAGUCAUUGUAAUCAAGAUGUUUUACGAAAAAUUUGAAAACCCCAAAAUAUUUUUUUUAUUCCUAGAACUACGCUUGGUCUGAUUCGUGCGGGGUCAUGAUACGUAGACAAUCUCCAUAGGAUUCGAUCAUAACCAAAAGAAAAAAAAGAAAAGAAAAUGAAAAAAAGAGAAGGAAAAAGAGAAAAAGAGAGAAGGAAAAAGAGAAAAAGAGAGAAAACAAGAAACUGUGGGAAGGAAACAAUGGCAAAACAAGAGAGAAAAUAAGAGAAUAAAGGACAAUGAGAAAUCAAGCAAAGAAAGGCAGGAGUGAAAAAGAGAGAAAUUGCAAAAUGGACAUUAGGGAAAAUCAGGAUGAUGCAAGCAACCAAUCAAAUGCAUAAUAGAAAUGGUUAACUGCUUAGGUGCAUUGCAUCCCCAACGUGCGGUUGCCUAUCUGUUAAUCUCUAAUCACUAACAAGUUUGUUGUUGAAAUCAGUACAGGCAGGUGGUUAGUUUGUUUGGCAUUCUGGCAACUCAUCCGUACAACACCAGGUCAAAAGACAAGUUUAUCAUGGCUAACCAAGAACUGGAUGCCAGUGUUAUUGAUCCGUCAAGAGAGGGGGAAGAGUCUGAUGUUAAUCUGAAAGAGGAGUUGUAUAAGCUGAAACAAUAGAUGACAGAGAUGUACCAGGCAUUAGUGAAAGGGCAUCCACCACCAUCCUACCCCGCCAACCCUGCUUUCAUCCCGCCAUUGGUUCAAUCCCAGGAACCUCCCACUACUGAUUCAUCUCCAGGCUUUCCCGUUUACCACCACAACCAAGGCACCACUUCCCAAACACCACUAGCUCCACCACCCAAACUAGUCUCGUACCCUCCUCUACCAGCCACCCCUAUUUUCGUGGCACCCUCAACCGCUACAAUCCAAUGAGACUCUAUUCCAGACCCAAGAUAAACAAUACUAUUCCCCGGAGCCUACUUUAAAAGCCCCUGAACCUUACUCCUAUACCCCUCGUUUUGACCCCCCCCCCCCCGUUGAGACUAAGAAACCACCUAAAAAUCUAGAACAGGAGGAGAUGUUCAGGAAGGUUAAAAUCUUGGAACAAUCAUUCAGAAACAUGCAGAGAUUGGGAGGUUAGGUGAGCGUGGCCUACAAAGAUUUGUACCUAUUUCCGGAUGUUCAACUGCUAGUGGGAUUCAAAAUGCGCAAAUUUGAUCUGUAUGGCGGGCAAGGAGACCCGGUGGCCCAUUUGAGGAGAUUUUGCAGUAAAAUGAGAGGAGCCGGUGGGAAAGAAGAGUUGUUGAUAGCAUGCUUUAGCUUGAGUCUGAUCGGCACGGCGUUGGAGAGGUACACUCGUCAGGAUCACAGCAGAUGGUAUACGUGGGAUGAUUUGGCCCAAGCAUUCACUUGUCAUUUCCAAUACAACCUCGAGAUCAUUCCAGAUCAUUUAUCUCUGACUAAGAUUGAGAAAAAGCCUAGUGAAAGUUUCAGGGAAUACGAUUUCCAUUGGAAAGAGCAAGCAGCUAGGGUUGACCCUCCGAUGAAAGAGAGUGAAAUGGUAGAUUACUUUUUGCAGGCUCUAGAGACAACUUACUACGGCCAUCUAGUAUUGGCCAUAGACAAGUCCUUCAACAAGGUAGUGAAGAUGGGUGGCAUGGUAGAAGAAGGGCUUAAGUCAAACAAAAUCCUGAGCUACUCGGCUAUUAAGGCAACUACCCAAGCCAUUCAAAAUGGUACUGGGGGAGUAAUCGGAAAGAAGAAGAAAGAAGAUGUGGAAACAAUUGAUUCAGGAGCAUGGUUUGGACCCAGGGGUCCGUCCCACCAUUAUAAUCAGCCUCGGCCCCACUACCAAACCUACCCCCAAACCCUGUAUAAUCCACCCCAACAUUACUACCCAUCUCCAGACCCUCAUUUUUCUAUCCACCACGCCCAAACAUACACUCAACCUCCCGCCCAUGCACAAUGGCGUGCGCCAGCCUCACAAAUCACCUACCCAACUCCACAAAAUGCCUACCUACCCCCACGAGCCUACCAAAACCCUACUGGCUCAGGUUUCCGGCCCAAUCAAGCAUUUAAAAAUGAGAGGCUGCAGUGGAAGAAAACCUUCACCCCAUUGGGAGAGCCCUAUACUAUUUUGUUCCACAGGCUGAGGCAAUUGGAUAUGCUGAGACCAAUUGAGUCGAAAUUGCCAAACCCUCCUCCAAAGAAUCUUGAUUACUCUAUAAGUUGUGAAUAUUGUCCUGGCACUUCGGGGCAUGAUACGGAGAAGUGCUGGCACUUGAAAAAUGCCAUCCAAGAGCUAAUUGAUACUAACCGGAUUGAAGUCCAAACUCCAGAGGCACCCAACAUCAACCAGAACCCGUUGCCAACUUAUCAGGAGACAAACAUAAUCGAGAUAGUGCAUAAGGGAGGGGAGCCCAAGAAGCCUUCACAGACCGUCAUGAUGAUUCGGUCUAGUGAGGUCAAGCUAGAUGAAAAACCAACAAUUGAGAGAUCAGUGAACAAGUUGAGCGGGACAAAUGGUGAACCAUCUGCGAUAGUCAAGAAGGGGUCCCUGAGUGAUGUUGCAGCAAAACAAGAAAAGCCAAAAGUGGUUGUGCCAGGAGUGGCAAACAAGCCUGUCGUAAUUGUAGAGGGUUCCCGUACGGAUCCUGUCGUCAUCAAGCCUGUAACCCAACUGCCAAUAGUUAACAGCAAGGCUGUCCCGUGGAAUUAUGAACGAGUGACGGUGACCUAUAAGGGAAAAGAAGUUAAAGAGGCCCAUGGAUUAACCCGUUCGGGGAGAUGAUUUGCCCUGGAAGAGUUAAGGAAAGCUAAAAGCUCCAAAGAUAACCCAGUUCUAGUGAAGAAAGCGGUAACUAAAGAAGAGGCGAGGAAUUUCUGAGAAAAAUGAAAGUACAAGACUAUUCCAUCAUGGAGCAGUUGAGAAAGACGCCUGCUCAGAUUUCACUGUUUUCAUUGUUAAUCUACUCAGACGAGCAUCGUCAUGCCUUGAAGAAAAUCUUGAAUGAGUCUCACGUUCCUUACAAAAUCUCAAUGAUCCAUCUAGAAAAGAUUGCCAACAAAAUAUUUGAGGUGAACAGAGUCACUUUCUCUGAUGAUGAGUUACCUGUUGAAGGUACUAAGCACAAUAGAGCCCUCUAUCUUAUAGUGAAAUGUGAAGAUUCCGUGGUUACCAGGGUAUUGGUUGACAAUGGUUCUAGUGCAAACAUUUGCCCUCUUUCUACUCUGAACAAGUUGAAAGUGGAUGAUGAGAGGAUUCACAAGAACAAUAUCUCGGUUCGGGGAUUUGAUGGUGGAGGGAAAGAUUCAGUUGGUGAUAUAGUGCUUGAGUUGACAAUAGGACCGGUUGAAUUCACCAUGGAGUUUCAGGUGCUGGAUUUAGCCGUUUCCUACAAUCUGCUGUUAGGUCGACCUUGGAUUCAUGCCGCUAAAGCAGUCCCGCCCACUCUGCACCAGAUGGUCAAGUUCGAAUGGGAUAUUUAGGAAAUCAUUGUACAUGGCGAGGAUAAUUUGUGUGCUCACAGUGAUGCCGUUGUUCCGUUCAUUGAGGUUGAAGAUGACAAAGGGCCUUGGGUCUAUUAGGUUUUUGAAAUAGUGUCAGUCGAGAAAAUUCCAGAAGGAAAAUGCGUUCCAAUUCCAAAGGUAACCGCCGCAUCAGUCAUGAUGGCUUUUGAAAUGCCGAAAAAUAGUUUUGUACCUGGUAAGGGUAUGGGUGCAUCUCUGCAGGGUAUCAUACAACCGAUGUCUCUCCCUAAAAACUUGGGUACAUUUGGUCUAGGAUUCAAACCCACAACCGUAGAUGUGAAAAGGUCUAGAAAGUUGAAACAGAGGGCGUGGGCACUGCCAAAGCCUAUCCCACGUCACUUUAGGUCGUUUGUCAAGCCUGGUGCCAGGAAACGCCCAGUGACAACAGUUCCCAGUUCUGUGGUUGGCGUUGAUGAAGAGUUAAUUGAAAGGUUCAAGAGGUUGUUCGACAAUGUGAACAUGGUGGAAGUUGGUGCAGGUUCUAACAAGCAGAUGUGCAGUUUGUUGGGCCGAGUGCAAAGCUUAACAAUUGGAAGGCUACUCCUCUCCCUACCCGAAAAGAGUUUUGGUAGUUUGCUUUGAUUUUCUUUCAGUUUAUUUGGAUUAUUCCAGGGCUGUAAUUCAGAUUCUAUGUUCCGUCUGUUUGGAUGUAUAAACCUUGUUAUCUUUUAAUUUCAUUGAAAUGCAAUUUCCCUUUUUCAUCAUUCCUGAUAGUUUUAUUUUUGUUUUUCUUUUUUUCCUUGUAUAGUCCUUUUUAUGCCGGUUCAAUGACAUGACAUGCAUGAGGAAUCUUCGGCCCAGUCUUAAAAGUCAAUCUACUUUAGAAAUAACAAUUCAAGAAAUAGAGUGUGAUGAUGAAUCAGAAUAUGAUGAGGAUGAGGCCUUUGAAGAGAUUAGUAAAGAAUUAAGCCAUUUUGAGGGAAAACCCAAGCCUAACCUGAAUGAUACCGAAACAAUCAAUUUAGGGGACCCAGAUAAUGUCAGGGAAACUAAGAUAAAUGUUCAUCUUGAACCGCAAAUCAGGGAAGAGAUAAUUAAAGCAUUGUUUGAAUACAAAGAUGUUUUCGCAUGGUCAUAUGAUGACAUGCCGGGCCUAAGCACUGACUUGGUGGUUCACAAAUUGCCCACUGACCCGGCAUUUCCUCCUAUCAAGCAGAAGUUCAGAAAGUUCAAAACCGACAUGAGUGUGAAGAUUAAAGAAGAGGUCACAAAGCAAUUUGAUGCAAAUGUCAUUCGAGUCACGCGGUAUCCCACUUGUUUAGCCAAUGUUGUACUUGUGCCAAAGAAGGAUGGUAAGACUAGAGUGUGUGUUGAUUACCGUGAUCUCAACAAGGCAAGUCCAAAAGACAACUUCCCACUGCCAAAUAUCCAUAUUUUGAUUGAUAAUUGUGCCAAGCAUGAGAUUGGGUCUUUUAUAGACUGCUAUGAGGGCUAUCAUCAGAUCUUAAUGGAUGAGGAAGACGUAGAAAAGACGGCAUUCAUCACGCCAUGGGCGACAUAUUGCUACCGGGUAAUGCCAUUUGGUUUGAAAAAUGCUGGAGCAACGUACAUGAGGGCAAUGACGACCAUAAUCCACGACAUGAUACAUAAGAGAUCGAGGUUUAUGUGGAUGAUGUGAUCAUAAAGUCUAGGAAGCAGUUUGACCACGUCAGAGAUUUGAGAAAGUUCUUCCAAAGGCUCCGCAGUUACAACCUUAAGCUCAAUCCUGCAAAGUGCGCAUUCGGUGUGCCAUCUGGAAAACUGCUGGGAUUCAUAGUCAGCCGUCGAGGCAUCGAGUUGGACCUGUCAAAAAUCAAAGCUAUCCAAGAAUUGCCACCUCUAAGGAACAAGACUAAGGUGAUGAGUCUAUUAGGGAGGCUGAACUACAUCAGCAGGUUUAUUGCUCAGCUCACGACAACUUGUGAGCCUAUCUUUAAGUUGCUGAAGAAGGAUGCUACAGUCAAGUGGACAGAUGCGUGUCAAAAAGCAUUCGAUAAGAUAAAGGGGUACCUAUCAAACCCACCGGUGUUGGUCCCACCAAAACCGGGGAAACCUUUGAUUCUAUAUUUGACAGUUUUGGACAAUUCAUUUGGUUGUGUGUUGGGUCAGCAUGACAUCACCAGCAGGAAGGAGCAAGCCAUCUAUUAUCUCAACAAGAAGUUCACAUCUUAUGAGGUUAAGUACACUCACCUUGAAAGGACAUGCUGAGCCCUAACUUGGGUAGCACAGAAGUUGAAGUAUUAUUUGUCAUCUUACACUACUUACCUCAUCUCUCGUUUGGAUCCGUUAAAGUAUAUCUUUUAGAAGCCUAUGCCCAUAGGGAGACUGCGAAGUGGCAAAUUUUGCUCACGGAAUUUGACAUUAUCUAUAUGCCUCAGACCGCGAUGAAGGCCCAAGCAUUGGCCGAGAACCCGGUUGACGAAGAAUAUGAAUCGUUGAGAACUUAUUUUCCCGAUGAAGAGGUGAUGCAUCUUGAUGAGAUGGAGCAGAUUGAAAAACCAGGUUGGAAACUUUUUCUUUGAUUGGGCUGCAAACAUGAAAGGAGUCGAAAUAGGGGCCGUGCUUAUUUCUGAAACAGGGCACCAUUACCCUGUUACGGCUCAACUUUGUUUCUAUUGUACCAACAACAUAGCUGAGUACGAGGCAUGCAUUUUGGGUGUGAGGUUAGCUGUAGACAUGGGUGUCCAGGAGGUCUUGGUCUUGGGAGACUCGGACCUUCUGGUGCACCAGAUUCAAGGAGAAUGGGAAACGCAGGAUUUAAAACUCAUAUCGUACCGACAAUUCUUUGUCAACGGUUCCGAUUAGUAGAGUUCACGCAUAUUCCAAGGAUCCAUAAUGAGGUUGCCGAUGCUUUGGCUACUUUGGCGUCAAUGUUACAUCAUCCAGAUAAGGCUUAUGUUGGCCCUUUGCAUAUUCAGGUCCGCGAUCAACAUGCUUACUGUAACAUGGUAGAAGAAGAACUUGAUGUUGAGCCGUGGUUCCAUGACAUCAGGGAGUACAUCAGAAUGGGGGUGUAUCCGGUGCAAGCCACAGGGAUCAAAAUAGAACAAUUAGACGGUUGGCAAGUGGAUUUUUCUUCAGUGGAGGAGUUUUUUACAAAAGGACUCCAGAUCUUGGUUUGUUAAGAUGCAUAGAUGCUAGACAAGCAUCAACUAUCAUGAUUGAAGUACAUUCCGGGGUUUGCGGGCCACACAUGAGUGGGUAUGUUCUGGCAAAAAUGAUUCUCCGAGCAGAUUAUUAUUGGCUCACCAUGGAGCGAGAUUGUAUCAAUUUUGUGCCCAAGUGUCAUCAAUGUCAAGUGCACGAAGAUUUGAUUCAUUCUCCGCCAUCUGAAUUGCAUACAAUGUCUACACCAUGGCCCUUCAUUGCUUGGGGCAUGAAUGUCAUUGGACCAAUUGAGCCAGCAUCAUCCAAUGGGCACAGGUUCAUUCUGGUGGCCAUUGAUUAUUUCACCAAGUGGAUUGAAGCUAAAACUUUGUGACCAAGAAAGCAGUGGUUAAUUUUGUUCAUUCAAAUAUCAUCAGUCGGUUCGGGAUCCUAAAGGUAAUCGUCACAGAUAAUGGUGCUAAUCUCAAUAGUCAUUUGAUGAAAGAGGUAUGUUAGCAGUUUAAGAUUACGCAUCACAAUUCCACCCCAUACUGCCCCAAGGCGAAUGGAGCAGUCGAGGCAGCCAGUAAGAACAUAAAGAAGAUACUUCGAAAAAUGGUGGAAGGUUCCAGGCAAUGGCACGAAAAGUUUCCCUUUGCGUUGUUGGGUUAUCACAUUACUGUUCGCACUUCAGUAUGUGUAACUCCUUACUUGUUGGUAUAUGGCACAGAAGCAGUGAUAACCGCGAAAGUUGAAAUACCAUCCCUUCGAAUUGUUGCUGAAGCCGAAAUUGAUGAUGAUGAGUGGGUCAAAAACCGUCUGGAGCAAUUGAGUUUGAUUGAUGAAAAAAGGUUGGCAGCAGUAUGUCAUGGCCAGUUAUAUCAAAAGAGAAUGGCAAGAGCAUACAACAAGAAGGUGCGUCCCUGGAAGUUUGAAGUGGGUCAGGAAGUAUUGAAACAUAUCCAUCCAUAUCAGGCUAAAGCAAAAGGCAAGUUCGCCCUUAAUUGGCAGGGGCCGUUCAUCGUAGCGAGAGUGUUGUCCAAUGAUGCAUUAUAUUUAACAGACAUAGAAGGCACAUAUGUAGACCUGACUAUCCAUUCUGAUGCAGUCAAAAGAUACUAUGUAUGAUUUCUUUGGUUUAAAUUGUAUUUUUUUGUACUUGGCAUGUUUUGAAGAAUGGAAUGACGAAAACAUUUUUUCUGCUAUCUAAACACUUUAUCCGUUGUUACCCCUUUGAGCCUUAUUUGUUUAUUUUCUUUCAUACCCCUCUUUUGGAAUUAGUAGCAAAACUCAACGCAGGCGCAAAAGAUAAGUAAAGGAAAAGAGAGAAAAAAAAGAAAAGAAUAAAAAGAGAAAAAAAACAACAAGAAAGAAAAAAAAAACAAAAGGGAAAAGAAAAAAAGAAGGAAAGAAAAGAAAGAAAAGAAAAGAAAAAUCACAACAACAAAAUAAUUUCUAUGACAUGAACUAUGUUCGACCUGAUUCCUUUUAAGGAUACGUAGGCAGCCUCACGAUUCGGUCCCAUCAAAAUAAAAAUCCAAAAGUCCCCAGGCAAAGAGAACUGGGGUAGAAGUUGUGGUUGUUGUAAAAAAUCUGAUUUCGAAAGUUGUAAUUUUGAACCCAUUUGAAAUGUUUUGAGCCAUUUUGAUACCCUUUCUUUUUAACCCUAUCCAAAAGCCACAUUACGGUCCAAAGAAAGACCUUCCGAUCAGUCUUCGAGAGAUGCCAAGUCGAGCAAGUAGAGGUGAUUCAUAUCAGGGGCAACACUCCGGUCCAGGCAGGAAAAAUGAGAAAAUGAGAGAGUCUUAUUGGUGAAAACCCUCGCCAGCACUGUAAGGCGACAUAAGCUGAGAGAAAUUGAAAUAAGAGAGUCUUAUUGGUGAAAACCCUCACGGGCACCGUAAGGCAAUAGUGAGUUGAGAGAUGAACAAAUGAGAGAGGUUUGUUGGUGAAAACCCUUCAGGGCACCGCAGGCCGAACAAGGUCAGUGAUUUGGUGAAAAAUUGGGUUAUGGAAAUCUUGGGGCACCAAGUAUGACAACUGAAAGUGGAUUGGUUGGAUAGACUGGGCUGAUUAAUCCAAAAUGUAUGUCAUGAUCAUUGGUACCAGCUGCUCCACUCAGAUAAGCCUUUCUUCUUUUUUUCCCUCACACAGUCAGCCAGUUUGGAUUUUUCUUCCUUAUUCCUAACUCUCAAAGUCAUUGCAUUUCAUUUCUUUUGGGUUUAUUUCUCUAAGAUGUUUCCAAUGUCAAUCUUGUUUAAAAAAAUAAGAAAGGAUUUCAAAGCUCACUACGAACUUCCAAAAUUGCACAAAGCACAGUGCGGCCAAAGCAUGAGUUAGUAUUAUGUAAAGUGGGAUGUAAAGUGUCAGUGAAAGUUCCAUCGGUGGAAUGGUUUAGUAAUUUCGUGGGAGAUGCAGAGGUUCAGGUGGAAAGGCUAGAAAUGCAAAACAACGGUUUGGGUAUAGAGCACUCAGGUCAUCUAGGGUCCUGCGGUUGAGGAUCAGUCAGAAAGUGAAGCGGUUCUUGGCCAGUUCGGGGAAACCAGUCAAAGCAAAGCACGAUAGUGGAGAGGCCACCUUCAACAAGAAUGCCAUAAACUAACCACCACAUUUUAAACUGACAAGAUAUUUCUUUGAUUCGAAAUAGGGGCAGAAAAUCUCGUUCGUUUCGGAGAAACCCUCCGCAAGGAAAAGCAAGCACCAGACAGAUUUGACCGUAAAUUCUCAGGACCCUCCUGAACAAUGGGACCUAGUUUAAAAUUCAAACAUGUUUGAGUAACAAGAUCUAGCAUAAGUCUUACCCCAAAGAAAUAUAAGUUGGCUUUGAAGUUUUCAUUCUUAGGAUAGGAUUCAAUUCGAAAUUGUCAGGACCCUCCUGAAUAAUGGGACCUAGCUUUAAGAUUUCCAUUAGAUAACAAGAUUUAACAUAAGUUCUGCCGUAGGGAAGUAUAAUUUAGCCUUAAAGUUGUCGUUCUUAAGAUGAGAUUUGAUGUUCAGGACCCUCUUGGAAAAUGGGAUGUUGUUUUAAGACUUUCUUAGAUAACAAGAUUUAGCGGAAGUCAUACCUUUAGAAAAUAUAAUUUAGCUUCAAAACUGUCAUUUAAGUAGGAGUUUUCAGGACCCUCUUGGAAUGGAUCUAGCUUUGAAAUUCUUAGAGACAUUUGGUAACAUGAUUCAAUUAACACUCACAGGUAUGCCCAACUACCAAACUGGGGCAGAAAAUUUUCUUUGUUUUAUUUAUUUUGUUGAAAUUAGGCACCUACCUGGAGAGCAGGGGAGAAUAACACGAGUUUUAAGGAUAGAAAGUAGUUCGGGGUCAAGCAAUCAAGCACCCAUUGGGGAAACAAGGAAAGAUAGUUAAAAGGAAAAGCAGUCGCAAAAGGGAAGCAAUUCAAAUGUUGGUAAUCAGGAGCCCACCUGGAGAACAAAGGGAAGUAGCUUAAGUGUUGGUAAUCAGGAGCCCACCUGAAGAACGAAGGGAAGCAGCAGCUCAAGUGUUGGUAAUCAGGAGCCCACCUGGAGAACGAAGGGAAGUAAUUCAAGUGUUGGUAAUCAGGAGCCCAUCUGGAGAACGAAGGGAAGCAGUUCAAGUGUUGGUAAUCAGGAGCCCACCUGGAGAACGACGGGGAGCAACAAUUCAAGUGUUGGUAAUCAGGAGCCCACCUAGAGAACAAAGGGAAGUAACUUAAGUGUUGGUAAUUAGGAGCCCACCUGAAGAACGAAGGGAAGCAGCAAUUCAAGUGUUGGUAAUCAGGAGCCCACCUGGAGAACGAGGGGAAACAGCAAUUUAAGUGUUGGUAAUCAGGAGCCCAUCUGGAGAGCAAAGGGAAGCAACUCAAGUGGUGGUAAUCAGGAGCCCACCUGGGUGAACAAAGGGAAGGCAAUAGUGGUAAAAAAAGACGAUUCAAGUUCGGCAAUAAGGCGCCUGCCUGGAGAAAAAGGGAAAGCACCUCAGAAUACAAUUCAGGACAACAACAAAGGAAUCUCACCUGGAGAGUACAAGUCAAUAGAGAAGCGGAAAUUGCAAGAUCAAGUUUGAAAAAGUAUAGAUAGGAUUCUUGUAAUUCGUAGAUCAUAGUUUACUCUAGCUUCUUUUAUUUUGUCUUGGUGUAAUAAGGAGUCUAGCGAGCAGUAGCAGCAGCAGCAUCAACAGUGAAAUCACAGCUUCAUGGUAGUCCCAACUACCGAAACUUCUCAAACUACACUGACCUGAUUACUUUAUGACCAAGGAUAUGUAGGCAACUUCGGAAGCAGGGUGCGGUCAAAUCUUUCAAAAUGCUUCCCACGGAAUAUUCAAACGGGCAAAAAUUGCUCAUAUCCGCUCACUUUAUAUUUGCACGAAAACUCUUCAUGUUUACGAGCAAAGAGGGGCAACUGUGAGCACGUGAUUUUUGCCCUAUAUGAAUUACUCCCAUAAAUUCAAGAAAAUAAAAUUUUCCCAUUAUUUUCAAUUUCGUAGAUUUUUGUAGCAUGUUUUGUUAACUAUUUGCAUUUGUCUGUGCACGUUUGUUUAUUUAAAUUCAUGAAAAAUACAAAAAUAUAUUGCAUUUGCAUCUAGGAUUUAAUUUGGCAUUUUGGAAUUAGUUAGUAAUUUAGUUGUUUUACAAAAAAAAUAGAAAAAUAGAAAAAUAACUCAUUUUGUUUUAACUUUUUAACUUUGAAUUUUGUAGCUUCUUUUAAUUUGCGAACUAAUUAAUUGUCGUAAAAAUCAUGUUGAGUAAUUAGUUUAAUUUAGGAAUUUAAUUUAGUUUAAGAGCUAAUUUAGGAUUUAAUUUGAUUUGAAAAGAAAAGGGAAAAGAAUUGAGAGGAUCAAAGAUUUUGGGCCAAAUUAAUUGAAUUCCCCAAGCCCAAUUGCUUUGCACCCGGUUAUACCCGCCAACCCAGCAAAAACCCAUUCCAAAAAAACCGGUCCAAGCCCCACACAAUCCAAACGACCCCGUUUUGCUUCGAGUGUAUCUCAGCAGUUGAUUUCCAUUUAAUCCAACAGACGGGAACUUGGGUCCUUUUGAUAUAAAACUGUCCAAAUGCCCUGCACCCCUGCCUUGUCUCUCUCAUAUCUCCACUCUAAGAGACCACAACCUCAAAACCCUAGCGCCGCCUCCACUCCCCACUGCCUCAGCCGGUGGCGCCGCCUCCAAACCACCCCAAAUUCACACCCUAGAACCCCCUUUACUUCCUUAUCCCAAACCCAUGAUUAUUUACCCUAGAAUCGGACCCAAACUUGUCGAUUUUUAAAUCAAAGGUCUAAACCCUAAAAUCCCAAAGCCCAAAUCGGGGAGUUUAAUGAAGGUUUAAGGACAAAAUAGGUUUCAUUCGUGUGUUCUCGUUUGAGAACACAUGAUUAAAGCCUAUUUCGUUAAAAAAUCAGAGUUCCUUUUGAAGACUUUCAAGAUUUUUUCCACAUGGUUUAGGUAUUCUUCAGUCAUUUUCCUUUCUUUCAUUUUCCUUCUAUUCUUCAUUUUGUUUGUUUAAGUUCUAGUCUCCAUCUCCUCUUACUUCGCUUUUUCCAUUUUGUUUUAGUUUUAAAUCAGUUCUGUCUGUAUGUGUUGAAAUCGAGUUUGUUCAUGCAUGUUAUUUAUUUAUUUAUUUAUUUCUCUGUUUCUUUGUGUGUUUUCAUGUCCUUUUUUUUUAAAGAAAAGAAAUCUAAUUUUUCUCUUGGCAAUUCUGCUUUUCCCAAUGAUUCUAUAUGGGAUUUGAAAUCAGAAGCCCAGGAAGAUAUGCAAUCUAGUCGUGCAAGCUUAGGAUUUUCAGAUUAAACCAUUGGGUCCAUCUGACUUUUGGCCUAUUUAGAUUUCUGGGGUAAUUAACAUGGUUUAAAGGGGUAGUUUAGGAAUCAUAGGUAGAGGAAUCUUAUCUAACUGAAUUAGGAAGCUUCUUGGAAGUUGGGGUAGGGACUUAUGUGAAAAUCUGAAUUUUACUCUAAGGAUACCUAAGCAAAAAUGAAAAUUGUAAAAGGUUCUAAGUGCAAAACUAGUUGUAUUUCUGCAGUCCUAAUACCUUGCCCAUAAAGGCAUCUUUACUUCACUAGCAAGAAAGAGGAAGAAAAAUGAAACAUUAGAGAUAGAAAAACCCCUGAAAACUGAACGGCUGACUAAAAAGAACACUGAAUUUCCUACAGUUCUUGGUGGAAAAUUGCUCAAAAUUUGGCUUGUUUUUCUCUGGAUUUCUGAUUCUCUUAGCUAUAACUCUUUAAAAAGCUCCAUAGUUAUUUUGUUGGCUUGAAGAAAAUGGUUUGAGUUUGGUUUUAAGUUAGGGUGUUGAUUUGUGUUUCCUCCACUAUUCCAUCAAUUGUUCUCAAGCUGGUUUUUACUAUUUUAUUGACUGAAUAUGGGCUCUAUUCUCCUUGCUGCCGGCUAUUGAUUCUUCACUCCUUGGUUUCUAUCUUAUCUCCAGGUAUUUCCUUCAAACCAUGAAUGGAAAUGAAGUUCGUUAUGGCUGUUAUGUUGGAGUCAUGUAAUUCAGGUUGAAAAAAAACUGAUUGUUGUCCCUUCUCUGUUGCAUUACUAGUUUUAAAGUCUAUUAUAUUUUAUUUUUAAAUGCUUGAAGGUUUCUGAUCACAUGUAUAAGUGGUAGAGAACUAAUGCAAGGAAAUUUCAAUAGCAUCAAGUAUGUUUCAGGUCUGUUUUGGCUUGUUGAAGCCAUUGUUGUUGUGUGAAUGUGCUUAAAUUUGUUUUAAGAGUGAUGUCCCUAAAGUUUGAAAUCAUGAACUUUCAUGUUGAGGUUUAUCUAGUGUAGUAUCUUAUUUCAUAAAUUAUUGAUUGAAGGGCCUCUAAUUUAUGUAGCUUAUAGUCACCUUGAAUGAGGAAAAUGGUUUGAUUGCUUACUGCGGGGGGUUAGCCUUGUGUGGAAUUUCUCCAGACAUUUAUAAGUCUGUUUAAGUCGCGAUCCAGAUUUGUGUUCAUUUGACAAAUUUUAUGAGUUUUUAACCUGCCAUAGCAUGUGUCGAAAAGAGGAUCUAUUAAGUCUAACAACUCGCCUAAUUCCCUUUUGAGUUUACUGGAGAUUUAAGUGAUCAUGAGGGUCAGAUGAUUAUGUGUUAUCGAAAGCCAUGUUAGGCUCACAUCUAAAUUUUAUAAUUUGAUGUUUUGUAUGCUUGAAGACUCGAUCUCGAGUCCUGCAACUGUUGAUGCUCAACUCUCCAAGGACUUGGGUUCACGUUGGGCCUGAAAUGGAGACAAGCUGCGUUGCUUUAUAUGUAGGGCUAGUUAUUUGAGUCCAAUGCUCUUUUUCGUUAAUUUCUAACCAUUUUGCCAUUCAUUAAUCCUUUCUAACGUUGGUCUAUUGGUUUAAAAUUGGAUCAAACUUUUAGUCUGAAAAGUAGUGAUAAUUCUUUUCCUUGAUUAAUUAUAUUUGUUAAAGUAGACUUGAGGCGUGCCAUGUUAAAUAAGCUCAGGUAUGGCCCUCAGAAGCGUAGUUUGAAUUCCCUUUAAAAUUGGAAUUAAGGUGCACCGUGCCAAAUAAAAUCUUAAAAUGCAUGGCCCUCGCUUAAUUAAUUUUAAAUCUUUACAAUUCGAGGCGUGCCAUCUAGUUGAACUUCCAUGGCCCUCACAAAUUAAAAAAUGCGUAGUUGCUUUAGGCGCGUAAUUUAAAUUACCUUCCUAAACUCGGGUGUGCAUUUAUGUGACCCAAAUCCAAAUUUCAACAACAUCAAAUAAAAUGUGUCAUGGACCGCGGGUGCAUUUAUGCGACAUGGUUCAAGUUGUGUUUUAGAUGACGUUGAAUCUUUCUAAAAAUAUUUAAAUAAAUGCGGUUAUAAGGUUAAAAUUGUACCAUAGGCUAAAACAUGUAUUAAAAUCAAAUAAAUAGGCCAAUAAUAACAGUUGAGCGACCGUGCCAAAACCACGGAACCCGGGAAUGCCUAACACCUUCUCUCGGGUUAACAAAAUUCCUUACUCAGAUUUCUGUGUUCGCGGACUGUAAAACAUAAUCAAUCUUUCCUCGAUUCAGGAUUUGAACCAAUGACUUGGGACACCAUAAAUUAUACCAAUUGGUGACUCUGAAUUUUAAAUGAAAUUAUCAUGUUUCGAUUAUCACUUUUUAAUUGGAAAAACUCCUUAUACCCUUUCCGGGGUAAGUAAAAGGAGGUAUGACAUGGAAGACUUUGCAAAGUUACCGAUCUAGCCGGAAAAGUCAAGGAUCUGACUUGAAAGGCCAUGGAUGGUCAGAGAAAGGCCAUGAACAUAAGUUGAGCAAGGAUUGGACCAGAUUUCUGAAAUCACACAAAUAGGCCACCAGAGGGUGUAGGAGGCUGGUAUACAUCUCGAACGGCCAUGGGAGACCAUGGAUUAGGUGGGGACUGAGGUCGAUUUUUGUGAAAUUGGGCGGUGGCAGCUAGGGUUCAUGUGAGGCUGCAGAGAGAAUUGAGAGGAGAGGGAUUCAGGGGCAGCGGGUGGCGAGAUAUGAGUUAGGGUAAGGGGUCAUUUGGGUUUAAUUAUGGAAGGGUGAAUGGUGGCCGUUGUUCUGAACGAUCAAUGGCCUAGAUUAAAAGGGUAGGUGAGGAAUUCGGGUUUGGGUUGGUUGAAAUUGGGNNNNNNNNNNNNNNNNNNNNNNNNNNNNNNNNNNNNNNNNNNNNNNNNNNNNNNNNNNNNNNNNNNNNNNNNNNNNNNNNNNNNNNNNNNNNNNNNNNNNNNNNNNNNNNNNNNNNNNNNNNNNNNNNNNNNNNNNNNNNNNNNNNNNNNNNNNNNNNNNNNNNNNNNNNNNNNNNNNNNNNNNNNNNNNNNNNNNNNNNNNNNNNNNNNNNNNNNNNNNNNNNNNNNNNNNNNNNNNNNNNNNNNNNNNNNNNNNNNNNNNNNNNNNNNNNNNNNNNNNNNNNNNNNNNNNNNNNNNNNNNNNNNNNNNNNNNNNNNNNNNNNNNNNNNNNNNNNNNNNNNNNNNNNNNNAAAUUAUAAAAAUAUGUAAAAAUUACUUUAGCCGUAUUUUGACAUAAAUAUAAAGAUCCAAUAAAUGAAUCAUCAGAAAUACUAAUUUUGGACAUAAUUAUUGGGAUUAUAUGGAUAAAAAGGGACAAUAAAUUAAUUUAAAUCUAUGAAAAUUAUAGACAAAUAAUAAAAUAUUUAGACAUGCUUAUAUAUGCAUAUAUAUGCUAUUUGAAAGUAUUUUGCAUAUUAAAAAAUAUAUAGGGAAAAAUUGGGUAUCAACAAAGUCAAUGAAGCAGCCCAACAGUACCGAGGUGUGCUCUUUUGUGGACCUUGUCACAUCAAUGAUAGUUGAUGAUACCAGUGGAAUGAUCAAUGUGGAGGACCCUCUUGAGGCCGUAUUUUUGAAUCUUGAUGUCAAUGAGGAGGCAAGCUGGGUGGAGUGUGUGAAUGCUUUACAUGGAAUGGGCUCGUACUCUUAUGAGCCUAGAAAACUUUCUUUGGAUCUCGAGAAUAGGAAGACUCCACCAACAAAGCCUUCAAUUGAGGAUCCUCCGGUGUUGGAGUUGAAGCCGUUGCCUCCACACCUCAGGUAUGAGUUCUUAGGCCUAAGUUCUACUUUGCCAGUUAUUCUUUCCUCUUGUCUUACUAACAAGCAGGUUGAUGACACAUUGGUGGUACUUCAAAAGCGGAAAAAGGCAAUUGGAUGGACUUUAACUGAUAUUCGGGGGAUGAGCCCUGCAUUCUGUAUGCUCAAGAUUAUUCUAGAAGAUGAUGCAAAGCCCUCCUUGGAGCAUCAAAGAACGUUGAACGAAGCAAUGCAAGAAGUUGUGAAAAAGGAAGUGAUCAAGUGGUUGGAUGCUGGGGUUGUGUACCCCAUCUCUGAUCGCUCUUGGACUUCACCGGUGCAAUGUGUACCGAAGAAGGGUGGCAUUAUCGUGGUUGCAAAUUCACUAAAUGAGUUGAUUAUUACCAGAACCGUCACCGGUUGGAGGGUAUGCAUGGACUACCGCAAGCUGAAUAAACUGACCCACAAGGGUCACUUUCCAUUACCUUUUCUUGAUCAGAUGUUGGACCGACUUGCUGGGCGUGCCUUCUAUUGUUUCUUGGAUGGGUAUUCUGGAUUCAACCAAAUCUUGAUUGCUCCGGAAGAUCAGGAGAAGACCACAUUCACUUGUCCAUAUCGCACCUUUUCCUUUUCUCGGAUGCCUUUUGGGUUGUGUAAUGCACCGGCUACAUUUCAGUGGUGUAUGAUGGCCAUUUAACCGAUAUGGUGGAAGAUAUUUUGGAGGUGUUCAUGGAAGACUUCAGUGUUGUGGGUGAUUCAUUUGAUGAGUGUUUGAAAAAUCUUGAUAAAGUUUUGGCCCGUUGUGAAGAAACUAAUCUUGUUCUCAAUUGGGAGAAAUGCCACUUUAUGGUAGAAGAGGGCAUAGUUCUUGGGCAUAAAAUUUCAAAGCAUGGUAUUGAGGUAGACAAAGCAUAAAUAGUGAUUUCAAGGCUCCCCCCCCCUACCUCUAUCAAGGGAGUUAGAAGUUUUCUUGGGCAUGCGGGGUUCUACCGGAGAUUCAUUAAAGACUUUUCGAAGGUAGUGAAUCCUCUAUGAAAGUUAUUGGAAAAAGAUGCCAAGUUCGUGUUCGAUGAUAAAUGUAUGCAAUCAUUUGAACUUCUCAAGCAUAAAUUGACCACCACCCCUAUCAUUACCGCACCUAGUUGGAGCUUACCCUUUGAGCUCAUGUGUGAUGCGAGCGAUGUUGUGGUUGGGGCAGNNNNNNNNNNNNNNNNNNNNNNNNNGCUAAUUUCCUUGUUGACUGGUAUAAUCCCGUGUGAGCUCUCUUCUAACCAAAGGAAGAAGCUCAAACGGGAUAGUUUGGAUUUCUAUUGGGAUGAGCCAUACUUGUUCAAGAUUUGCACGGAUGGUGUGAUCCAAAGGUGUGUCCCGGAGAAACAAUUGAUUAUCUUAGAGGCUUGCCAUUCCUCACCCAAUUGUUGUCAUCACGGUGGGGUGAGGACCGCCUCGAAAGUUCUUAGUUGUGAGUUUUAUUGGCCAACGUUGUUCAAAGAUGCGGGUGAUUUUGUGAAGAGAUGCGACGAAUGCCAAAGAGCGGGUGGAAUUUCAAAGAAAGAUGAGAUGCCUCUCAAUACCAUUCUUGAAGUGGAUAGCUUUGAUGUAUGAGGCAUUGAUUUUAUGGGCCCAUUUGUUAGCUCUUGAGGGAACACAUACAUUCUUGUGGCGGUUGACUAUGUUUCGAAGUGGGUUGAAGCCGUGGUUUUACCUAACAAUGAGGCCCUGAGUGUUGUUGCAUUUCUCAAGAAGAGCAUUUUUACAAGGUUUGGUACUCCUCGUGCAAUCAUAAGUGAUUAGAGGAGGGUCUCAUUUUUGCAAUAGAGCUUUUGACACUUUGCUUGCAAAGUAUGGUGUCAACCACAAGGUUUAUACUCCCUAUCAUCCUCAAGCGAGUGGCCAAGUUGAAGUCUCGAACAAGGAAAUCAAGAGUAUAUUUUCAAAGACUGUCAAUGCAAAUAGGACCGAUUGGUCAAAGAAGCUGGAUGACGCUCUAUGGGCUUAUAGGACUGCUUACAAGACUUCGAUUGGUAUGUCUCCGUAUCGGUUGGUAUUUGUGAAAGCUUGCCAUCUACCGGUUGAGUUAGAGCACAAGGUCAUGUGGGCUUUGAGGAAGCUAAAUCUUAAAUGUUAUGUUGCAGCCAAUUUUCGUGUGGAGUAGCUCAAUGAACUUGGUGAAUUCAGAUUCCAUGCCUACUCCAGUUUGUCCUUGUAUAAGGACAAGAUGAAGUACCUUCAUGAUAAAUAUGCUCAUGGAAAGGAGUUCAAAGUGGGCAAUUUGGUUCUCUUGUUCAAUUCUCGGUUACGUAUGUUUUCGAGAAAGCCAAAAUGGAGUGGACCCUUUGAAGUAGUGCUUGUGACUCCUUUUGGUGCCCUUGAUUUGAAAAGAAAAUGGGGAAGUUUUCAGAGUAAAUGGGCAUAGGGUCAAGCACUACUUGGGAAAAAUUGAUGACAGCCAUGUGGUGUCACUUCUUCAUCUCAAAUGAUUUAAUGGUAACCUGCGUCAUGCCGCGACGUUAAAUCAGACGCUUCUUAGGAGGCAACCCAUGUGUUUUUCUUCUUGUUUUUAUUUGAUUUUCAUUGUAGUGUAGGGUUUAUUUUUGGACUGACUGGUUGUGAGAUGCUGUAGGAUUAUGUUGAUGCAGUGCAGGAAAAAGUUGGAAAAUGACUACUCUCUGAAGAUUGUCAAUGCGGACCGCACUGCCAUUUUGUGCGGCAGCAAAGACCUCAGUGCGGGGGCAAGAAAUCAAUGCGGACUGUGCUGAUGAAUUUCCAAAAAGUGGAGGUUCUCUGAAGUUUACCACCGUAGCCGCAUUCCAUUUUGUGCGGUCAACGGUGCUCUACUACGGCCGCAUUACAUUUUGUGCGGACCACGGUGGUUGUCUUGUCUGAGCCUUGUGGUUUCGAGCACCGUGGACCGUGGUACCAUUUUGUGUGGUCCGCGGUGGGUAGGUAUGCUGGGUCCCAGGACCUUCUCUAUAAAUAGGACCUGAGACCCUCUUUUUAUACUUUUCGAUCCUUUACUCUUUGAACUUUAAAAAAUUCAUUGUUCAUCUCCCUUCUUGCUCGUAAUUAAUUGCUAAGACUCAUCUAUCUUAAGUACUUCUCACAUCUGGUAAAUCUAACUUCUUCUCAAUUGUUUAAUUUUAUUAUUUUCAUUACAUUUUUGUUUUCUUAAUUCUUCUUCUUCCCUUCCUGUUUUUCCUUCGAAUUUGUAGCUUAGGGUAGUUAAAUUGUUGUGUUAAUUAGGAUUAGGUAGUAAAUGACUGAACCAACAAUUAUGGACUCUUAAUUAGGUGAAAAGUGGACUUAAUUUGAACAUAUCAUGAACCCUAGGUUGGUGCUAAUACUUGGUACUGAGCACGGACCGCGGUGCCCCUAUGCGGUCCGCAAUGGUAUUUUGUGCGGACUGCAUUGAUGAAGGUUUGAAACCUGAUCAUUGAGGACUGUGGCCGCAUUGCAUUUUGUGCAGUCCGCGGUGCCUCAAUGCGGACCGAAAUGGCAUUUUGUGCAGUCUACGGUGCAUUUAUUCAGAGAGUGGGUAGUCCGAACCCCACCUCAGUGCGGACCGCAGUGCCAUUUUGUGCGGUCUGCAUUGCCCUCUUUGCGGCCGCACUGCAUUUUGUGUGGUCCGUACUAUGUAAUAAUCUGCAACAUGUUCUUUUCUGCAACUGUGAACUUCAUUGUUUUUUUUGGAGACUAAUAAAGUCUAAUGAAUGUUGUUUGCAGACAAUGGUGAAAUCACGAGGCAAAAGUGGUAAACAACCAGGAAGGGGAGAGUCCUCCCGGGGUGGUAAAGGCAAAAACAUGAUAAGACUUACCCCACAAGUCCGUCAAAACAUAAAGAACACAAGGAAAAUCAACAGAGCUGCUGAUAGAGCUUUUGAUCAGUCGGGAAGUGAGUACGAGCCCUCCCGGAAGGCAUCAUCAGACUCCGUGCCAGAGUACAUUGCUUACUGGCCGGAGAGAAAGAGAUUGAGAGAUACACCCCUCGCAUCCCCCCACUGUCCAAGCUUCAGUUCAUAUAUCUUUUGAGUCGUCUAAGGGCUCAGCUGACGGUAGUGGAGAUGAGUACUCCACCUCUUCCAUAGCUUCAUUAUCCGGAGAUGAUGCAGUACUGGAGGAGGGGGAAGAAGCACAAGGGGGUGAGCCCUAAGGUGGCGGGGUUGGGUGGUCUAGGAACCCGGAGGCAUGGGAGGACCGGUUCGUCAGUAAGAUUGCCUAGCACAAGUUCAGAGAGUGGUGGCCAGAGAAGAGGUUGAUUCUGGAGAGAAAUAUCAUUACCCAGGAUCUUUUGCCUCACAAUCCAAAUGUGUUGAGGCAAUUCAAUGAUAGAGCUGGAUGGGACUACUUUAUCGAGCAAGUGGAUGACACAAAUGAGCAUUUGGUGUAAGAAUUCUACACCAACGUGGCCCACAUCAAAAAGGGUACCACGAUCACCAAAGUCCGAAACUUGAAAGUGAAGUUUGAUGGCAAGACCAUCAAUGACUAUUUGGGCUUCAUAGAGGAGGAUGAGCCCUGUACCUUGAAAAGAUGAAAUUGGGUGAAGAGGCCCGUCCGUGGUUGGCGGAAUACUUGGCAAUCCCAGGUACCACUCCUGAUUGGCUGACUGCGGGGAUAAAAAUAUUGAGGAGGACACAAAAUUUUGAGGCAAAGGGGUGGAAGGCAUUCGUGUGCAGCAGGCUAGAUCCUACCACCCAUGACAACUCACUCCCACUUCACCGGGCAAUCUUAGUUGCAUCAAUCAUGGUAGGGUACUCGAUCAAUGUCGGGAAUAUGAUGUCCUGGGUUAUUUCACGGGUGGUGAGUGAGGGUGACAGGUCCUACCCAUUCCCCAACUUUUUGACAAUGUACUUCGAGGACCUCAAUGUGGAGAAACGGGGAUUUGAUGUGAAGGUGAAGGCAAAGGCACCCUUCUCAUGGUAUAGCCUACAGGGUGAUGACAACCCCAAAGGCAAGCUAUCCGAAAGGAAAUACACUAUUUCAACUGGCCAGUCUGAAGAGCCAGUAGUAGUAGUGACUACUCCACAGCCUCCUUCCACUGCAGCAGAUAUGGCCCCUGGUCCAUCCACCUCCACAGAGCCAGAGAUACCUUCCACCUCUACCUAUCCAUUGACUGCCCACCGUCUGAGCCAGGCUCUCACUAGCAUCAACAACUGGAUGCAGACAACUACUUCUAAGCUGUCUGUGUUAUCUACUACCAUGACAACUCAGUCAGCUCAUUCGCCUCCACAGGUCCCAUAGUCUAUUGAGGAUGCUCUCAAGGAUAUUCUAGAUAACCAGAAGAAGAUCCUUGAUACUCAGAAAGUUCUCACGGACAUUGUAAAUUCACACAGAAAGGCUCUCAAGGAGCUUUCUAGGGAGGCCAAGAAGAUGAGUAAGACUCAGGCUUCCAAAGAGUCCGUGAAGGAGUUACGGGUUGAGGUUGACAGGUUGAAAGCAGAUCACCUGGCUUUGGAUUUGCUACUACAUGACCCAGUGCCAGCAGCCCAUCCCUAGCCAGUGCAGUCGGAGAGGCCUCCUAAGAGGAAGAGGGUGAUCCCCAGACAAAUGAUGCAGUGAUCCAGUUGGUAGACCCACCGGAGUCUUCCUCCAUUCAGCCACAGGAUGCAGUUUAAGAGCCUGUCCAUGUCCAGGUCCCAGUAGCAUAGCCACAGAUCACAGGGAGUCAGUCUCACGUUCCCGAGCAUAUUGGGGACCCAAGGACCCAGACAGAGGACCCUAUGCAGGUGGAUGUCCCAUAGGGAGUUUCUUUAUCCUCUUUCCUUUAUUUUUGGUGCUUAUUUUGCUUAGUUGGCAUUGAGGACAAUGCCAGCUUUCAUUUGAAGGGGUAAGCCCUACUUUGAUUGAUUUGGAUGACUGUAUAUAUGACAGAUUGUUAUUUCUUUCUUUCUUUUUCAUCUUUGGUAUGUAUAUAAAUUUUGCAUUUCAUUACAUUUUCCGUACUUUUUUUACCUUGGGUCUAUAUAUAAAAGUUAUGUUAUAUUUUAUAUAUUCAUCUCCCUUAUUGUAUAUUCGAUUAAGCCCCCCUCUUGUAAAUAUUCAUUUUACUUUCCGCAAUAUUUCUUCUUAGCUUCUUAUUUAUGUUCGUAGCUUCUUGUUUUGGAUUUUUGCAAUAAGACUUUGGUUUUCUUAAUGCCAUGGUUCUUUCCAAAGGUGGAGUUUGUGUGAACCGGGUGGCUCUUCCCGAUGAUAGAUGUCAUGACUACCUUCUUAAUGGUUUGAGUCUAUUUUUCUUUUCUUUUUGAUUUCUUGUAGUUAAUNNNNNNNNNNNNNNNNNNNNNNNNNNNNNNNNNNNNNNNNNNNNNNNNNNNNNNNNNNNNNNNNNNNNNNNNNNNNNNNNNNNNNNNNNNNNNNNNNNNNNNNNNNNNNNNNNNNNNNNNNNNNNNNNNNNNNNNNNNNNNNNNNNNNNNNNNNNNNNNNNNNNNNNNNNNNNNNNNNNNNNNNNNNNNNNNNNNNNNNNNNNNNNNNNNNNNNNNNNNNNNNNNNNNNNNNNNNNNNNNNNNNNNNNNNNNNNNNNNNNNNNNNNNNNNNNNNNNNNNNNNNNNNNNNNNNNNNNNNNNNNNNNNNNNNNNNNNNNNNNNNNNNNNNNNNNNNNNNNNNNNNNNNNNNNNNNNNNNNNNNNNNNNNNNNNNNNNNNNNNNNNNNNNNNNNNNNNNNNNNNNNNNNNNNNNNNNNNNNNNNNNNNNNNNNNNNNNNNNNNNNNNNNNNNNNNNNNNNNNNNNNNNNNNNNNNNNNNNNNNNNNNNNNNNNNNNNNNNNNNNNNNNNNNNNNNNNNNNNNNNNNNNNNNNNNNNNNNNNNNNNNNNNNNNNNNNNNNNNNNNNNNNNNNNNNNNNNNNNNNNNNNNNNNNNNNNNNNNNNNNNNNNNNNNNNNNNNNNNNNNNNNNNNNNNNNNNNNNNNNNNNNNNNNNNNNNNNNNNNNNNNNNNNNNNNNNNNNNNNNNNNNNNNNNNNNNNNNNNNNNNNNNNNNNNNNNNNNNNNNNNNNNNNNNNNNNNNNNNNNNNNNNNNNNNNNNNNNNNNNNNNNNNNNNNNNNNNNNNNNNNNNNNNNNNNNNNNNNNNNNNNNNNNNNNNNNNNNNNNNNNNNNNNNNNNNNNNNNNNNNNNNNNNNNNNNNNNNNNNNNNNNNNNNNNNNNNNNNNNNNNNNNNNNNNNNNNNNNNNNNNNNNNNNNNNNNNNNNNNNNNNNNNNNNNNNNNNNNNNNNNNNNNNNNNNNNNNNNNNNNNNNNNNNNNNNNNNNNNNNNNNNNNNNNNNNNNNNNNNNNNNNNNNNNNNNNNNAAAGUGACAGGUGUCUCUCUAACCCCUUAGAAAGGAGUGAAAUGACUUAAAAAGUCAAGUGAAUGUGUGCCAAAAUGAAGCAAAAGAAUUGCUUAAGGGAAGAUGGAACCUACUUAGACCAAACAUUUCCUACCCUGAACCAUAAGCCUUCACUAUGUCUCCACAAAAGCCCUAUAUGAUAUUGAGUAGAAUGAAGCUUACAUUAGUGACGACUCACAUAAGGGGCAAGCAUAUGGUACUUAGAGCCGGACGUAUGACUUUUCCUUGAGAGAGAUGACUGUAUUUCCAUUAACCUCGUUCUGAGUGUCAUUACCCUAAAAGUGAGGUUUGCUUAGGGAGAGUUGAGGAUGUGUGAGUUUGGGUUCCACAAUGACCAAAGUAAUAGAAAGAGUUUCUUUGAUGUGUUGAGUCAACUCUUGAUGCUCUUGUGUCGCACAAAAUCCAUGGUGUUUAAAAGAGUGAAUGUAGUUAAUGAUUCAUUUUUAUUGAGGGCAAUUGUUAGUCCCAAUUGAUUAUAGAUGAGGUCACUUUAGAACAACUGAAUUUUCUUGGAUUUUCUCUUAAGGGGUGAGUCUUAUUUUAUUUGCUUGCGGACAAGCAAAAUCUUAAGUUUGGGAGAGUUGAUAACUAGGGACUAUGAUGCAUUUUACACUCCUUCUUGCUUAAGUUUUGAUUAGAAAGGUGUAAAAAAUAGUCCCAAAGGCUCACAAGUUGUGAUUGAUUGCAGGUUUAAUCAACAAGGUGACAAGGUGUCAAAAACCAACUCAAAAAGGAGUGAAACUUGCAUAAGUACCAAGACAAGACAAAGCUCAGUCAAAACACCAUUCUGUGCGGUCUGCAAAAGUGAAGUUCAGAGAGGUUGCUUUUCAGGCCAUAAGGGCAAUGCAGCCGCAAAAGGGUAUUGUGCGAUCCGUAUUGGGUUCACCGCGGCCGCACUCGAUUUCAUGCGGUACGCAGAGCCAAGGUUCAGAUAAGUGGCAUUUUGGAGGAUGAAGCCCAAUGCGGUCCGCGGUCCAUUUCAUGCGGACCGCACUAGAAGCCACCGCAGCCGCACUCGAUUUUGUGCGGUCCGCAUUGCCCAAGUUUAGAGAGCACAUUAUUGGAGCCUAGAGCCUUAGUGCUGCCGCACUCAAUUUUGUGCGGUCCGCACUAGCUCCGCAGGGGUAUUUUUGUGCAGAAUUUUCAGUUUAGUAUAAAUAGUUUCUUUUCUCAUUUUUAGGUCAUCAGAUAGUUUUGUACGCAGAGCUGCGCUCAUGACUUCAUUUCUUUUACCUAUUUUGAGUAAUAUUAGCUUAAUUUCAACAUUGAAUCUUCAAGUUUAAUUUAGCAAUUAAUUAUUAUGAGAUUCUCUUCAUCUAUUGCCUUGUUUUUAUCUCUAAUUAUGAGUAGCUAGACCCAUAAUAUAGGGUUAUGACUCAACCCUAGUAUGGGUAAUUGAUGGGUCUUGUAUUUUAGGGCUUGAUUGACUAUGAGCAUUUGAUAUUUUGACUAAUUUCAUGUUUAAUUGUUGAAUUAGUAGUUGCAAACACUAGUUAUUGUUUAGUUGACUUUGGCUCUUCUUGAUAAAGAGAGCCUAAGUCUCUAAAAUUGGUCCAACAAGGAAUUGGGGCGUACUCAAGAGAUUGAUAGCCCCAAUUAAAGGGUUAAACCUAGAGAUAGUAAUACCCCACUUGAACCUCAAUUGCUUGCACAAAUUUGCAUACCCAAAUGGACUUGAGAAAGUCAAUUAGGGCAAAAUGACUUGAACCACUGAGAGGUGUAGAGUUAGUAGAAUCGUGCAAUGGUUAUAUCAUACUCCCCAAAUAUGACAAUCCAGCCUUAGACUCAAGAAUCCGUUAAUUAACCACCUAGGAGAAAGUCACUACCCUAGUGCCUUUUAUCUAUUUGAUCAAUUCUCAAUAGAUUAAUCUUAGCUUUAUUUAGCAUAAUAUAGCAUCGUAGUAUUAUACAAUUAGAAGUAAAAUCAAAACCCAAAAAUGUUUAGAAGUGUAAUUUGUAACAAAUACACAACUCCACUUUAGAUAGACACUCAACUCCAACAUCUAGCUCCCUGUGGAAAUCGAUCCCGACCUCAUCGGGUAAAAGCUGCUUCGACCUCUCUCGCUACUCAAUAGUAGUGCAGGGUUGGGCUCGAUCACUUGUUCUCAAAAUUCUUAACUUCCCUAAUAAUUUCCUCAAGUAUUUCGUCUUCCUCAUCUGAAUUACUAUUCUAGUAUUGUGUUGCCUCAUUACAUGUCAUAGUCACUCGUUCAUCAAGAAAAGUAAUAAUAACAUUGUAGAAAGAAAAAGUGUAAAAAUAGUAAUGAAUAAUAAAGAACAAAUGCAUUUGAUCAAAAUCGAAAAAUCAUCCAGACAAGUGCGGCUCGAUGAAUCGAGCAUUUAUUUUGAAACAAGUAAAAAUUACUAAAAUCUUAAAUGCCUAGAACGGCUAUAGAAGUGAAAUCUACCAAGCUACCCAAGGACUCGGUGAGCUAGGGAUGGUGUGGCAGUCCAGUUCCUGAGAACGGCUCCCUUCUUUACAGUCUGAAUAGUGAGGCCUUCUUCCUCCUCCUCGAUUAUGGCACUGCAGUCCAUGUCCUCAUCCUCUAAGAACAAAUUCUUCAACCCAGCUAGUGCUUCCUCUUCUGAAGUCCCCCAUAUCGUAUCAGCUUGGUGAAAAGCUUGUUCCAAGCGUGGCAAUAGUUGCUCGAGAGGGUAGUACGGUCCACGCUAUGGAGACGACCAAUCCUUGUACUCUUGCCAUGUGUACUGGUAUCCGAGCCCAAAGGCGGUACCAUGAUUUUUCAGCUGUAUCAGUUUAGUGAUACCUUGGAGGUUCUUUCCCAAUCAUUUGCCGGGUUCAUAUCCCGACCAUGCUAGUAUGCUUUCUAUUUUGUUACUCCACUACUUAUCCUUUUCGACGACAUUGACCCAUUCAAUGUGAUGAUAGGUUUCCCCUCCUAGCCUUCUUUUAUGUCCAAUGGCUGGGAUGGUUUGAUUGGUGUAGAUGGGGUUACUUCUAUCUCUGUGAAUGAUUACCUCUUGGCGGCUCUAUUCAAACUUCACGGCUUGAUGUAGUAUGGAAGGCACGGCUCCAGCGGCAUGGAUCUACGGUCGGCCCAACAGAAGAUUAUAUGAGGCUGGUAGGUCGAGUACCUAAAAUUCAACGUCAAACCAAGUUGUCCCCAUCUGCAAGCAAAGGUUGAUUCCCCCAAUCGUGGCCCUCUAGGACCCAUCGAAAGCUUUCGCAUUCAUGUUUCCUAAACGUAUUUCAUGGAAACCUUUGUCAAACCUUUUCAGAGUAUCCAAUGGACAAAUAUUUAAGCUUGAACCUCUAUCAACCAAGACCUUGGCAAUGAACUUGUCUUCAAAUUAUACCAUAAUAUGUAAUGCUCGAUUGUGAUUCAGCCCUUCAGGUGGUAGCUCAUCUUCGUGGAAGAUAAUCUUAUGACUUUCCAAUACUUGCCCUACCAUGUUGGCCAUUUCUCCGCUAGUGAUGUUAUUGGGUACAUAAGCCUCACUCAGUACUUUUAUUAAAGCGUUCUUAUGUGUCUCUGAAUUCUACAAUAGUGACAGGAUAGAUAUCUGAGUAGGAACUUCGUUCAAAUGGUCAAUGUUGGCCCAAGUAAAAGUUAGUUUUGAAGACUGACAAAGGAACUCAGGCAUGAACCAGGUCUAUCCUAGUGGUCCAUCCCCCAGGUUCAUAAAAACGGGCAAAUUCGAGCAUGUGGGUUGCACGUGAAGGAUAUAAGCUUAACUUGGUGUAUUUAAUAUCUCCUGAUUGAAAAGGUUGCAUAAUUGAUAAGGAGAAUGACUCCUUAAUCAAAGAGAACACUAUCCAAGAUAGGGAAGGAAUUAGAGGUUGAAAUCAACUAGAACUCUUCCACAAAGAAGAGUUGCAUCAGAACUCUAGUUAUUUCUUCAUCUACUAACUCUAUAAAUUGCAGGAUGUUCUCAAAUUACAAGUGUUGCACAAAAAACCAGAAGUUAAACGUGAAUUGAGAGCAAAAUAGCAAGGCUUUUUGCAAGCAGUUCGUGUGUGAUUCAAGUGUGCAAACCUGAAGCUACAUGAACCAGAUUGAAGAACCAAUUCCAUAAAGAGUUUUAUGUGUCUUUCUUUAUUUUUAGUUCAAUUGUAGUAGGUGUUUUCAUAUUACAACUUUCAACUUUAGCUAGAAGCAAUUGUAAUAGGUACUUUGAGUAUUCAAGUUAGAGUUAACUUGAAGUUGUCGCAACAGUUAGAGGAUGGUUGCUACAACAGGAUUAGAGGUAAUCCUUAGGUUUACAAAGAGUUUGUAAAUGCUAUUUUGGCUCAGUGAUUUAGUAAAGUGUUGGGGAAAAUACUACUGAGCAGUAGGUCGUGGUUUUUUCACAUUUUAAGCCGGGUGUUUUCCACGUAAAAUACUUGUGUUCUUUACUUUCUACAUUUAUUAUUCCGCAACAGUAGUAGAAGGACACACAUAGAAGAACCAGGUCCUUCCAUAAUUAGUUUAAGCGAAAUAUUGGUCACCAUACAAAUCUCCCUCCCCCCUCUUGUGUGAUAUUGAAGUAUAAAACAUCAAUUGGUAUUAGAGUAGGUUAUCCUUUAAGAGGCAAGCACAUUAGGAACAGAUCAAGAUGAGUGCACCACCUGAAAAAAGGGAAGGGCAAUCCACUAAUAGGCCUCCACUCUUUAAUGUCCACUACUACUCUUGGUGAAAAAACAGGAUGUGAGAUCACAUCAUCGGAGAAGACUAUCAUCUAUGAGACAUUGUUAUUGAUGGUCCCCUGGCUACCAUGAAGAAGAAUGCUGAAGAAGUAGAUGUGCCAAAAAUAAGAGUUGACUGCAAUGUUGAGCACCUGAGGAAAUGGGAAAAGAAUGCUAAGGCUAAGAAAUGGCUUGUGUGUGGGCUUGGUCAAGACAAGUACAGUAGAAUUCAAAGUUGUACCACUGCUAAGGAAAGCUGGGACACUUUGCAAGUGGCUCAUGAAGGAACACCUCAAGUGAAGAGGUCUAGAGGAACAGUGAUGUAUUCUCAAUAUGAGAAUUUUACCAUGAAGGAAGGGGAAACCAUCCAGGAGAUGUAUACAAGGUUCACCACACUAACAAUGAACUUACGUCUCUUAGAAGGGUUAUUCUUGAAUAAGACAAGGUUGAGAAAAUUCUAACAAGGGUUUUGCCUGUUACUUGGGAAAGCAAAAUCACUACUAUUCAGGAAUCAAAGAACAUUGCCACUCUUAAGUUGGAUGAGCUAAUUGGAAAUCUCACUGGGUAUGAACUUAGAAGGCAAACCAUGAAGAUGGAUGCACCCAAGAAGGAAAGGAGCCUGGCAUUUAGAAUCACUGAAGGUGCUAAUCUAGAGGAAGAUGAAAUUACCAUGAUCACAAAGGACUUCAAGAAGUACCUAAUGAGAGGAAAUGGUCCUUCAAGAAAUGGAAGCUAUAGAAAACCAAGGAUUCCUGAAAAACAAACCAAUUAGGGGUGUUACAAGUGUGGGAAGACUGGUCACCACAUCAAAAACUACCCUCAAUGGGAAAUUGAAAGGAAGAAGGAAAGAGCUGAACGAAAGAACAGGAAGAAGGAACAGGUUCAACCCAAGAAGAACAAAAGAUCAACAAAGGCUAUGGUUGCUGCCUCGGGAGAAAGGUUAGAUGAGGACUCAGAGGGUGAAGAUGGAGAUGAACAAGAACUUAUGGCAAUUGGAGAAUCUGAUGAGUAAUUUGAGGUAAGUAUAAUUCAUCUCAAAGACAAGAUUAAAUUUCUAAAGAAAGGCUAUCUGAGUUACUCUUGGAUUUCAUUGAUGAAUCUAAGGAUCUAAAUAAUGAAAAGGAACAACUGUCUAAGGAGUGUGUGAUUUUGAAAGCUAAGUGCAAAAUUCUGGAACUUAGGUCUAGUGAAAGUGAAAGUAAAAAUGCUGAGUUAAAGAUCCAGGUUCAUGAACUUGACACCACUAUCCUAGAGCUUAGAUCUAAAAAUCUAAAAUUAAAAUUAGGAACUGGUAAAAAGAAAGUUGAUCACACACAACUCACUUUAGAAGAAAAUGUAGGAAAAAUUAAAGAUGAGUUGUACAAAAGAGAUGAGCAGAUAAGAGUCCUUAAAGCGGAUCUAAACAAGGUUAAGAACGAGCUAGACAAGACCUGUAAAUGGAAUAGGUCCUCCGAUGCACUUUCAUGGCUACAUGAAUACCAUAGUAGCAAUAAGAGAGGACUUGUCUACGGGACCCCUGCACCUUAGUGGGAUCCUAAAAGCAAGUACCUCAAACUUCCUGAGAACAUAAUUUUCACACACUAUGCUAAAACUGGUCACUAUAAAUCUGAAUGUAUUGCAAAAUAAAAGGCUAGUCAAAAGAAUAAAGAAUUUGUUCAAGGGAAAAAUAGUCUACCAGGUUGGCUAAAAAGAAUUUGAUUCACCCUUUUGUCUAUAGAAAAGGACCCAAACUAGUUUGGGUUCCUAAGACUAACCCCUGAUUUCCUUUUGUGGGUCCAAGUGAAGGGGAGCAUCCAAAUAUGGUACAUGGACAGUGGCUGCUCAAAGCAUAUGACAGGAAAAAGAGUAAACAAUAUACAUUGUAGAUCUAUCCACACUUUUAGAAAAUGAACUCACUUGCUUAAGUGUGUUGGACAAUGACCCCCUUCUUUGGAACAAGAUACUUGGACGUGCUAGUCUAAGUCAACUGAACAAACUAGUCUCCAAGGACUUGGCGAUAGGACUGCCUAACAUUAAGUUCAAGGAAGACGAAAUUUGUGAGGCUUGUGCAAGGGGGAAGCAGGUAAGAUCCUCUUUCAAAAGCAAGAAAAUGGUAAGCACCACCAGAAUGAUGGAACUGGUCCAUAUGGAUAUCUGUGGUCCAAUGAGAACAUUAAGCAGAGGUGGUAAAAGAUAUGUGAUGGUGCUUGUUUAUGAUUACUCUAGGUUUACUUGGACAUUAUUUUUAACAUCUAAAGUUGAAGCAUUUGACAUGUUUACUUCUUUUGUUAGAAAAACUCAGAAACAACUAGGUAAUCAACUUGCAUCAAUUAGGUCUGAUCAUGGAACUGAAUUUGAAAAUGCUAAGUUUGGUGAAUUUUUGCAGGCUACAUCAUAAAUAGUUUCAUGACUAGACCUCUUGUUAAGAAGAUUCCCUAUGAGUCACUUAAAGGGACAAAGCUAANNNNNNNNNNNNNNNNNNNNNNNNNCCACCCAGGGCAACAUGACAGGGGGAACUGACUAGAGAGGAACCGAUCCUCAAACUUCAAGGGCAACCUAUCCAUGAUCAUAUUCCUCAGUAACAAAACUAUGAAGGAACAUCCAAAGAAAUUGACACUCCUAUUACAACAUCCAUAAAAUUAUAUAUAGAUGAAUCUGGUUCAUCUGUUGAUCAAAAGUUGCAUAGGGGAAUGAUUGGUUCUCUUUUGUAUCUUACUGCUAGAAGCCCUGACAUUGUUUUCAACAUAGGUCUUUGUGCACGAUUUCAGGAAAAUCCAAAGAAGUUCCACUUGACUGCGAUCAAGAGAAUAUUGAGACACUUAAAAGACACCACUAACCUUUUCCUUUGGUAUCCAAAAGGUAGUAAUUUUCACCUAGUGGGAUAUGCUGACGCUGAUUAUGUAGGUUUCCUUGUGGAUAGGAAGAGCACCUCAGGUAUGAAACACUUUCUUGGUUCGUGUCUUGUGUCAUGGGCUAUUAAAAAGCAAAAUUCAGUGGCCUUAUCUACUACUGAAGCUGAGUAUGUUGUUGCUGCUUCAUAUUGUGCUCAAUUGAUGUGAAUCAAACAGAAAUUAAUGGAUUUUGAAAUUGAUGUAGGUUGCAUCCCUAUUUUCUGUGAUAACGACUAGUGCUAUUAGUAUGACUAAGAAUCCGGUUCAUUAUAAGAGAACUAAGCACAUAGAUGUUAGACACCAUUUUUUGAGGGACAACUAUGAGAAAGGCUUGAUCACUGUGGAGUUUUGUGCUACUGACAAGCAAAUUGAUGACAUCUUUACAAAAUCCUUAAGUAGAUAUCACUUUGAGAGGAACAGGUUGGAACUAGGGAUGAUUAAGACCACCUAAAAAGACAAGUUCAAUGUUAAAUGAAAAAAAUGAAAAAAAAAAUUGAAUAUUUUUUUGGUUAGAAAGUCUGUAAUUGUAUAUAAUUAGAUUAAAUUUUGCUCAGUCUCAUACUUUCCAUAGUAUACUCUUGUGCCAUGUGUUAAAAUGACUCAUUAAUCUCUAAUGAUAAUUUCUCUAUUUUGGCAAAUUUAGACUUACACAAGAGAAUUAUCAGUAAAGAACCUAGUUCGUCAACAUAACACGGUAUGUUUUCUACACUCUGCAUAAUUUGAAAUAACUAUAUUUGAAUCAUGAGCAGAGUCCUACCAAAUACCAAAGUUCUUUUAAACUUAUCCGUUACAAGUGAACCAAUUACGUUCAAGACUCCUGACCGUAUUAAACUACCUAGAUUCUUUUAAGUCUGCUACUCAGGGGGAAGAAAGUGGUUUUUCUGAAAUUGAACAGGAAUCUUCUAAUUCUAAAGUUUCUCCUGAGACAAUUUCUAAAGUUGCUGUGAAUUUGGAAAAUAGAUUUGUAGGAUCUAUAGCAAGUGUUGAGACUAUAGAAUCUGGAGAAGUUGGUGGUAAAAAUAAAAAAGAAAAAAGGAGAGCAAGGGUACUAGGAGUACUGCGAGGGGAAAGGGUACAAGAGUGGUUGAUUCUUAACCCACUCCUGUAAGUUUAACCAAAGACGCAGGUGCAAUGGUUGUUUAGGGAGAUGAAACUGGUUCAUCUAUAGAGGAAACUCUCGUAGACCUGCAGAAAAAAGUGACUGAAAGCUAUAAUCCAGCUUCUUGAUAGAGUUAUCAAUGGCACCAAAACUCAUACCAUUCUCUAUGGCUUCAUUCUCACAACUGUGCUUGCACAUUUUAAUGUACCUAUAAAAAUAUGGGAGGAUAGUACAAGCAUGGAUCAUUUUUGGGUUAAUACUCUGCUUCCUUGCGAUUAUGAAGUCAAUGUCACUCCUAAAGAACCUAGUUCAUCCAAAAAAGCACCAACGAAUAACAAGGUCAGAGCCUUGGUGCAAGAAAGUGGGGCUAAGGAUGCUGAGAUUGAAAGGCUGAAGAAGAGGUUGGUUGAGGUGGAGACUAAGAGAGAUGAUCUCAGAACUGAGCUAGCAAGAGAAAAAGAGAAGAAUAAUGGCAUUCUUCAAGGAAUACUGAAACUCCUCCAAGUCAAAAACCAAGCACCUAGUUCUUCCUUGCCUUAAGUCUCCUAGACUAGUGUAGAUCAACCAGUGACCCAGUUCGGGAUUUUUUUGUUGUUUUUGCUCAUGUUUCCAAUAUUUUUAUUUCUUUUUAUGCUUUGUGGUAGAAUCUUAUCAAUCGUCAAUAAAAUUCACUGUCUCUUCCUCUAACUGUUUAUUUAUAUUUCUUUGAUGGUUAAAAUUCUUAGCUUGAUCUAUGAUGAUUAAUCCAUGAUUGCAUUUGAAGUAGCCUCAUUGGCCAUGAGUAAGUUUUAAAAUCUUGUUAUCUCACAUUUUAUGCAACUUUUCGGUGAUACCAAAAGGGGGGGGGAAAGGUUGUGCUUUACACUUUGAACAGUGAUGUUUAUAACCUAAUGUACCUAGUCCUUGAUGAUAAGUUAAAACUUUGCAUUGAUGUUGAGCUGAGUUCUGGAAGGGCCUAAGUGUAUGAAAAGUACAUAGUUUGUCAUCAUAAAAAAAGGGAAUUUGUUGGCCCAAGUAAGGGUUAGUUUUGAAGACUGAUAAAGGAACUCAGGUAUGAACCAGGUCUAUCCCAGUGGUCUAUCCCCCAGGUUCAUAAAAACGGGCAGAUUCAAGCAUAUGGGUUGCAUGUGAAGGAGAUAAGCUUAACUUGAUGUAUUUAAUAUCUCCUUAUCGAAAAGGUUGCAUAAUUGAUAAGGAGAAGGACUCUUUAAUCAAAGAGAACACUAUCCAAGAUAGGGAAGGAGUUAAAAGUUGAAAUCAACUAGAACUCUUCCACCAAGGAAGAGUUGCAUCAAAACUCUUAUUAUUUCUUCAUCUACUAACUCUAUAAAUUGCCGGAUGUUCUUACAUUACAAGUGUUGCACAAAAACGCAGAAGUUAAACGCGAAUUGAGAACAAAAUAGCAAGGCUUUUUUGCAAGCAGUUCAUGUGUGAUUCAAGUGUGCAAACCUGAAGCUAUAUAAACUAGAUUGAAGAGCCAUCUCCANNNNNNNNNNNNNNNNNNNNNNNNNNNNNNNNNNNNNNNNNNNNNNNNNNNNNNNNNNNNNNNNNNNNNNNNNNNNNNNNNNNNNNNNNNNNNNNNNNNNNNNNNNNNNNNNNNNNNNNNNNNNNNNNNNNNNNNNNNNNNNNNNNNNNNNNNNNNNNNNNNNNNNNNNNNNNNNNNNNNNNNNNNNNNNNNNNNNNNNNNNNNNNNNNNNNNNNNNNNNNNNNNNNNNNNNNNNNNNNNNNNNNNNNNNNNNNNNNNNNNNNNNNNNNNNNNNNNNNNNNNNNNNNNNNNNNNNNNNNNNNNNNNNNNNNNNNNNNNNNNNNNNNNNNNNNNNNNNNNNNNNNNNNNNNNNNNNNNNNNNNNNNNNNNNNNNNNNNNNNNNNNNNNNNNNNNNNNNNNNNNNNNNNNNNNNNNNNNNNNNNNNNNNNNNNNNNNNNNNNNNNNNNNNNNNNNNNNNNNNNNNNNNNNNNNNNNNNNNNNNNNNNNNNNNNNNNNNNNNNNNNNNNNNNNNNNNNNNNNNNNNNNNNNNNNNNNNNNNNNNNNNNNNNNNNNNNNNNNNNNNNNNNNNNNNNNNNNNNNNNNNNNNNNNNNNNNNNNNNNNNNNNNNNNNNNNNNNNNNNNNNNNNNNNNNNNNNNNNNNNNNNNNNNNNNNNNNNNNNNNNNNNNNNNNNNNNNNNNNNNNNNNNNNNNNNNNNNNNNNNNNNNNNNNNNNNNNNNNNNNNNNNNCGCAAUAGUUAGAGGCUGGUUGUUACAACGGGAUUAGAGGUAAUCCUUAGCUUUACAAAGAGUUUUGUAAAUGCUAUUUUGGCUCAGUGAUUUAGUGAAGUGUUGGGGAAAAUCCUACUGAGUAGUAGGUCGUGGUUUUUUCACCUUUUGAGUCAGGUGUUUUCCACGUAAAAUACUUGUGUUCUUUACUUUCUACAUUUAUUAUUCUGCAACAGUAGCAGAAGGAACACAUAAAAGAACCAGGUUCUUCCAUAAUCAGUUUAAGCGAAAAAUUGGUCACCAUACAAAUCACCCCCUCUUGUGUGAUAUUGAAGUAUAAAAUAUCAGUCAACAACAGAAUACUCCUUUGCCUAUACUUUCCUUCACUGGUCAUCUGGCUCGGUCUCAAUGAUAGGCUGCCUAGUAGUGGAAUCCUUACUUGAUCCCCCCAAAUGUUCUAGUGUAUAGACUCUUCCAGUUCUAGUCAUUCCUUGUGCGGCGUCAGAUUCCUCUGCCUUAGCCUUCCCUUUCACCGAGCCUCGGCAACAUAAUCCUAGGGUAUUUCUUUGGAGUUGAAUGGGGGGGGGGUGGUUAAUACUGUCACAGUGAAAGGUGUGACCACUUCGACUUCAAAUGGACCGGGGGUGGCCACGGGCGGAGCCACCUCUACCUCGAAUGGAACUGAUGUAGUUACCUCAACCUUGAUUGGGGACUGAGUCUGUACCAUAAUAAGAGUAAGUGUGAUUGCAACUUUAAAGUCAUCGCCUUCUCAAAUAAUCCCAAUCGACCCCUCAGGGUACCAUUCUUCAUUUGUCUCUAUCACAUGUACACUAUCACAUCUAUGAUCAGGGAGGGGAUUGUUGUGGACAUUAGGUGUGGCUUCCUUUGCAUGUCUGAUCUUGUUGUUAAUCAAUAUCUAGAUCUUAUCCUUCAAUAUAUGGCAUUCAGCAGUGAUGUGCUCCUUCAUACCGGAAUGAUACACACAAGUCUUGUUCGGAUUGAUCUAUUGGGAGGGAUUUUCUAAUGCUACUGUGGGAACGUGAGUGAUGUAACCUGCAGCUUUCAACCUUUCAUACAACUGGUCGAUGGGAUCAGCAAUAGUGGUGUAUUGUUUGGGCGACUUGCGGUCGAAGUUGGGUCUUGGUCUUGGAUAAUUUGGUGGGCUGGUGCUGAUUGGAAAUGGGAUAGUUGGGAGUUAUAGGUGUAAUGAAUAGUGCCUAGUUGGGAAUAUCUAGGAGAUGAAGGUUGAUAUGUAGGCGGUGAUGCUUGGUAUGUAGGCGGAGGUGUUUGAUAUGUGGAUGGAGGUAUUUGAUAUGUGGGUAGAGUUGUUUGAUAUGUAGGUGGAGGGGUUUGAUAGACAGGUGGAGAUUUUGGGCCCCGGGCCACCAUUACUAUUCCAACAUCUUUCCUCUUUGAUAUGCAGCUUGACUAUAAUGUCUUAUUUGUGGCUUGCAGUGCCUCGAAGUCCCGCUCUUAAUUCCUUCUUCGAUUCUUUCUCCAAGUUUGAUGAUGUUAGAGAAUUUGUGAUUUUGAUAACCAUCAACCUUUCAUAAUAUUACGGAUCCUGUGCUCAGACGAAGAAUUUGUUCGUUUGUUCUUCGUCCAAAGAUGGCCUGACCUUGGCUGCUUCCGUCCUCCAACGAGUAGCAUACUCACGGAAAGUCUCAGUAGGUUUCUUCUUAAGAGUCUUGAUGUAAAACACAUUUGGUGCGUUCUCUGUGUUGAACCUGAACCGGUCCAUGAAAUCUGACACCAUACUUACCCAAUUGGACCAUUUCUUGGGAUUUUGGCUGAUAUACCAGGAGAAAGCAUCCCCGGUAAGAUUCCUCAUAAAUAGCUUCAUCCGGAUUUUUUUAUCUUUCCCAACCCCGACAAGCUUGUCACGAUAGGUCCUUAGAUGAGCCCUGGUAUCACCUGCGCCGUCGAACAUCUCGAACUUGGGAGGUUUGUAUACCGCAGGUAAUUCCACAUCAGGUUGUAUGCACAGGUCUUCGUAGUUUAAACCUUCUAUUCCUCUGUCACCUUCAACCCCCGAAACUGGGUUUGUUAACUUCUUGAGUUCUUCAUCCAUGUUUUUAAUGCGCAGGUCUUUCUCUAAGGAUUCCGGUGUAUAGGAGAUUGGUUGGGUAGAAUGAGGUAUGCUUUCCAAAUAUAUAGGGUUGCUUUGAUGGGUGCCAGGAACUUGGGUGCAGUGAUGGUCAUUGGUGGAGUUUUGUGGAUCGGGAAUAGGUGCUGUAAUUUGGGGAGUAUGGUAAGUGUUGGUUGGCGGGUACUGAAUUGGUUGAUGGUGAUGUUGUGGUGGAGUUGGUAUUGGCAGUGGAUUGAGAUUGUGGGGUGGAGUUGCGCACUGAUCCGGUGCGGUAUGAUUUUGUGGAUGUUGGUUUUGUGUGUUCUGGGGAGGUAUUAGGUUCUAUAUUUCUGUUGGUUGAUGUCGGGGACAUUCAGGGUGAGUGACAAGUUUGCCAAGUUUUGAACCUGCUCAAUUCUCCUUGCAAUUCCAAUAUCUUUUGUUCCAGUCUCAGGACUAGAUCAUUUGGGGCCGGAGUACUACGACCAUCUGAGGUUUCUGCGUUCUCAACAUUCUUCUUUCGGAUACCACUUAAGUCGUCCAUUUUUUCUUUUCCUCUACCUUUUGUAUCGCUUAGAUGAGGAGGAGGUGGAAGGCCUCUAGAUCUGGUAUGAUACGCUGAUGAGGCUAGUAUGAGUGAACCAACCUAAGGGGAUGAGAAUAAUAAAAAUAAGAAAAAAACAAAAAAGGUAACAAGUCAAUGAGGAUCCUAAAAUGUUUGCAGUAUCUAAACACAUAUUGCGAAAGUGUAAAUUCAUGUCCUACUUUGGGAACCUCGUUGUGCUCGAGGUAGGCCUAUCGACAAAUAAAUUUGGAAGACUUUUAAUGCCAAUAAAUGUUUCAUUUAAUAAUAUAAAAAUAGACGAACCCCAAAACGACACUAAGAUAAUAAUAAAAAAUAAGUCACUAUUAGCACUUGGCCUUAUUACAUUUUAGGAAAAAACAAAGAAAUCUAGCCUAUUUGGUCCCAGAAGGACCUUCCCCAGAUUUGAUCUUCCGGACUCCAUCAUAUAGAUCCCCCAGCUCACCCAGCCCCAGCAGUAAGUAGGCCAUGGCCAGAUGUCCUCCUUCAGCGUUCCGACAAUUUUCAAUUCUCUUUAUGACUUUGCCUUCUAGCUCCACGAUUCCUCGCUCCAGAUAUUCCAGUUUCCUGUUGGAAGUAAUUGCCAUUUCUUUCCAUUCCUCGAUCAUCCUCACAUUCCUCUCAUGUAUUUCUCGGUGCUCAAUUUCAGAGUCGUUGACCCUCUUGCACAACCUAUUGUAUUUGACUUGAGCUUCAGCUUCUUCAUCUAUGAUUAUAUUCCCUCGAAUGGCCCCUGGUGUCACCAUUCCUUUCAGCUUUUCUUCCAACCAUGCCGGGUAGAGAGGAUCACACCCUGUAUGAUACCUGUCUGGCUCAAUGGUGUUCUUCUCCACAAUGAUUUUGCAGUACCACAUGUGCUGAGCUUGGCACUUGUAAGGGACGUCGUCGUCUUGAAAGUCUGACCUGAAGUGACUCAUCUUGACAACCCUUGGUACAAUAUGUUUUCUGCCUACUUGCCUCAUAACUCGCAUAGGGACAAUAGGUAUAUCCCUCUCAACCCUAUCAACACCAAGUACGGAGCAUCCCUGGAUGUGAUGAUGAAUUUGCCUGUUGGGAACCAUUCAAACAUCCAUUGCACCUGUUCCUCGAUCAGAUUGUCGAAGAACUCUACCCAUUCUUUGGCACUUUCUGGCUGAGCAAACCUAUCUGGAAUGUAAGUCAUCCUCUUUGGGUGAUGGAAGGCAAUAUGGUCGUUCCAAGCCCUUUGUGGAAAUUCUUGGCGAUCGAGACCCUUUUGAAAAUGCUCCAACAGCAAUAACUGCAGCAACAAGUUACAACCCUCGAAAUGUUUGAUCCCUCUUUGACAGCGCUCCAGAGCCCUGUAGAUGUCAGCUAAGAUCAUGGGAACUAUGGUAUAUGUCUGUCCAUUAAUCCCUUCCAUCAAAAUCUUGGUGACCAUGGCCAACCUAGUGUGGAUUCUUCCCUUUUUCAUUGGAAACACUAUCAUUCCUAAGAAGCACACAAUGAAUACAGAGAUCUCAUAAUGGUAGGUACAUAAAGACUUGUUAUGGCCAUACCUCUCAUACGUGUAUUUGAAAGGUAUGUAAGAUUCUUUCAAGAACACUAGGUCGACAUUCUUCUUCAGCCCCAUCAUCUUUAAAAAUCCCCCGCUCGUACUAUUUUCUGGUACCAAUAGCCCAGGACUAUCCCAAGUCAAUCCCGCAAGCCCUCCAAUUUCCUCCUAAAACGGUGUCAUUUCUAUGUCGCCGAAGCGAAACACAACCCUUUCACUGUCCCAGAAUAAAGUGGCAGCCUCGAUCAACUUGUUGUUUGGCUCAAUAUCUAGCAAGGAAGGCAAGUUACCCAUGUACUUUCUCACAUGUUUCUUCCCACUUGAGGAAAGGUCCUCCCACCAAUCUAGCAGCAAUGGUGGGAUGUUGCUAACCAUACCGAAUCUGGGGACCUCGUGUCUCAUUUUCUACAAAACAAAAGGGUUAGGCCUUACCCCCACUAGACUCGACUAUUUAUACAUCUACAAUUAGCAUAUCGGCAUUUAGUUCUCCAAAUUAAUGCACAGAACGUGGUUGUGUCCGUUGGGAAACCCGAUAGACUUUUGGGUAAGGCUUAUCUUAAAGGAUUAUUAUGUGGACAACAUAAUUGAUCCGACUAAGUUUGACCAUGAUGCAUGCACAUAAUCGAGGGGGAAGGCACGAAACCAUCGACUGCACCGCUGAUCGACUGAUUUUACCGUAAAUAACCCUUUCGAAUUUAAGAGUAAUAAAUAGGAAGAGUGCAAUCACUCAUUAAAGCAUUGCUAUAAGAUUUGAUACGCAUGAGUGGAAUAUGAUGUGGAGCAUGAGUUAUGUAGCAGUUAAUAACAUGUAGUCAAGUAUUUGCACGUAGGAAAAUAAAUACAGUAUUUGAAUAAAUGAAAGACAGUUACAGGAAAAAGAAACAAAAGACAAGUCAAUUUUAGGGAUAAAGAAUCAAAAAUGCUUAAAUGAAAAUGGACAGUUAAAUUCAAAUGAGGGAGAAGGGUACGGUAUAAAGCAUGCUUGGACUAAUUCAUAAAAAGAUAAGUUCGUUAUGGUAAGAGCCUAAAGGUAUCCCUAACAGAGUCGCCAUGCUGUCGCACCCCCGUUUUUCCCUCCGCGGAGAGGAGUCUGGGUUUUGACAAUCAUGAGGGUAAUAACUCAUUGGGAAUUGGGUAUUUAGAAGAGUCGCCACCUAACGGAUUAUGGUGCGUUAGGGCACCCAGAGUGGUUAACUCUUGGAUUGGUUUGCAUUACCAAAGAUUAAGGGAAAGGGCUCAAAAUAACCUUGAGGGGAAGCUGUUAGGCACCCCUCUCGGUCCAUAUCUGUAGGUCCCGAAUGAACUUAUACUUGUGAAUUAGUCCUUCAACAAAUAAGUAGUUGAAACAAAUAAUUGCAAAUAGAGCAUGUUGGACAUUGUAUGACUCAAAUAAUAAGACAAGGGAUUUGAGCAAGUUGUAUACAUAAAGGAAAGUUUUAAAAAUAAGAAAUUAGGGAAAUGAGGGGUCCUAGGUUGGUUAGCGUACAGGAUCACCCCACACAAUGUCUGGUAAAUACUCCUCAAUGAGGGGCUACACGUGAUAUUAACAUGUAGUCAUCAUAUCCAUAUCUACCCAUUCCCUACCCCUUAGUGGUAACUAAAGCGAGUGUUGGUUAGCGAUCUCUAUUGCGUGUUGUUAUUCGUCCCUUCUUAAUGGUCCUGGAGGGAAUUAAGACCUCUACCUAUAGGUUGUUCUAGACGGAUCCUAAGGUUUAAAGGAAAAAUACUAAGGUGACAAGCAAUAAUACAUAGGACUCUUAGUAAAUAAGAACAGGAAGGAGCAAAUAAGAGGCUCAAUUUACCUCUACAGAUAAGGCAUGUAAAUAGCACGACUCAAAUACAGAUAAGGGCAACAGUAUCCUAAGACAUGAUGUCUAGGUGAGUAUCAGAACACAGUAGAUAUGCAAGUUUAUUUUAUAACUCAGAAGCAGGGCCCUAAUCAGUUUGCCUACUGAUUUUAAGCAUGUUAAUCAUUAAGCAGUACACAUAAAGGGGCAGUUUCCAGUUUUAUAAGAAAUUGGAUUACCUAAGGCUUGCCUAGGCGUACGAUAAUGCACAAUUGUUACCAGAACUAUUAGAACAAUGAAGGAGUUAUUUUACCUAAAAGCAUAUUGUUUUAAGUAUUAUAAAAUGCAGGGAUUAUUACCAGUUUAUUUUAAACAGGAUAAUCAAAUGUGAAGCUGUUUUUGCAUCUUCCAUAAUCAGUAGUUUACACUUGGUGUGACCGAGAAAGUACGAAUAAGAUCCUAAAGCAUGGUAUCUAAGAUUAAUGUAUAAAGUUCAUAAUAGUUUACAUGCAAAAUUCCUAAAGCAGGAUUUCUAAAUACAUAACAGGUUACAGCAUGAUUUCAAAACGCAUAGGGGACAAUUUAUCUUUAAUGUCGUUUAUCCUAGAAACAUGAUUUCUAAGUGAUAAUAGAGAUGUCAAAAUGAGAUGUUGAAAGUAGUAGACAUGGAUCCUAGGAGCAUGGUUUCUAAUACAUGAUAUGCGUUGCAUAUAUUGGUCCUAAAUAUGAGUUCUAAUGCAGAUACAAGAGAAUAUAAACCUAAAGCAUGUUUUCUACCCAUUGAUAUUGAUAACAUGUAUAACUACCCGCCCAUUUUCACUAUCCAACCCCCAUGUUUGUUUACAAAUUAUUACAGGCAAAUAUCGAAUGAAUUACAUAAAUAGAUUAGAAAAAUAAGAAGUUACUCUAUAGGGAGCCUACCAAUAGGCCCAGAUUUCCAAAGUUUCCAAUGCUAGAUUGCCUCAUAGCCUUUCACAUAAUCCAGGUGUGUCAGAGUUCCCUAAGGACCUCAAGGGAUAUCGAGCAGUACUCACACCCAUAUUUCAUAGUCACAAAUGAGUAAGUGCAGUGUGGAAGGGCCAGCUCUAAUGUAUUAGAGUGUAGGUGGGGUUGGAGCACACCAUUACGGGUAAGGAGGGUUUGAGCAUAUGACUGUGCGUGGUAAACAUGAUGUUGGGGUGGUCUGGUUAAGUAUUGAUGGUAUUGUGGUGGGAAAUAAUGUUAGGGUGGAUUAUAUAGAGCUUGGGUGUAAGCUUGAGGGUAGGGUCGAAGCUGGGUGUAUUGAUGAGGCGAACCCCUUGGGCUAUGCCAUGAUCCCGAGACAACUAUAGCGAUAUCAUCUUUCUUCUUUUUUCCUAACACGUCUCCGGUGCCACCUUGGAUUGCCUAUGUGGUUGCUUUUAUGGUAGAGUAGCUCAUGAUCUUGCUUGACUUGAGUCCUUCCUCCACCAUUCCUCCCAUAUUUACCACCUCAUUGAAAGACUUACCUAUGACCGAGAUCAAAUGGCCAAAGUAAGUAGGCUCCAAGGCUUGAAUAAAGUACUCCACUAUUUCAUCUUCUUCCAUUAGAGGGUUGACCCGUGCAACCUGCUCUCUCCAUCUAAAUCCAUAUUCCCUAAAGCUCUCACUGGGAUUUUUCUCUAUCUUGGUAAAGUAUGGGCAAUCUAGGACAAUGUCUACAUUGUACUGAAAAUGCCAAGCAAAGGCCUGAGCUAAGUCAUCCCAUGUGUACCACCCGCCAGUGUCCUGGCGGGUGUACCAUUCCAGAGCUGCCCCACUCAAACUCUGGCUGAAAUAUGCCAUCAAUAGUUCAUCCUUCCCACCGAAACCUCUCAUCUUACUACAGACGCCUCUCAAGUGGGCCACGGGAUCUCCAUGCCCAUCAUAGAAGUCAAACUUGGGCAUCUUGAACCCAGCGGGCAACUGGACGUCAGGGAACAAACACAAGUCCUUGUAAGCCACACUUACUUAGCUUCUUAUCCCUUGCAUGUGUCUCAAAGUUGCUCUGAAUUUUUCACUUUUCUAAAUAUCUUAUCCUACUCCACGUUCCUGGAUGGUUUCUCAGUUUCAACAGGAGGUUCAAAGUGAGGGGUAUAGGAAAAAGGGUCUGUGACAUUAAAAGUUGGUUUUGGAGCAUAAUAUUGGGUAUCUGGAGCGUGGAACGCCAGUUCACUAGAAGAUCGAUGAAGGGUACCUCACAGAAGGGCUACAAAAACAGAAACACAUGUCACAGCAGGGUAUGCGGUUGUUUUGGCGGUGGACCUCUUCUUUCAAUUCAGACAUAGAUUCUACCAUCUCUCUCAGUGGGUCAACCACACCUGUGUCCAAUUCUUUGCUAUCCAUGAGUGCCUUGCGUUUUGACCUAGUAUUAUAUGGAUGACUUGCUAGAAUACCAAACAAACUAACCACUUUCCUGGACUUAAGCGCAACAAGCAAACUUGUUAGUUUCAAGAGUUUGACAAAUAGGAAAUCGCACGUGCGAUGCAAUGCACCUAAAUAGUUAAACACUUCUAUCAUGUAUUUGAACAGCUGCAUGUUUCAUCCCGACCUUAACUAACCCUUUUAACUCUGCACCUUUUUUCUUUCGUUUCUGCCUACCUUUAAUCACUCUUGAUUCUCUCACUUUAUUCCUGUCGCUCAUUUAUUUUUUACAUUCUCUUUUUUUGCCACUCUUUUUUUUCUUUUCAUUCAAUUCUCUUUUCUUUCUCUUUUUUUAAUUUUAUAGCUAUGAUCGAAUCCUAUGGGGAUUGCCUAUGUAUCAUGAUACUGCAUGAAUCAGAUCAUUAUGUAGUUCAGGGAAUAAAUGCAAAAAUAAAGAAAAGAAGAUUUUUGGGUAUUUCAAUAUCUCAUUAAAUAAAAAUCUUUUUGGGUCUUUUUAUUACAAAGAUUCAGAAAUACUGACGUUAAAAGGGAAUAUACAAACUCAAGACAGAAAAAAAUAGACUUGGAAAAGACUAAUAGACUCGAAAAGGUAUAAUACAGACUCAAAGCCAAAAGAAAAAUCAGGAAUACAUAAAAGCUUCCAAUGUUACUCUGGGGGCCCGUGGGACAUUGGUCGAUCUUGACGCGAGCCUGCAUGUAAUCUCUUCUCGAAGGUACUCUAAAUCAGCCAUCACCUGAUGGACAAAGGUCAUCACAACAACAAAGAACAUGGACCUAGUCAUAUCUUCGCAUUCAUGGCACUUCAUUACAACAUAAUCAGCGAUUUCUUUAAUUCUCAUUCUAAAUACACCUUUUUCUUGGAGCAGGCGUCCAAUUUGUUGAGACCGGGCCUCUAACACCUGCAUGGUCAUAUGGUUUUGCUCUUGCAAUUUUCUUCUAAUCGGGACAUCAAUGUAUAGCAAUGCUCUCUUUUCGCUUUGAAAUUCUUUGUUUGCUGGGACAUUUUAUUUUCAAGAGUAGUCAUCUUCUUCUUUAGAAACGUGACUCCUCUGUCAUACUUUUGCCUUAGCUGUUGAGCAAACCUUGUCCAUUUUUCUGCAUUCUUCGCCAAUUUUGCCCGAGCUUUUGCCAAUUCAUCCUCGGCCUUUGCCAGGUCAAACCUAUAAUCCUGCACCUUUAACCUUAAACUGCUUAUGAGUUUUUCAUCCUUCUCGCUCCUCACGGGCGCUUUAGCAGCUAUCCUCAUGUACCGAAGUUGGGCUUAGAGCGCUUCGUUCUCCCCGGUCAACCUUCUCCUUUCACCUUCAGCUUCUUACGCCUGUAAAUCAUUAUUAAAUGCGACGUUUCUCAAUUUUUCUUUUGAGGUGUGGAUGGUGGCUUGAUAUUUCUUCUCCUUUUCUCCCCAGGCCAACCUUUAUCGGAUUUUAUCAUCAAAAGCCUGAACAUGAGGUCUUUUGGCGAGCCUUUUAGGCUCAGGCUUUGUCUCAUCUUUAGCAUAAGAUCUUCUCUCAAACCAUACAGUAUAAUCGGGAUCCACUUCUCCUCUCUCGGGAUCUGGUACCUGGUGUCGCACCUCCUUUUUACCCGUAGGGGAUAUAAGGGAGUUUUUCCAAUUAAAGUGAUAUUAUUCGAAAUGAGAUUACUUAUUUAAUUUCAAAGUCGUCACUUGGAAUAAUUUAUGGUGUCCCAAGUCACUUAUUUAUUUCAAAUCCCAAAUCAAGGAAAUUUUGACUUCGUUUAAAGUCUGCGAAACCAGAAAAACUAAGUAAGGAAUUCUGUUAACCCAGGAGAAGGUGUUAGGCAUUCUUGGGUUCCGUGGUUUUAGCACGGUCGCUUAGCAAUUUAUACUUGGCUUAUUUUUGUCUAAUUUAAGAAAAAUAUUUGGUCAAAGUUGCGCAAAUACAUGCGUUGAAUUUAUUUGAAAGAAACGUAAUCAUGAUAGCAAUUUAAAAAUCACACCUAACGCAUUUCUACGAAUAUUUGAUUAAGGCGUUUUAAUUACUAAAUGCAACGACCCGACCGGUUGUUUUGAGCUCUAGCGCGUCGUUCAACAGUUUGAGGUCAUAAGUAGCUUCACUUCAGGUAUUAUAACUUGUACGCAUGGUCGGAAUUAAAUUUCGGGAAGUUUGGAGUUGAUUUAGAAAGAGAAUUCUUAUUUCGAAAGCUUUAAGUUGAAAGAAUUGACUAAGAUUGGAUUUUUAAGUAAACGACCUCGGAAUCGGGAUUCGAAGGUUCUAGUAGGUUCGUAUAAUAAUUUUGGAUUUAAGGGUAUGUCCGGAUCGGGUUUUGGAAGACUCGGGAACGUUUCGGCACCUAUUGUGGAAGUUAGUAGUUUUGGAAGAAUUUCAUAAGUUUGGGUUGAAGUGCAUUUCAGUGUUAUCAAUGUCUGUUUGGGAUUCCGAAUCUAGGAAUAGCUCGAUGUGGUGAUCUUGGAGUUGGGAGCGCGAUCGGAAGUGAAUUUGGAGGUCCGUGGGUAAUUUUGGAGUCAUUUGGCUAAAUAUAAAAAUUUUAAAGUUUUUAAGGAGUUUGACCGGAAGUGGACUUUUUGAUAUCGGUGUCGGAAUCCAAUUCCGGAAGUUGGAGUAGUUCCGUAAUGUCGAAUGUGACUUGUGUGCGAAAUUUGAGAUCAAUCGGAUGUGAUUUGAUAGGUUUUGACUUCGAAUGUAGAAGUUUGAAGUUCUAAAGUUCAUUAAACUUGAAUUGGGGUGUGAUUCGUGAUUUCGAUGUUGUUUGAUGUGAUUUGAGGCCUCGAGCAGGUCCAUGAUAUGUUAUGGGACUGGUUUGUGUGAUUGGACGGGGCCUCGGGGGCUUCGGGUGUGUUUCGGGGUGGUUUCAAAUCAUUUCCGGUUGUUUUGCAUUAGUUGUUGCUGGUGUCUGGUGUUGUUCUUUGCAUUCGCGAGGAUCUUCUCGCAUUCGCGAAGAAGGAUUUGGCUUCAGGGACUCUGUUCUUAGCGUUCGCAAAGAGAUUCUCGCGUUCGCGAAGAAGGAAAUCUCUGUUGCACAGGUCUGCCUUCGUAGGCUCAUAUCUCGCAAUCUAUAAGAUAUUUGGAGAUGAACUAAAAAUAAACUUUGUAGCACUUUGUGUCUAGUUUUCAGAAAGGUAAACCAUUUAGCAUUUGCAUUUGUAUACCAAAAGUUAUGGCUGAUAUACUACAGGCUGUACGGGAAGUUGAAGAAAUUUGUGUUGCACAGGGCUGACUUUGGUAGCUUAUAUCUCCAAAUCUAUAAGGAAUUGGGAGAUAACCCAAACAAAAAAGUUGUAGAUCUUGGUGUCUAGUUUUCAAAACAUUAAACCAUUUAUUAUUUGGAGUUCUGUACAAAAUGUUAUGGCCAUUAUAUUAGAGGCUAUCUGAGAAGAGUUUGGAAAAUUAUUUUUGGGAAUUUUCUUCUUCGCGAAUGCGAUGGGGAUAUCGCGAACACAAAGAAGAGUCGCCUGGGCAAUGUAUAAGUGUAAAGAAAUGGAUUUGGCUCAUUUCAUCUCAUUUCCUCCAUGGGAGCCGACCUAGGAGCGAAUUUGGAGUUCCAUUUUCAUCAUUCAUGUCAAGGUAAGUGAUUCCCACCUAUUGCAAGUUAAUUACUUGGAUUAUAUCUAGAUCUUAAUAUGAAAAAUCAUGUAAAUUAGUAAAAAUUUUGGAAUUUUGAAGAAUCUAGGAAAUUUAUAUUCUUGGAUUUUGACCACAAUUUUGGACAUGAAAUUGAGAGCCAAUUAUAUAUUUGUGUUCGUGAGGUUGUGGGUAAACUUUAUCUUCGAAUUUUUUUGAAAUCCGGGCAUGUGGGACCAAGGGCGAUUUUGUCAACUUUACGAGAGGAGUUGUAAUUUUAUAUAAAUUGAAUUGUUAUGAGUAUUAGGGUGUAUUUUUAUUGGUUUGCCUGUUAUUUGACUAGUUUUGGAGCAUUGGGGCAUCGGUUUGAGUUGUCGGAAGGGGCUUGGAAGCCGGUUAUUGGACUUCGGAGCGAGAUAAGCCUCCUUUCUAACCUUGUAAGAGGGAAUUGUCCCCAUAGGUAAAAUAAUUGGUUAUGUGCUCCUAUUUGUGGGGGCUACGUACGAGGUGAUGAGAGUUCGUGCGUAGCUACUAUUAUGUUUAAGUCCGGGUAGUCUAGGACCCAAAAGCAUGCUAUACCUGAAAUAUUUGUAAUCUUAUUGAAAACUGAAAUUGUCCAAAUCAUAUCGAAUUAGUAAAAGAAUUUCUAAAAAGGGUUAAACCUCAUUAUCUUAAAUCUUUAAAAGAGAAUUGACUUUUCCUUGGAUAAAUGUUUCUUGAUGAAUUCUUAAUUGACUCUUUGAAUGUAUGUAUCUAUGAGUACCUGCGUCACACAUAUGAUUCGCGAGCGGGGUAAUUCUAUUAUUUAUAUUUGACCGCGUCGCACGUAUGAUUCGCAAGCGGGGUAAUAGAUGCAUUUAUGGUUCAUACCAUUCGACCCUCUGGUAGUGCACAGUUUAAAUAUUUGUAGGAUCGGGCCGUACGACCUCGACAUGAUUUGCGCAUGCUUGUAAUGCUUGCUUGAGGUUUACAAAUUGAUAUUGCCUCUCUGGUCUGAGAUAAAUUGAUAAAUAAUGGAUUAUGAAUUUGGAGACUUCUAAAUAUAAAAAGUAAUGUUUACUUGUUUCUUGACUUACUUGAUUUUACUGUCGUUUUUAAUAAAUCCAUUAUUAUUCGCAUUAUUAAUAUAUUAUUAUUGGACCAUAGCAAGUGUCGAAGUCGGUCUCUCAUCUCUACUUCUUCGAGGUUAGACGUGAUACUUACUGGAUUCACGUUAUUUUUGUACUCAUACUACACUUGGUGUGCAUUUUUAUUGCACAGGCACAUGUAUGUCUAGUGGCCUAGUUGGGCGUACCGACAUGAUUGAUACGAAGACUUAGGUGAGCUGCACCUCUCGAGAGGACCCGCAACCAGCAGAGUCUCCUUCAGAGUAUUAUACUGUAUUUUCUCUUCUGUCCAAUUUGUAUUCCGGGCAGUAGUUGUAUUACAUUAUUUCCUAGAAACUGCUCAUGCACUUGUGACACCGGGUUCUGGGAUGAUUAUGGGUUAUUUUAUACUAACUUCUAGACAUUCUUUUAUUUAUUUUGUAAAGAUUAUCUUUUACUAGCCAAAUUGAAGGAAAAUUAUAGUUUUCACAAUUAUUUAAACAAGAAUUUAAUUAAGUAUUUAUGGUUUGUUUGCCUAACUACGGUGUCCGGCGCUAUCACGACCCUUAGGAAUUUUGGGUCAUGACACUAAACGUUUGGCCAUGGUCACGCAAACGUAUACCUUGGUUAUCUUGGGUAUCACAACUAUGUCACACAUGCGUGCACAUAUUGUAAUAGUUAGUUCAAUUUAAAGUUCACCUAAAGUUGUGAUUAUGUCUCUAAGCUAAGUAUCCUACAUAAUGUAGCUAGUGUAGAAGUUCAAAACUAUAUGAGACAUUUGAUUAAUUAGGGCAUCUUGUGUAUUAACUUCCAAUCAGGCCCAAAUUUUAAAGUUUAGGGCCUGACAAGGACUAAGUCCAAAUGAACUCUAGCCCAAGGCAUAUUUUCUAUUACUCAAACAACUAAUGAAUUUAAAUCUAAAGGAACCUGGGACCGACUGAGUCUAGAUAAAUCUGGCCCAAAAUGAUGUUAUUAAGCAUUCAAUUAAUUAAACACAUUUAAUUCCGACAGAUUCGGGCCUAUUAAGGAGUCCAAAUGACUCUGGACCAAUAUCCAUUUGUGGUCAAAUAAAUGGAAUUACUAAAAGAUUUGGGCAUGAUGAUAAUGAGUCCAAGUGAACUCUGGCCAUGCAUAUUUUUGAGAUAAAAAUUUAUGAUGAAAUUUAUAAAGUUUUUAACCUAUAUUUUUGUUUAUCAGAAGUUUAAAAAAAAGGGUUUUGAAUAAGAAAAAUCAAAAUUUUUGUUAAAUUUGGAUAAUUUUCCUACUGAUUUGCCUAAGUCUUAUAUUUCUUAUUAACUUAUAUCAAAAUGCUAAGUUUAAAACUCAUUUGCAUUUGAAGAUCUUUAAGUGUAAAGGCCAUUGAUCAACUCAUUUUAUUUAGCAAAAAUCAUAAUACAAUUCCAUGAACCCAAAUUGGUUUUGGGCCUGAAAACGUAUUAUGAUUACUCUUUGGCUUACUUUUGUAAAAUCUAAUUUUUUUUCAUGACUUUAAACUAACAGCAAUCAGAAUUAUUUAAUUGUUUAAAACAGUAUGAUAAAGUUGCUAAGCUAUUAUACUGAUUUAUCACACAAGGAAAUGCAAUAAAAAAUUAUUAUAUUUUUUGCUAACUAAACAAUGAUAACCAAGCUGCCUAUUACUAUUCUAACAAAGUUUUCUAGAAAAUGAUUUAUUUGAUACAGAUUUUAUAAAUAUAUAAAGCUUUAAACAUAUUUUGCAAUACUUAAAUAUAAAGCUAAAAUGACUUAAAUUACGUAACAAUGUAAGUAAUUAACUCUAUACAAACUUAACAACACAACUUCAAACAACAUGAUUCAUGCAGAUUCAAACAAAUUACAGAUUUAUCAACGAAUCCAAAUCAUGAUUCAGCAAAAAGAAACGUUACAUUUGUUAAGAAAAAAUACCUUGACAGUAGCAAGAACAAACAUAUGAAGAAAAUGUGUCUCUGAAAACUUGAGUAAGAAACAGCAGCAACAAUAACCAAACAGGAAAUCCAAUACAUCUUAAGAUUUAAACCCAGAAAUCCCAAAAAUAGUAUGAAUCAGUAGGAGUUCUUUACUAAAAGUGAAAGAAAGAGACUUCAAAAGCAGUGCAGAAUCAGCAAAUUUUCUGUGUUUUUCAGCCUGUAUUCAGGUAUGGAUCUGUGUAUUUAGCCAGGCCCAAUUUUAACAAUGAAAAUAAAUAAACAACAAUAAUAAAAUAACAACGCUAUGAGCUUGUCUAUUCAGCCAGGCCCAAUAAAUUAACAAAAAUAAUUAAAGGAAAUAGUAAAUAAUCAACAACAAAACAAAAAGGAAUAACAACAAACAGAAAGCAAAAAUGAAAAAUAAUUGAUUUAACACUGUUUUUUUACUUUAUCUUAAUUAAAUCUGUUUUAGUUAAUUAAUUAAUGAAAACGAAAUAACAAAUAAAAUAGGCAAUAAUGUAAAAAUUAAAAAAAUACAUUUAAGCCCUGAUUUUAUUUAUUAGUUAUGUUUGUUUUAAUUAACUAAUUAAUUAAAAUAUAAUAUAACUAACAAUAAUAAAUAAUAAAAAAACUAAAUAAAAUAACAAUAAAUAUAUAACACUAAAUAAAUAAAUAAAAAUGCAAUAAUGGAAAUGAACAAUAAUAAUAAUAAUAAAAAUAAACAUAACAAUAAUAAUAAAACAUAAAGAAAGACAAAAAUAUAAAAACAGAAAUUAAAGAACUCUAUUUUUUUAGAUCUAGUUGCUAAAAACCCUCGCGCCAAGAUUCUCUCUCAUAAUCUAAGAUCUUGAGUGACAAAUCUUGUCAUGAUGAUUAUUAUACAAACUAGGUUAAGCUCUUUUUCUUCAUUUUUCGUAAAAAAGAUCAAAUUUAGCCGCUAAAAACCCUCAUGAGAAUACACCCAUCUGGUAUUUGAGAUCCUUAAUGGGAGAUAUUGGCACGAGGAUCUUUAAACGGACUAGAAAAAUUGAAAAGAGGGUGGAUCUAGGAUUUUUGGCCCUUUUAGAUCUAAGAUCUAGGGAUUUUGAGGAUUUGGUUGGUAGGAUGAGGUUCAUGGAGGUUAGGAGAGUGUAUGGUAUGAGUUUGAGGGGUUUUGGAGCUCCACCGCCAUCUUAGGCGAUUUCCGGCGGCGGGUUAGGGUGGCACUAGGGUUUUGGCCCUAUUUUAGGUUUGGAUUCGUUGGUCUUUUGUGGAUUUGGUUGGUGGGGCGCGGUAGAGGAGGAGAAGAGGAGUUGAUUGGUGUAAUUUUUGUGGUGUUUGGUGGUGGUUGAAGGCCGACAGCGGGUGGCGCUGUUGUAGGGAGAGGUGGCUUUAGAAGAGAGGGAAGGAGGGAAGAGGAAGAUGGGGCGGCUAGGGAGGGGCGACUAGGGUUUGGGGAGUUGAGACAGUGAUGUGAGAGAGUGGGGAGUUUGGAAAGGGGGGGGGAGGGGGAGGGUUUAGGACACUUUUAUAUUAAAAGGGGAGGGAGUUAUGGACUGUUGAAUCUAUUGGAGAUCAACGACCUGGAUUGAAUGGAGGGAAGAUGGGGCGGACCAGAUGAGAUUUGGGCUGGGUGGUUUUGGGCCGUGUAUUUGGGGAUUGGGCUUGGUAUUUUUUGAAUUGAAUUUGGGUUAGGCUUGGUUUAAAGAAACAAAGACCCCUUUUUCUUUAAUUUUAAAAGCAAGUUAAUUUAAAUAAACCCUAGGUUAAGUAUAAAAUUAUCUUAAUUUAUAAAAUUUAACUAAUUAUCUAUUUUUAUUAUUUACAUAAUUAGUCAAUCUUAGAUUUAAAAAAGGAAAAAUUUCUAAUUUUUAAUACAAAAACUUAAAAAAAUGUCAAAACAAAUAUUUUUUGUGAUUUUCUUUCAAGUGAUUAAAAAAAUGUAAUUAGGCAUUAAACUAACUAAAAUCCUAAUUAUGUAAGAUGAUGAAAGUUUAACUAUUUUUUAUUGGUUUUCAUAACUUAAAAAAUGCAACUAAAAAAUGCAAAUAAUUCCAAAUAAAUACCAAAAAUCCUAAAAUAAAUUUUAAAAAAAAUAGGGCUAAUUAUUUAUUAAUUUUGUAGGAAUAUUUUGAUAGGGUAAAAAUUACAUGCCACACCUGGAUGUCAUCAUUCAGAUAUCGGCAACCAUUCCAAUCUUGUUGGACUAAAGCCUCGGGUAAUGUAGCUUCUGGGUGUAGCUCAAUGACUUGGAUACUUAAAUUUUCAUCUUCGGGCACCACUUGAUACCUUCCUAACUGCCUUAAAACUCUCUACGGUGCGUAUGGUUGGACACUUCUUAAACCCAUCAACAUCAAAUAGCCUUUUGUAGCCGUCAUAUGUAUGACUUCCCUUACUGUAAGCCACCCCAAAGUCCAUUCAAUCUGGCUUGCCUUUAGAGUUCUUAGAUGGGAGACCGUGUCUUCAAACCCUUCUGUCACCCUCGUCUCAUAACUCCCGAUGCAUUUGUUCUUGGUCGGGCCAUAACUCAUGAAUUUGGGGUGAUGGCGCAGAUGCUCGAUCAACCACAUUUGCAAAAGAAUGUUGCAACUUCAAAGAACUGAGUCCCGGACUUACACAAUGUUAAUGCUCGAUAAAUGUCUGCCAAUACUAGUGGACCAAGUGUAUGAUCUUCUUUGGUAGUGAGUAUUUGCGCAAUUUUGGCCAUGCGGAUAUUGUCCCUUCUGCAUUGGGGAAGACCAUAAUUCCCAGAAACGCCACUAUGAAAGCAAAGUGACGAUGAAUUUGCCAGGUGCUCUUAUUUUGUUUGUUGUUUAACCCCUUUUUGUGUGUUUCAAACCCAACUGAGUGCCCAAACCCGGAAUACAAGAAGUAAAAGGAACAUCAUCCUUUGUUUACAUUGCUCUUAUUCAUUUUCUUAUUGAUAUUCAGAAGAUCGAAGAAUUUGUGCACAGAGGAAGGCCAUGGGAAUAUAAGUUGUUGAUUUCUGAAGUCCCGGCCAAAUCCAAUAUAUCCGGCUAUCUCCUCCAAAGUAGGAGUAAGCUCAAAAUCCGAGAAGCGGAAAACGUUGUGGACAGGAUUCCAAAAACUUACCAAGGCAUUAAUUAGAUCAUCCCGCAGUUUGACCUCCACAAUAUCUGUAAAGGCACCCAAAUGGGUUUUUACCCAAUUCUGACCAUCUUCAUCUAAAUCAUACCACCACAUCUGAAGCUGUAGCGGAGCAUGUUCUACGACCAUUAGUGACUAGUUUUGGACAGUGUUCAUUUGUACAUGUGGAUGGUUAAGGUUAGGGUUGACUCCGAUGGACUCUUUUGCAAUACAAGUUUUCAAUUUUCUAAAAAAAAUCAAAAGAGAGAGGCCACUUAUGCAAUAUUAGCAAAAGGUGGCUAUUUUUGCAAACAUGGCCCCUUCACAAUUUCAAAUAAAUUUUGAGGUCAAGGAAGGGCACUUUAUGGAAAAGUGACGUCUCACUGACAGAUAUGUCUGUUCUUUACGAAAAUAGCCCUUCGACAAUUGGAAGAUGUUCUAAGGCUGUUCCGGCAAAAACGGCUUAAGACGUAACCAAAGCUAGGUCGGCGUACUCUUUUGACCAAAGAACUAGAACACACUUUAUUUUAUUUUGGUUAUUUUUGUAAAAAUGAGUCCGAACCUUAUGUAGGUUGCCUACGUAUCUCAUAUACAAUGAGAAUUAGACCGGCGUAGUUCGGUCAGUUUUGACAUAAUCGGGAAAAACACGUUAUUGACUCAUUUUGAAAUGACUCUUUUUUAUUUUAUUUUUUUCAAUUUUCAUCAUUUUUCUUCUUCUUCUUUCUGAAAAAUUUCGGCAGAGUUUCGGGACAUUUUCAAAUACCGGAGUUUUUAGAACCGGGCUUAGUUUCUCUCCUUUUACUCUUGGUUUUUCUCUUGAUUUUCUUUUCCUAACCGAUCAACAUGCAAGCUGAAGCAAAUAAAUGUACAAAUAGCACGUAAGAUGCAUCAGGAUGGCCUUUUAUUUUGGGUACACCUGUCCUUGACGGACCCAACCCCUGUAUUGAGUCCCCAAAGUCAAAUGCACGGGAUGCAAACAAACAUUUCUACUAGGGAUUCAGCAUGAGGCUAUGUUAUUCUACGUUUAAACCUGGGGUUGUGUUCUAGACAUGACUUACCCAAGCGGACAACUCAAGCCAAGGUGGGGGCAAUGUACCAGGAGCACGAAAGUCUACCUGACCUAGUUGCUGACCCAACCUCGUUCUAGUUGGUAUGAAUUUUAACAGAAAAGUGGGUCACACAUACGUGUGCAUCAUAUUUUUAAAAGACUCAGAAGGGAGGCGUAAGAAGACAGUUCAAUACAGUUCAAAUAAUAUCAAAGCGGUAGAUAAGCGACAAUUAACACAUUAGUUAUACAAACACAGUAAUAUCAACAAAAAAUAAAUCCAAGUAUAGAUUACAUUAACAAACUCGAAUUCUGAACCCUGAACCAGAGAUUCUGGGUUCUUGUCCUAGCAGAGUCGCUAGAGCUGUCACACCUCCUUUUUCCCGAGGGGAUAGGGAGUUUUUCCAAUUAGAGUGUCACUAAUCGAAGUGGGAUUAUUUAUUAGAUUCAGAGUCAACAUUUGGGAUAAUUUAUGGUUUCCCAAGUCACCGGUUUAUUUUAAAUCCCAAAUCGUGAAAAUUGACUCUUACUUAUGAUCUGCGAACACAUAAAACCGGGUAAGGAAAUUUGUUAAUUCGGAAGAAGGUGUUAGGCAUUCCCGAGUUUCGUGAUUUUAGCACAGUCGCUUUUAAUCAUAUUUGGCUUAACUGAAUUAUUUAAUUACGUAUUUUAGAACCUAUGUGCGCUUUUCCUUUUACCGCUCUUAAUUAUGGCGCUUUUUGGAUUUAAUCUUUGAAGCGAAUUACAUGUGUGUAAAUCCGUUUUAUUUGGGGCGCUAAACUUAUGUCACGCGAACGUGUACACAAUUAGUCACACUUAUUAAUUUAAGAUUGUUUGGCCGAAGUUGCGCGAAUUCGAUUUACUUUUGGAAAUCGUAAUUAUGUCAUGCGAACGUGUACACAAUCACAAUGAUAGAUUAAUUCGCACCUAAAGCAUUUUCUACGAAUAUUUAAAUCGUACUCAUGUUAUGCGAACGUGUACACAAUCACGAUAAUUUGAUUUGACCGAGAGUGAGUUUAAAGCUACAUUCGCAUUUACAAACUGUUUUCCUACAUUUUGGACUAAAUGUAAAAGCCCCAGUGCUGCAGGAAUCAUUUAUAGAUAACUCAUACGUGCUAAACUCGUGGGUUUUACGAAGUUUUCAGCAAUUGGCGAAGAUGCUAUCGAAGUACAUGAAUAGUGAGGGACUUAAUUGAAAGGAAUUCUGAUUUAAACAAGUAAUUAGCACAUUGUCAAUUUGAUCCAGUUCUGGUACAACGCUUAGUGCUGGCUGAAGAUUAAUAAUGAUUGAUAUGGGUUAAGUUGAUUAAAGCACCAAACCUGACCUCCAAUAGGUCAUAUGUGCAAACGACUGAGUUUAAAUAAAAAAAGCAAGGCAUCGUUUGAGCCUUUUGAGAAUCAAACCACAUUAUAGCCGUUAAAACUAGCUGGGAGUCUGAAUUUUUAGGACUUCAGUCACGUUUAAACACUUUGCUGGGCCAACCAUUUAUGUCACGACCCUAAACGACCCGGUCGUGAUGGCGUCUAUCGUAAAACAAGGCCAGCCGACACAAACCCUCAAUAUCAAUUAAGCAGUUAUAGUAAUUUAAUUUAAGUCAUUCAUAUGCUAUAAACCCCAAAACAUAGAGCGGAAUAGAACAAUUAUGAAAACAACAUAGCCCGAUAUUGGGGUGUUACCAGUCAUGAGCAUCCAAACAUACGUCUAAGAGUAUGAAAAAAGACUACACAGUCUAUUACAGAGCUAGUACAAAGGAAAGUAAAGAUAGGAGGGAGAAACACUAGGCUGCGAACGCCGAGCAGCUACCUAGUGAACUCCGAACAGCCUACUGGAAGCAAUCAGCCCUCGCUAGCGUGACCCGAGGCUCCUGAAUCUGCACACAAGGUGCAGGGAGUAGUGUGAGUACGCCAACUCAAUAAGUAAUAAAAGUAAAGGCAGCUGAGCGAUAAGAAAACACGUAAAAUAUAGCAAAAUGCUACAAAGAGGCAGUGUAAAACCAGAACAAGACUAUAAUCAGUAAAAACUCGUAGAAAUACCUUAAUUCAGUAAAACGUUAUUUAAAAUAUCUUUUAGCAGUUAAACAAGUGAAUAAAAGCAGUGAGAAAAUAUAGACACAUAAAAUCAGCCCAUCGGGCAAAAUAUCAACAGAAUCAACCCAUCGGGUUAUCUCACAAUCACUCGUAUCAGCCCCUCGGGCUAUAUCAUGUCUCACACUGGGUACCCGCACUCACUUGGGGUGUACAUACUCCGGGAGGGACCCCUUACGGCCCAAGCGCAAUAACAAGCCAUCUCGUGGCAUAAUCAAAUAGGCUAUCGGUCUCAUAUCAAGACACCUCGUGGCAUCACAAAUCAAGCCCUCGACCUCAUAAUCGUGAAUUAGUAUAACACUGCUGCGGCGCCAACCCGAUCCCAUAAUAACCUCACAACACAGGCCCUCGGCUUCACUCAGUCAAAAAUCGCUCAAAGCCACCCGAGCAUAGUAAAAUAUGAUGCUCAGCCCAAAAUAUCAUUUAAGAUAUCAAAAAAGAGUAAAUAUGGUUGAGUUGCGAAAACAGUAGAAUAUAGCAUGACUGAGUACAAAUAUGAAGUCAAAACAGUGAGGAAUAGUAGUAAAUAUCCCCUAAGGGUCCAAAACAGUUGGCACGAGGCCCAAAUAUGACAUUCAGCCCAAAACAUGAUGAUAGAAACUAGUUUUUAAUCAAAUACGCGGAUAAACAACCAUACAGGACAGACUAAGUCACAAUCCCCAAUGGUGCACGACCCCACGCUCGUCAUCUAGCAUGUGUGUCACCUCAUAAUAGCACAACGAUGUGAAAUCCAGGGUUUCAUACCCUCAGGACAACUUUUACAAUCAUUACUUACCUCUAUCCGCCAAACUCUAGCCUGCGAUGCCUUUGCCUCUCGAAUCGGCCUCCGGAUGCUCCAAAUCUAACCAAAAUAGUACAUAACCAUCAAAAUAUGCUAAGGGAACAAAGCUCACUCGAAAGUAAUCAAAUUACAACACAAAUCCCGAAAUUAACCAAACCCGACCCCGGGCCCACAUCUCAAAAUCCGAUAAAAAUUACACCAAUAAACUCCUUAUCCUCCCACGAGUUCAUCCAUAUCAAAAGUACCAAAAUCCAACAACAAAUGACCCCUCAAAUCCUUAAUCAAAGAUCUCCAAAUCUCAAGCCCUAGUUUCUUCAAUAUUUACCCACAAAUUUUCAUCAAUUUAAAGCCUAAUCAAUGAAAAAACACCAUAGGAACGAGUUUUAUGUUCAAAAAUCUUACCUCAAUGAAGUUCCCUCAUCAAAAUCCCCUAAAAAGCCCUAAGGUUGAUUUAAAAUGGUGAAGAAAGGCUAAAAAUAGCGAAGGAUGAAAUAUAUACUUUCUGAUCCAAGGAUUCUGCAGCUGCUGUCCUUUUUCCGCUUCUGCGGUCUAACCCCCUACAUCUGCGGUUUUCACUUAAAAGCCCAUUUUCCGCAUCUGCGAUUAAAUACCCGCACCUGCGCUAUCGCAGGUGUGCUCCAAUAGCCGCUUCUGCGGUUCCAGUUGACCUUCCUCUUGGCCGAAUCUGCGGCUCUAUCUCUGCUUCUGCAAGUCCACACCAGCAGUCCCCUAGCCUCAAGUGCAGUUAUGACAACAAUAGAAAAGCUUUAGCUGCCAAACCCAACUCAAAAUCUUCUGUCAACCAUCCGAAAUCACCCCCAGGCCCCCGGGACCUCAACCAAAAGCACAAACUAGUCAUAUACCACUGUCCAAACUCAUACCAAUCUUCAAAACACCUCAAACAUGAUCGAAUCAACCAAAUCACAUCAGAUUCAAGCCUAAGGUUCCAAAAAUCUUCCGAAUUCCGCUUUUUAUCAAAAAGUCUAUCAAACCACAUCCGAAUAAACUGAAAUUUUGCACACACAUUUAAAAUGACACAACAGACCUACUGAAACUCUCGAAAUUCCAUUCUGACCCCUGUUGAUACCCAAUUUUACCUAUGUAUUUUUACAUGCAAACACUUUCAAAAUAGUAUAUAUAUGUAUAUAUAAGUAUGUCCAAGUGUUUCAAUAAUUGUUCUAAAUUCUAAAAGAUUUUUAAACUAAUUUAUUGCCCAUUUUAGCAAUAAAAAAACCAAUAAUUAUUCCCAAAAUUAUCAUUUUUGGUGAAUAACUUACUUUAUUCUCAUAUUUAUACCAAAAUAUAGCUAUGGUAAUUUUUAUAUAUUUUUUACAAAUUUAUUUGGUAUUUUUAAAAGCUAAAUUUCAUAUAAUUGCAAUUUUAGCCUAUUUUAAGAUUAAUAGCAUUUUAUAAUUAUGAAAUUGGUUCCAAUAUUUUUAAAUUAAUAUUUAUAUAUUAUUAAUUGACUCAGUACUUUUAAUUUAUUUUCAUAAGUCAUUUUUACUAUUUUUAUAAAAUAAAAGGGGAAACUGGUUAUUUAAAAUCUGGCCCUAUUUCAUUUCAAUUAUAGCCCCAAUUGAUCCCCCUAAUUGACCCAAUUUUGAAUCCCAAACGGACUGGCCCAGUUCCAUUUAACUUGACCCCUAAACCAAUUCAAACAACCCAACCCGGUUCCCCACCUACACUCUUAAUUCUAGGCCAUUGAUCAUUCAGAUCAACGGCUACUAUUCGCCCUUCCAUAAUUAAACACAAAUGACUACCCUAAUCCCCCCAUUUCAUUCCAACAGCUGCCUCUGAAAUCCCUCUCCUCUCAAACUCCCUCGAAGGUUCCUAAAACCCUAAUCAUCUUCUACCAUUAUUCAACCUCAAUCUCACCGGAAUCUAUGGCCUCUCAGGCCAUGGAUGGCCUAUACUCAAUUCCCUCCGCUCUUGAACGCUUGGUGUUCGAAGUUUCGAGGUCUGACCUCGAUGGUGUCUGUACAGAUCUUCUCCAAUUCAAGGUUUUAUGGCCCCUCUGACCUUGCUCCGGCGUAUCCAAGCAUUAUGAGCCUAUGUCUGACUUAUCCGACUCAGAUCAGAACUUUUCCAAGCCUUUCUCGUUUAGGGUUCCUCUGAAACCCUAGCUAUUCGAGGUUUUCUCUGAUUUUUCUUAGAUUUGUUCUAUAUCUAUGCUCUACUUGAGUUCUUAAACGAUUUCCCCUAUUUUCUUUCAAAAAAUUACUUCUCUUCGAUUUAAGGUUUCUGAAAAGUUUAAAACUGUUUCUCCGACUUUUCUUCUCCUUUUUAUAUGUGUGUAUUUGUCACGCUAUGUGCUUCUACUGCUUUUCUAUGUUUUCCUACUAUAUAUGUUCUUCUGUGCCUUGUCUUUCUACAGUGUUUCUACACCAUGCUCACAUGUUCACCCUGCUGUGUUUUUCCUAUAUGUCUUGUUGAUAUACCUUUCUGGUAUUUUGUGUUCUCCUACUGUAUGUAUUUCCUACUAAAUUCUUAAGUUCUUUGUUGCCUUUACUGGACCUUUGUUUGAGUUCCCUUUACACAUGUUUCCUCUACUAUUUUCUUAAGUGUUAUACUAUCUCUUUUCUCUUCUGAACUUGUUUAGGUCCCAGGUUUUUCUUAAACAUAUGCUUCAAAUCAGUUUCUUCACUUUGUUUGCUUCGAACUUGCUAUUAUAUCUGUUUGUUUUCUCAUGAGUCUCUGAAAGAUAUCUCUGAGCCUGUUUGAAUUACUUGCCUCCUCGUCUCUGUAUCUGAUUCGAAGUAGGAACCCUAGAAUUUGGGGGUUUUGACGAGGGUGAUCUUGUGUUUGGACUAGGGUUCUAUUUUGGAACCCUUGAUUCUUUUAGACUCAUUCCGAGUCUAUAAACUAAGUUUGAAUUUCUUUGUUUACGACUUUGAACUUUUAGACUCUUCUAUGCUAGACUCUUAUUAUUAGUAUGACAGUUCUUUCUUGUUUAAGCAUGUCUGUAUGCAUUUAUAUGUGUGUUGAACCUUUCUUCAAAAAUCUUUCCAACUUAUGAUUGAUUCAGAAUCCUUUUUUAGGCUUGAUUUAUUGUUACUGAUUUUCCUUAAGUAAAACCUUUCUUCACCUUUCCUGACUUUGUUCAUUCGUACAAAGCCUUCAAUUUUGAUUUCUUGGUUGUUAACUGAUUUCUUUUCCUUACUUGCGCAAACUGUGUGCUACCAGACUUUUUCCUUAAAUAAAUCUAUGUGUAUUUACCCUUCUUGUACUGCUUUGGAAAAGGUCUUGAUCAAAAUCUUUCCUUAAUUAUUUUUACCCGUUUGAAAUUAGAAUCCCUUAAUCAAAGGGAAACUUUUGUAAUUGAUUUUCAAAUCAUUCUCCUACCUUAUUCUGCUUGCCUUCUACACUAUAAAAGGGCACGACCCUUCUGCACUUGAGGACACUCUCAAUUUAACACUUUUAUACUACUCAAGUAUCAUAGUUCUCUAAUCAUAGCAUUCUGACUAUUUGCUUGCACUUUGGCUUCACAAGACUACUGCUUUCUUUUCUUGUUUCCCUGAAACUAGUAUGUUCUAGUUUGAUUUUCAGCCUCAUCCCAAUGUGUUUANNNNNNNNNNNNNNNNNNNNNNNNNUUUGGGAUCUUGAGUUCCCUCUAAACUUGGACAUUCGAGGGAUGGCCCUUCCACACUACAUUAUAACUUAAUUCUGCAAUAUAUUUGGGUGUAAGCACUGCCCGGAGUCCACUUGAGACUCUUAGGGAACUCUGACACAUCCCAAAUAAGAGAAAGGCUUUGGAAAUUUGAUCUUCAGAGUUGGUUUACUUCAUGCUUCAGACGGAAGUCUGAAUCAGGCUCUUCUUGGUUGGAAUUUUAAGCUUUUGAUGUAAUUUUUAUUCAUUUUCUCAGCCUGUAAUAAUUUGUAAUAACUUAUGGUGGUUUUAGUGAAAAGAGGAGGGUCAAUCAUACAUGCAAAAGGGGUAGAUAUCAUGUUCAUAGGGAGUUGUUAUAUUUCUACACUCAUAUCCUGCUUACAGCUGUCGCUUCUGCAUUUCAUAUGUAGAAACCAUGUCUAUAGGUUUUUGCACUUCUGCAUUUCAUAGAAAUCAUGUGUAUAGGUUUCUGCAUUCAUAUAGAUUCUAUAUCUAUAGGAUCUGCAUUUUCACGUAGAAACCGUGUCUAUAGGAUCUGCAUUUUAUACAGAAAACAUGUCUAUAGGUUCUGCAUUCCCAAACGCUGCAUAUCAUAUAGAUAACAUGCCUAUAGGACUUCCUGAACUCUGCAUAUGCAUCUAUCACUAGGCAAACGGUUUAUAGGUUUAAAUAACAAUCAACAUUCUAGAUACCAUGCCUAUAGGACUUCUGCACUUCUAUAAACGUUUAAAAAAUUAAUAACACCUAGAAAGCAUGCCUAUAGGAGUAAUCAACCAAAUCUGAAUCAUCUAUCUCGCUUGUAAGUCUAAAAUCAGUAGUAGCAUUACUUAAUAUUUGCAGAACUUAUGUUUUCUGUAACUAAUAAGUCCCCUUCUCUAGAGUCAGUAUACUUAUGCAUUAAUAGAUAUCAUGCCUAUAGGUUUCACCUAAGCAAGCCAUAAGGUAAAUUAGCUAGCUGAAUCAGACUUCGUUAAUUACAACCAGCAGGCAGGUCUGAUUCGGAUUUCUUAUCUGAAGUAUGUAAUAAAUCAGUCUGCCUCACCCUUUUAAGUUUAAUUAGACCAUAAUCAGUACGUGCAAGACAUGCUAAACAAUCUGUAUUUAAGUUGAGGAGGCCUGUUUGAGCCUUUAAUUGUUAUAUGUUUCCCCAUAACUGCUUUACGUGUUUUUGAUUGUCGCCUUAGAUUUUGUCCUUUCAAACCCAAAAGCCCAAAUCUCCCUUCCCUUUAGGACUAGUAGUCCCAAAUGCCUCCGGGACUGAUAGGAUCGGGGCGGGUAAUAGCAUGCAAUAAGUAAUGAAACCAUUCCAUGCUUUAAUACCUUAACGGGGUGGGAAGGGGUAGAUACGGAUAUGAUGACCGGUGCGCUAAUACCACGUGUAACCCCUCUUCUGAUGAGUGAUUACCGGGUAUUGCAUUGAUGUGAUCCAUAUUAUUUGUAAACCUAGGAACCCCCUCCUUUUUUUCUUACUUGUUUGCUUUAUUUUCAGAACUCUUUUAACUACUUCAACUUCAGUUUUUCUCUAUUUUCUCUCAACUUCAACUACUUGCAACCAUUAUGUGAAAACCCUGUUUGUAUUGGAAACCCUUACGUGCCUAUUUGUUGUUCGCACUUAAAGUCACAAUUAUAGCAUGGACGGGAACCACACUAGUGGAUCCUGAGGGGUGCCUAACACCUUCCCCUCGGAAUAAUUUCUAGCCCUUACCCAAACUCUUGUUUUCUAAAUCAAAAUCUUUCUUAGUGUCCUAAUGCACUUUAAUCAUUAGGUGGAGACUCUUCAAUUCAAACCCAAUUCCCAAAAGGGAACGAGUUGUCCUCCCAAGUGUCAUAAACCCGAUUUCGCAAGAAAAAGGGGGCGCGACAACCCCUAUAUCAAAAUCUCACCUACUAACCGAAGAACGCCAAAAUUCCAAUUUCGCCAAUUCAAGCCUAAAUCCAUUCUGGACCUUCAAAACACAUUCCGAUCACGCUCCUAAGUCCCAAAUCACCUCUCGAAGCUAUCCGAACCAUCGGAAUUCACAUCCGAGCCCUUUUCACAUAAGUCAACAUCCGGUUGACUUUUUCCAACUUAAGCUUAUCCAAAAGAGACUAAGUGUCUCAAACCUUACCAAAACGUUUUCGAACCCGAGCCAACCAACCCGAUAACACAUAAUACAACCAAACAAGGAAAUAAGAAGUAGAAAUGGGAGAAACGGAGCGGUAACUCAUGAAACAACCGACCGGGUAGUUAUAUCCUCCCCCUCUUAAACAAAUGUUCAUCCUUGAACGAGUCAAUAAAUAUACCUGAAGCCUUAAAUAGGUGAGGAUAUCUGCUCCGCAUCUCCUAGGUAGCCUCCUCCAUAGGCCAACCUCUCUAUUGCACUUUCACUGAAGCUAUAUUCUUUGACAUCAACUUCCGAACCUGACGCUCCAAAAUAGCUACUGGCUCCACAUCAUAAGUCAAAUUAUCAUCUAACUGAACCGUGCUGAAAUCCAAAACAUGAGAUGGAUAACCAAUAUACUUUCGGAGCAUAGAAACAUGAAAUACCGGAUGCACACUCGAUAAGCUGGGUGGAAAAUCAAGCUCAUAAGCCACCUCCCCAAUCCUCCGAAGCACCUCAAAAGUCCCAAUGAACCGAAGACUCAAUUUACCCUUCUUCUCAAAUCUCAUAACACCCUUCAUGGGUGAAACCUUCAAUAGAACCUUCUCACCAACCAUAUAGGACACAUCCCAAACCUUCCUGUCAGCAUAACUCUUUUGUCUCGAUUGUGCUGUACGAAGCCUCUCCUGAAUCACCAUAUUGUCUAAAGCAUCCUGCACCAAGUCUGUACCCAAUAGCCUAGCCUUACCCGGCUCAAACCAACCCACUGGAGAUCUAUAUCGCCUCCCAUACAAAGCCUCAUAUGGAGCCAUCUGAAUACUCGACUAGUAACUGUUUUUUAAGUAAACUCUGCGAGCGGUAAAAACCGAUCCCAUGACCCCUAAAAUCAAUGACACAAGAACAUAACAUGUCCUCAAAUAUCUAAAUAGUGCUCUCGGACUGCCCGUCCGUCUGAAGGUGAAAAGUUGUGCUCAACUCAACCUGAGUACCCAACUCUCGUGAUAUAGACCUCCAAAACUGUGAAGUAAACUGAGUGCCCUUGUCUAAAAUGAUGGAAACUGGGACACCAUGCAAACGAGCAAUCUCCAGGAUGUAGAUCUCUACUAACCGCUCUGAAGAAUAGGUAGUACACACAGGAAUGAAGUGUGCGGACUUGGUAGCUGAUCCACAAUCACUCAAAUAGCCUCGAACUUCUUCAAAGUCUGUGGGAGCCCAACUAAAAAGUCCAUGGUGAUCCGCUCCCACUUCCACUCUGGAAUAUCCAUCUGCUGAAGCAUGCCACCCGGUCUAUGAUGCUCAUAUUUCAUCUGCUGACAAUUGAGACACCGAGCUACAAAUCCCACAAUGUCCUUCUUUGUUCUCCUCCACCAAUAAUGUUGUCUCACAUCCUGAUACAUCUUUGCGGCACCUGGAUGAAUAAAAUAUCGCAAGCUACGGGCCUCCUCCAGAAUCAACUCCUAAAGCCCAUCCACAUUGGGCACACAUAUCCGGCCCUGCAUCCUCAACACCCCCAUCAUCACCAAUAGUGACAUAUUUGGCAUCAUCGUGAUGAACUCUGUCCAUAAGGACAAGCAAAUGAGGAUCAUCAUACUGGCACUCUCUGAUGCGAUCAAAUAAGGAAGACCGAGAAAUCACACAAGACAAUACCCGACUAGACUUCAAAAUAUCUAACCUCAUGAACCGAUUGGCCAAGGCCUGAACAUCAACUGCAAAAGGUCUCUCCCCAACUGGAAUAUAUGCCAAACACCCCAUACUCACUGCCUUCCUACUCAAGGCAUCAACUACCACAUUGGCCUUCCCCGGAUGGUACAAAAUAGUAAUAUCAUAAUCCUUUUAGUAAUUCCAACCAUCUCUGCUGCCUCAAAUUGAAAUCUUUAUGCUUGAACAAGUGCUGGAGGCUACAAUGAUCAGUAAACACCUCACAAGACACACCAUACAAAUAAUGCCUCCAAAUCUUCAACGCGUGAAUGAUGGCAGCCAACUCCAAAUCAUGAACAGGGUAGUUCUUCUCAUGGGUCUUCAACUAAUGAGAAGCAUAAGCAAUAACUUUACCCUCCUGCAUCAACACACACCCAAAACCAACUCUUGAAGCAUCACAAUACAUGGUAUAUGAACCUAAAGCUGAUGGCAAAACUAACACUGGAGUUGUGGUCAAGGCAGUCUUGAGCUUCUAAAAGCUCUCAUCACACUCAUCCGACCACCUAAAUGGAGCACCCUUUUGAGUCAACUUGGUCAAGGGUGAUGUGAUAGAUGAAAAUCCCUGAACAAACCGACGGUAAUCACCUGCCAAACCAAGGAAGCUAUGAAUCUCUAUCGCUGAGGACGGUCUGGACCAACUCUGAACCGCCUCUAUCUUCUUCGGAUCAACCUGAAUACCUUCGCUGGACACCACGUGCCCCAGGAAAGCCACUGAACUAAGUCAAAACUCACACUUGGAGAACUUUGCAUAAAGCUUCUCCUCCCUCAAUCUCUGCAACACAACUCUCAAAUGCUCCGCGUGCUCCUCCUGACGACGCGAGUAGACCAGAAUAUCAUCAAUAACUGACAAAUGAGUCGAAAUAAGGCCGAAACACGUUGUUCAUCAAUUGCAUGAACGUUGCAUAGGCAUUGGUCAUCCCAAAAGACAUCACCAGGAACUCAUAAUGACCAUAUCGGGACUUGAAAGUUGUCUUAAGAAUAUUCGAGUCCCUGAUCUUCAAUUGGUGAUAGCCUGCACGAAGAUCAAUCAUGGAGAACACUCUCGCUCCCUGAAGCUGAUCAAACAAAUCAUCACUAUGAGGCAAAGGAUACUUGUUCUUGAUUGUUACUUUGUUCAACUGCCUAUAAUCUAUGCACAUCCUCAACGUGCCAUCCUUCUUCUUCAGAAAUAGAAUAGGUGCACCCCAAGUUGACACACUAGGCCGAAUAAACCCCUUAUCAAGGAGUUUCUGAAGCUACUCCUUCAACUCCGCUAGUGCCAUAUGAUACGGUGGAAUAGAAAUAGGCUGAGUGCCCGACACUAGAUCAAUACCAAAAUCAAUAUCCCUAUCCGGUGGCAUGCCCGGCAGGUCUGCAGGAAACACAUCGGGAAAAUCCCUCGCAACAGGAACAAAAUCAAUACUAGGAGUCUCUCCACCGACAUCCCUCACAAAGGCUAAGUAAGAAAGACAACCUUUCCCAACCAUACGUUGGGCCUUCAGAAUGAAAUCACCCUACUGGGAACAUAAUCAGUCGAACCUCGCCACUCAAUCUGUGGCACACCCGAAAUAUCCAAUGUCACUGUCUUAGCAUGAUAGUCCAAAAUAGCACGACACGGAGAUAGCCAAUCCAUGACCAAUAUAACAUCGAAGUCUACCAUACAUAACAACAAAAGAUCCACUCGGGUUUCCAGACCCCCAAUAAUCACCACACAUGAUCGGUACACACGGUCUACAAUAACAGUAUCGCCCAUCGGAGUAAAUACAUGAACAGAUAAAACAAGAGACUCACGGGGCGAAUCCAAAUAACGAGCAAAGUAUGAUGACAGAUAAAAAUAAGUGGAACCGGGAUCAAAUAAUACAGAGGCAUCUCUGGGGCAGGCUGAGACAAUACCUGUGAUCAUAGCAUCUAAAAGCAAUAACAACGGGUCUAGCUAGGAGUGCAUAGAAACGGGCCUGACUGCCACCUAAUCGACCUCCCCCUCUAGGGCGACCACUAGUUGACUGAACUCCACCAAUAGCUGGCAGACGGGUGGUAGUAAAGUAAUUGGCGCUGUAGCCGAUGGCUAACUCCUCUGCUGAGAUGAACCCCCAAAACGACGAGGAAACUGCCUCCACAUAUGACCCAACUCUCCACACUCAUAGCAACUCCCUGGUGCUGGAGAUGGGGACUGAAGGGAACCCCUAGCACCGUAAUGACUAGGAGAUGCACCUGGCAUAGAAGAGCCCUGAACUGACGGAGUAGGUAUGGGUCUAUCUAUUUAGCCAGGCCCAAUUUUAACAAUGAAAAUAAAUAAACAACAAUAAUAAAAUAACAAUGCUAUGAGCUUGUCUAUUCAGCCAGGCCCAAUAAAUUAACAAAAAUAAUUAAAGGAAAUAGUAAAUAAUCAACAACAAAACAAAAAGGAAUAACAACAAACAGAAAGCAAAAAGGAAAAAUAAUUGAUUUAACAUAGUUUUUUUACUUUAUCUUAAUUAAAUCUAUUUUAGUUAAUUAACUCUAGAAUCAACUCCCAAAGCCCAUCCACAUUGGGCACACAUAUCCGGCCCUGCAUCCUCAACACCCCCAUCAUCACCAAUAGUCAAAUAUUUGGCAUCAUCGUGAUGAACUCUGUCCAUAAGGACAAGCAAAUGAGGAUCAUCAUACUGGCACUCUCUGAUGCGAUCAAAUAAGGAAGACCGAGAAAUCACACAAGUCAAUACCCGACUAGGCUACAAAAUAUCUAACCUCACGAACCGAUUGGCCAAGGCCUGAACAUCAACUGCAAGAGGUCUCUCCCCAACUGGAAUAUAUGUCAAACACCCCAUACUCACCGCCUUCCUACUCAAGGCAUCAACUACCACAUUGGCCUUCCCCGGAUGGUACAAAAUAGUAAUAUCAUAAUCUUUUUAGUAAUUCCAACCAUCUCUACUGCCUCAAAUUGAGAUCUUUAUGCUUGAACAAGUGCUGGAGGCUAUAAUUAUCAGUAAACACAUCACAAGACACACCAUACAAAUAAUGCCUCCAAAUCUUCAACGCGUGAACGAUGGAAGCCAACUCCAAAUCAUGAACAAGGUAGUUCUUCUCAUGGGGCUUCAACUAACGAGAAGCAUAAGCAAUAACUUUACCUUCCUGCUUCAACACACACCCAAUACAAACUCUUAAAGCAUCACAAUACACGGUAUAUGAACCUAAAGCUGAUGGCAAAACUAACACUGGAGUUGUGGUCAAGGCAGUCUUGAGCUUCUGAAAGCUCUCCUCACACUCAUCCGACCACCUAAAUGGAGCACCCUUUUGAGUCAACUUGGUCAAGGGUGAUGUGAUAGAUGAAAAUCCCCGAAUAAACCGACGUUAAUAACCUGCCAAACCAAUAUAACAUCGAAGUCUACCAUACAUAACAACAAAAGAUCCACUCGGGUUUCCAGACCCCCAAUAGUCACCACACAUGAUCGGUACACACGGUCUACAAUAACAGUAUCGCCCAUCAGAGUAGAUACACGAACAGAUAAAAUAAGAGACUCACGGGGCGUAUCCAAAUAACGAGCAAAGUAUGAUGACAGAUAAGAAUAAGUGGAACCGGGAUCAAAUAAUACAGAGGCAUCUCUGUGGCAGACUGAGACAAUACCUGUGAUCAUAGCAUCUGAAGCAAUAACAUCGGGUCUAGCUAGGAGUGCAUAGAAAUGGGCCUGACUGCCACCUAAUCGAUCUCCCCCUCUAGGGCGACCUCUAGUUGACUGACCUCAACCAAUAACUGGUAGGCGGGUGGUGGUAAAGUAAUUGGCGCUGAAGCCGAUGGCUAACUCCUCUGCUGAGAUGAACCCCCAAAACGACGAGGACACUGCCUCCAUAUAUGACCCAACUCUCCACACUCAUAGCAACUCUCUGAUGCUGGAGAUGGGGAUUGAAGGGAACCUCUAGCACAAAAAUGACUAGCAGAUGCACCUGGCAUAGAAGAGCCCUGAAUUGACGGAGAACGGGACGAACUCUAGGGUGGAAGGGCACUGAGCCCUGAUAAGAACUGUGAAAACCAUGACUCGAUGAUGCCCCACGAUAACCUGGGCGAGCUUACUGAGCAUGCCUAAAUGGACGACCUCUGCCAUGCUAAAACUAACCCCUUAAAGGAGCACUACAAUAACUACCAGAUCCUCGAGGCCUCUUGGCCUCCCUUUCAUUUCGCUCCUGGCGACGACCUGACUCAAUAUCGCGAGCAAUGUCAACAACCUCCUCAAAAGUAGCACCAGACACUCUCCCCCUGGUUAUGAGAAUCCAAAACUAAUACAUGAGGUCAUCAAUGAACCUCCUAAUCCUCUAUCUAUCCGUAGGAACCAACCAAACAAUAUGACGAGCUAACUCUGAGAACUUCAUCUCAUAAUAUAUAUAGUCAUAUCUCCCUGAUGCAACCAUUCAAACUGCAUGCGCAACUCCUCUUUGCGAGACUAUAACACAUACUUCUGCAAAAAGAGAACGGAGAAUUGCUGCUAGGUAAGGGGUGCUGCACCAAUAGUCCUAUGCCUCUCAUAAGCCUCCCACCGAGUGAAGGCAGCUCCAGAAAAUUGAAAAAGUAGUGAAAGCGACCCCGUUGGUCUCCAGAAUAACCGAUGUACGAAAGAUCCUCUGACACUUGUCCAAGAAACCCUAGGCAUCAUCACCCUCUACACCACUGAAAGUUAGAGACUGAAGUCUACAAAACCUCUCCAACCAACACUACUCGUCCUCUGGUAUAGCAGGAGCUACAUAGUCUUGAGCAGCUGUAACCGGCUGCUUUGGAGUUGCCCCCAGUGUCUGAAGUCCCUGAAUGACCUGCUCAGGUGUGUAAGUGGCGGGAGUCUGAGUUCCUCCCCUGGCCUGAGAAGUAGUUGCGGGAGUAGUAAUUGAGACUGCCUGAGCUAGGCCAGUGUAUACUGAUAGAAUCUGAGCUAGGGCCUCUUGAAGACCUGAAAUCACAAUGGGCACAGCUGGUGCUGGUGGAGCGUUCACAACUGGGACCUGAUCAUGAAUUUGGGCGGCUGGUGGAUCUGCAGGUGCUGCCCUAGCUGUUGUGCGGGCUACACCCCUACCCCUACCACGGCCUCGACCGUGUCCUCAGCCUCUAGUGGACCCAACUGGUGGUACUGGUGGUCCUCCAUCCUGACUAGUAGCACAUGUCCUCACUAUUUGUGAGAGAAUAGAAUAACAAAAGUUUAGUACUUGGAUCAACAGAUUUGCACGACAAGAAUUUCAAGAAUAUGAUGUUUUUCCUAAAGGUUUUGCAGCUUCCCAAGGAUAAAUACAGACGUCUCUGUACCGAUCCGUGAGACUCUACAAACCUGCUCAUGACUCGUGACACCUAUGUAACCUAGCCUCUGAUACCAACUUGUCACGAUCCUAAACCGGACUCGGACGUGAUGGCGCUUAUCGUGAAACAAGGCCAGCCGACACAAACCCCAAUAUCAAUUAAACAGUUGUUUACCGUGAAAAUGGUUAUAACAGUUAAAUUUGUUGAUGAGACUCUAAAAAUACGUGAUCUAUUUUUAUGCUAGUUUGUUAAGCAGUUGAUGCUAAGUAUGCAAGAUUUAGAGACAAAAUAAAGUUAAGGAGGGAGCUAUAACCAAACUGACGGGCCAGUUAUUUGGGGCCUCGGGCUUAUCGAUUAUGGACCUCAAGGUUGAUCCUAGGGCUCGGCCAUGAGCUGUUGAGGGUAAUCUGGUAUGACUAAGAGUUAUGAGGUAAUUAUAGAGGGCUCUUUAUGACCAAUAAUUAGUAAUAAUAUGGAGAGAAUAUGUUAGAGAUUGAAAAUAGAGAGUUCGCGUAUAUUACUUAUGGACCAACUGAAGCAACAGAGUUUACAAGAAUGGUAGGAAUGCCCCUUAUAUAGGAAGGGAAUCAUAACAUAGUACAAAAUAUAUUAACUACUCGGGAAUGGGGAUGGGACAGCUAGACAUGAUAUCCUGACGUGCUGCGUUGGGUUAUAGAAUAUCCCGCUAGGCUCUGUCAGUCUUAGCCAAGUGUCUUGGGAACUUCCCUAUCUUCUAAUGCAGCUGUUGGUCUAUACUGCCCUGAGACCAGGCCUUGAUGACCCUUGACUAUGAGCCUCGACCUCCGUCUUAAACCUCGAGAAGCACAUUAGCGAGGCACCAUAAUGACGAGAAAAUUAGGCACCCCCAAUUUUACCCUACACAGAUAGUCUCCGUGUUUCUUAGAGUGAAAAUGAUAAGAAAUGACCUUGAAUUUCUUCACCCUCCGAUGCUCUCGUAACCACACCAGUCGCAAGGCAUCAAGACACGAUGCACAUGCAACCCCUAAAGAUUUUGGCAUUGACUAUGGCAAUUGGCUGUCUCUUGGCCUUUUUCAAUGCGCACGCGGGGUUUCUAUAAAUACUCCCCUUCUAGUUUUCUAUAACUCAUUGUAUUCUCAAAUCUCAGAAAAGGUUCGUUCUUCCUUCGCUAUCGUUUUUUCUUAGGAACGCAACUCCCCUUCUUCUUUUGGAAAUUUCUAGAAAUGGCAAAAACUUCUGCCUCCGCUUCUCAGGAGGUAGUCGCCUCUUCCUCUUUGAUCCUAUCUCAAGGUGAAGUGAUUAUGCCUCCUUGUGUAGAGGAAUGUGUUCCAGGGUCUUUCGCGAUGGCUUUUGAUUUUCGGGCCGAGAGACCUUCUUCGAAAUCGGGGCGCAGCGAGCCCGUGACUCAGUAUAUUAGCUCAAUAACAAACAUCAGAAGAGUGAAAGCUGACUGCCGCUGGGGGAACGCGGUGCUUGUGGAGAUCCAUUCUUCGGAGGAAGCUACUACGACAUACAAAACAGGUUUCCUCAGUGUAUACACCUUUAUAUUUACUCUAGGGCUGGUGGGGCCAUCUUCGCCCUAGAUCGACCCCGUGGUUCUUGACUUCUGUCAACAAUGCCAAGUUACUCUAGGCCAGAUUCAUUCUUCAUUCUAGUGCGAUGUUUACAUGAUCAGGUACUACGCGAUCGUGAUCGGGGAGAUGCCCUUCACCCUUGACCAUCUGAUCAGGAUGUACAGCCCCCGUCUCUUCCGUGGGGGUCUAAUCAAACUCCACUGUCGAGCCCCUAUGUCCCUUUUUGCCUGCACCGAGGAGCUUGGAAAGGAGGGAUGGAUAAGCUGAUUUGUCUGAGUGAGGACUUCUGAUCUGAUCCCGGUGGAAAAUAUGUCGUUCCUUGAGAGGUGGAAUAUGGAGUGUAAGUAGACNNNNNNNNNNNNNNNNNNNNNNNNNNNNNNNNNNNNNNNNNNNNNNNNNNNNNNNNNNNNNNNNNNNNNNNNNNNNNNNNNNNNNNNNNNNNNNNNNNNNNNNNNNNNNNNNNNNNNNNNNNNNNNNNNNNNNNNNNNNNNNNNNNNNNNNNNNNNNNNNNNNNNNNNNNNNNNNNNNNNNNNNNNNNNNNNNNNNNNNNNNNNNNNNNNNNNNNNNNNNNNNNNNNNNNNNNNNNNNNNNNNNNNNNNNNNNNNNNNNNNNNNNNNNNNNNNNNNNNNNNNNNNNNNNNNNNNNNNNNNNNNNNNNNNNNNNNNNNNNNNNNNNNNNNNNNNNNNNNNNNNNNNNNNNNNNNNNNNNNNNNNNNNNNNNNNNNNNNNNNNNNNNNNNNNNNNNNNNNNNNNNNNNNNNNNNNNNNNNNNNNNNNNNNNNNNNNNNNNNNNNNNNNNNNNNNNNNNNNNNNNNNNNNNNNNNNNNNNNNNNNNNNNNNNNNNNNNNNNNNNNNNNNNNNNNNNNNNNNNNNNNNNNNNNNNNNNNNNNNNNNNNNNNNNNNNNNNNNNNNNNNNNNNNNNNNNNNNNNNNNNNNNNNNNNNNNNNNNNNNNNNNNNNNNNNNNNNNNNNNNNNNNNNNNNNNNNNNNNNNNNNNNNNNNNNNNNNNNNNNNNNNNNNNNNNNNNNNNNNNNNNNNNNNNNNNNNNNNNNNNNNNNNNNNNNNNNNNNNNNNNNNNNNNNNNNNNNNNNNNNNNNNNNNNNNNNNNNNNNNNNNNNNNNNNNNNNNNNNNNNNNNAUUCUUUAUUACUACAGCAGCAACAAUUUACCCUGGCGCGGUUUCGGACCUCUAGGAUUGGGUAGGUCGUAUGUGCUCGAUUUGCUCGUAUGUUGAGUGAGUGUGGAGUGAUUUAUCCUAGUCCCGGUGGGAAGCCAAGGAUCAUGGUGAGCCUUUACCCUUGUCGUAGUCAUCCUUUUCGACUUAAAUCGCUACUGGCGGUGCUCCCAUUCCCUGUGCUUACCUCUUGCCUUUGUGUAGAUUUGGGGGAAGUCCCCUUGAUGAAAGGAGAUUUACUCGGCGGGGAAGGCGCUUUGGUACCCAAUGGAUGUAAGAAAAGACAAGGGGAUCCAUUGGACGGACCUUUCAAAUCUAAGAGGAUUAAGGCGGAAGAGACUAAGGCCGACUCGACAGAUCUAACCCCAAAAAUGGAAGGAAACCCUCGAGUUGAGGGUGAGCAAGAAAAUAGCUUCUCGACAACGCCCGAGGGAGGGAUAAACCUGGCCGAUCCUAGGGCCAUAGAGAUAGUGGGUUUCGAGCUGGAGACUAAUGCUGCUGCGGCCCCACUUUAUGGCGGAGAGACAAUUUAGGGAGUAUCGGGUUCUGCCCCCGAGCUGGUCGGUGGUCAGAGCUCCCCUAGAUCGGAGGUGCCUUCGUUAGGUAGUUUGGAGGGUCCUAGUCUAGGGACCCCGAAUAGACAAGGGAUGGUCCUGGCUGACCUUGCUAGCGCUGUGGUCAUGAUUGAUUCUCCUCAGGGAAUGACCUUACCUUUUAAAUGAGUGCAGGAUGCCCCGUGCGAAGAAUCUUCUAAUGUGGGGAUGCCUGUCAAAGCCGGAGAUGUUCCCGAAAGGCUCCCAACCAUUUCCGAGGGAAUUCCUGAGGUCGAUGCUUCCCUCAUUUUUAGUGAAAUGAGCAGGCUUUGCGAGCAGGUAAUCUUCGCUUUCCCAAUCUAUCACUCGGGCCUCGGUUGCCUCGACCUUUUUCUUUCUAACUUAUCUUUUUUGUGGCCUUAGUCCAAGGUGCUUUACAAUUGGACUUUCACCCGGUAUCAGAUCGAGGUGACCCACCUCGAGCAUGAGAAGGCUCUCCUUACUAAGUAGGUUAUCUAGUCCCCGUUUGCCUUUGUCAGAAUGUUUUUUCAGAUCCCAGUGUUUUAACAUCUCGAAUAUAAUUUGUGUAGUUCAAGAAAGAAUGCGUCCUGCUGAGGAAGGAGCUUCGUGCUAGAGACUCUGAAGUCUCCGAACUUAAACAGCAUGAGAGAGAUAUCUUCCGAGAGGGAUGCCCUCCAGGAGAAGGUGAUAUUAGCUAGGCGUCAGCUUAAUGAGGCAAGGGAGGAUAGUGGUAAGUACAAAGGUAUCUAUUGCGAGCUAGUGGCCGCAUUAUCCAAGAUCAAGAUUGAAGCCGAGACGCUUAUAUCUUUGCAUAAAGAAGAUGCCAUUGUGACAAGCGCCCAAACCGGAAGGCCACCCGAGGGGAUUGAGCUAAGGUUGACUCGCACAAUGGAUAUACGUGUGGGAGAUAUCAUUUUGCCUAUUGAGUUUGAGAGAACGGAGACCAUGGAGAAAAGAGAUGCUACCUUGCUUGCUUUUGGGGGUGCGCCGGGCGGUGGCUCAGGAGGUGACAAAAGAGAAGGCGGAGCCCCCGGAAGGGAGGAGGCCGUCGAAGAGAGGUAGCUGAAGGACCCGUAGUCGUCGGGAUGCAACCUUUGGUGGAGACACUAGAGACCUCCCUUUCGAUAGUAGAUUAAGAUUCUGUUUGGUUCUCUCUUUGGAAGGGUUUUUUCAAGACUUGUAAACAUCCCUCUGGAGAUUAUAAUAAGGGUUUCUAUUUUUUGUUCCUCCCUUCCCUUUUGCUUUUCGAAAACGCUAUGUGAUGUUCUUUGACUCUCGAACCAGGGUCCCGUCUUCGAGUUAGACCCUCGGGUUUCACUAUCAUCGAUACUGGUGACAGUGACUUGUACACACUGAGUUGGUUACUUCUUAGAGUAAGCUGGCAUUUAAGCUCUUGUGUUUUUGCUUUCUGGCAUUUUUAUUAGACCGAGCUCAGUCUUUGAGUCGAAUCUUGACUUGAAUUCAUCUGACCCUCAAGUUUUUAUGACUUAGAGCUGGCCUUUGGGCUCUUGCCCGUUAGGUUGGAGCGACCUUAUGUGCGUGUGGACUUGAGGCUCACUAGGUUUGCAACAAUGGCUCUUAUGAUUUUCCCUUAGGCAUAUGUAUUAAUCUAUUUCGGGUUCAGUAUCCGAGUCGGGUUUUGACUCGAGUUCAAUCGAACCUCAAGUUUUUGAAUUUCAAGCUGGCGAUAGUGGCUCUUACGCUUUAGGUCGAUGCAACCUUUUAUGUGUAUGGCCCUAAGGCUCAUUAGGCUGGCGACAAUGGCUUUUGUGCUCUACCCUUAGGAAUAUGUAUUUAAUUGUUUCGGGUUUAAUCUCCGAGUUGGGUUUUGACUUGAGCUCAAUCGACCCUCAAGUUUUCGAAUUUCAAGCUGGCGACAAUGGCUUUUACGCUUUAGGUCGAUGCGGCCUUUUGUGUGUAUGGCCCUGAGGCUCAUUAAGCUAGCGACAAUGGCUCUUAAGCUCUACCCUUAGGCAUAUAUAGUUAACUAUUUUGGGUCCGGUCUCCGAAUCGGUUUAUGACUUGAGCUCAUUUGGACACUCAAGUUUUCAGCUUUCAAGCUGGCAACACUGGCUCUUACGCAUUUGGUCGAUGCGACCUUUUGUAUGUAUGACCCUGAGGCUCAUUAGGCUGACUACAAUGGCUCAUACUCACUUGGUCGAUGCGACCAUUUGUGUAGUCUUUAUUUUUAUUCUCGUUAAGGACUUUUGAAGUAAUUUUUGCCUGACUCGUAGUCGGUUCGGGAAGAACCUCGAUUUCGAGUAACUUGCGGCGAUGUUCGAGCAGCUCGAGAGGUUUGGCUCAGAGGCUAAGUAGCUCGAAGCCUGUAUUUUGGAGCUAACAUGGUCGAAACUCAUUUGCCUAUGUCGAGGGUAGCCUGUUUAAUCAGUUCUUUCCAAAGUAGAUUAGGAGUAAUUGAAGGCCUGUGUGGGCUGCUGACAAUGGCUCUUACGCCUUGUAGCGACAGUCGGGCAUCCUUGAGUCGCGUUAGUUUGGCUGGUACAGCCAUGUGACCGAAGUCACUUGUGUUUGGCCAGAGCCUUUGAGUCCCAAGUGUAGUAGUUUUGGCAUCUAUAUUGAGGGUAUGCCUUUUUAGGGAUCUUACAAGUUUGAUAUAUUGCCGAAACUUUGAAACCGGGUCUAUGCUUUAGUAAGGUCUUACAAGUUUUUCAUGUCGUUGAGGUCAUACAGUUUUGUCACUUGGUACAAGUGUGGUUCAUGCCUUACUUGAGUUCUUACAGAUUUUUCAUGCCAUUGAGGUCUUACAGAUUUUUCAUGCCAUUGAGAUCUUACAAAUUUUUCAUGUCAUUGAGGUCUUACAGACUCUUUAUGCCAUUAAGGUCUUACAGAUUUUUCAUGUUGUUGAGGUCUUAUAGACAUAGUUGCUGCCUUAUGUAGGUCUUACGAGACCGAGUUUGACCACUCGGGGUCUUAUGGCGUCGGGUUUUGAUAAGUCGAUGAAGGUGGCGCUUGACGGUAGUCCCCGAGUUGUCGAGUGUUUCUUGACUCGGGAGCCGUUAUUUGCAAACUUUGUGUUACCUUAUCAAAGGCUUACAUUUCGGAGAUCCCGACCCUGGGGUCGUGCGAUUUUGGAGAUAUUGGCACCAGUCUAUGUGUGUUUGGGGCGCUUUUGUCCUUGGAGAUGUUUUAUGACUUUCAUGCGGCCUCGUUGAGGGCUUAUGAGUUUGGAGUUCCGACCCUAGGUCAUGCAGGUAUCGAAUUGUUGACGCUAGUCUCCGAGUAUUCGGGACGUCUUUGAUGGAGGAAUCGUGUUAGUGAAAAUGUUGAGUUUCCUUUGGGGCAUGAGAUUCUUUGACAAAAGGCAUUCUUUGAUUUCUUGACACAAGUAUACAUAGUUUUGUUUUCGGGGGACCGACUAUAUAGGCACGGUUCAUUUGACCGUUUGGCCCGAUACAGUAUUUUAUUAAAGGCACCAUGGGGGCAUGCCCUCCAGUAUUUGAGGUUGAUUGAGAAAAGAAGCCUGGAAUACUUGUCGAGUCUUCCUUAGGUACCAUGUGGAUGUUGCCUCGUUAAAAACCUUGCCGGUAAAACCCUUCUAGGGACAAAAUUUGGCCGAAGGAAAAGAGUGCAACGGAUGCUCGAGAAUGUUCUCGGAAUUUUCCAUUGGAUGCCCUAGCAAUAGUAUUGUUUUAGCAUCCAUAUGUUCCAAUUGCUUGGAAGUUGUUCACCCUCCAUGGUGCCGAGCUUGUAAGACCCUUUUCCGACUACUCUGAGGACGCGAUACAGUCCUUCCCAAUUUUGUCCCGGCUUUCCUUCAUUAGAGUUUCGAGUGUUAAGGGUGACUUUCCUUAUAACCAAGUCCCCAAUUCCAAAAUAUCAGAGGUUUGUUCGCCUGUUAUAAUAUCUUUCGAUCCUUUGAUUUUAGGCGGCCAUUCGAACUAGCGAGGCUUCCCGUCUUUCAUCCAUCAACUCGAGGGCCGUUUUCAUGGCCUCACCGUUCGAUAUCUCAGUGGCGUGUUGGACUCUGGCCCUCGGCUCCCCUACCUCUACCGGUAUCAAAGCCUUCGCGCAGUAUACUAUAGAGAAAGGUGUUUCCCCAGUGCUCGAUUUUGAAGUCAUUCGAUAUGCCCACAACACUUCUAGCAAUAUUUCUCCCCACUUUCCCUUAGCGCUUUCUAGUUUCUUUUUUAGGUUUUGGAUGAUGGUUUUGUUUGUAGAAUCGACUUGGCCGUUCGCACACAGGUGGUAGGGCGUGGACAAGAUCCACUUGAUUUUGUGAUCCUCGAGGAAUUGUGUUACCUUGGUCCCGAUGAAUUGUUUCCUGUUAUCACACGUUAUCUCGGAAGGAAUCCCGAAUCGGCACAUGAUGUGGUCCCAGACGAAGCUAAUGACUUCUUUUUCCCUUAUUUUUUCGAAAGCCUGCGCUUCCACCCAUUCGGAGAAAUAGUCAGUCAUAAAUAAAAUAAAUCUAGCCUUACCUGGCGUCAUUGGCAGGGUUCCAACAAUGUCCAUCCCCCAUUUCAUUAAUGGCCAUGGCGAUAAAACCGAGUGUAGCCGUUCACCGGGUUGGUGAAUUAUCGGGGAAAAUCUCUAGCAUUUGUCGCACUUCCGGAUGAAUUCUUUGGUGUCCUUUUCCAUGCUGUCCCAAUAGUAGCCUGCUCUGAUUACCUUUUCGACCAAGGCAUCUGCUCCGGAAUGAUUUCCGGAUAUGCCCUCAUGAAUUUCUCGGAGUACAUAAUUUGUAUCUCUCGGCCCCAGACAUAUGGCUAGGGGGCCAUCAAAAGUUCUUUUGUAUAAAUUCUUAUUUUCAUCGAGAGAGAAUCGGGCUGCUUUGGUUCGUAUGGGCCUCGAUUCUUUUGGGUCCUCUGGCAAUUUUCUGUCUUUCAAAUAAUCAAUGUAUUUAUUUCUGCAGUCCCAUGUUAGACUGGUGGGAUUAAUCUCCACAUGACCUUCCUCGAUUACUGAUUUAGAUAGCUAGACGACAGCCUCGGGGAGUAGGUCGUCUUCCUCCACAGAUGAUCCUAGGUUUGCGAGGGCAUCAGCCUCGCUGUUCUGCUCUCGAGGUACAUGGACCAAAGUCCAUUCUUUGAAGCGACAUAAUGUGACUUAGAGUUUGUCCAAAUACCACUGCAUCAUAUCUUCUCAAACCUCGUAGCUCCCAUUCACCGGCUCACCACUAGGAGUGAAUCGCAUUUUUCUUCGUUGGUCUCAGCUCCCAAGCUUUUGGCAAGUUUUAAACCUGCAAUUGUAGCCUCAUACUCGGCCUCAUUGUAAGACAAUUUUGCAGCUUUAUGGAUUUCCUGAUCACGCCGCCCAUAGGUGGAUUUAGAACUAUACCUAGUCCGGAACCUUUCACGUUUGUGGCACCGUCAGUGAACAGGGUCUAUACCCCGGAAGAUGUGCCUGAUUUCAGCAAAAGUGUUUUUUUCUACCUCGGGCACAAGGGAGGGCGAGAAAUCGGCCACGAAGUCUACCAGAAUCUAGGACUUGAUGGUCGUUCGAGGUUGAUACUCGAUAUCAUAAACCCCGAGCUCGAUGGCCCAUUUGGCCAUUCGACCCAAUAGUUCGGGUUUGUAAAAUAUUCUCCAAAGGGGGUAUGUCAUUAGAACACAAAUGUGAUGGCAUUGGAAAUAGGGUUUCAAUUUUCACGAUGCACUUAUUAACGCGAGAGCCAAUUUUUCAAGGUGAGGAUACCUAGUUUCGGCAUGGGUUCGGAUUGUUUAAUAAAUAGGGAAUUGCGUACCUUACUUUUCUCAAACUAGCACGCCGCUUACCGCUAUCUCGGAUAUGGCCAGGUAUAGACAUAGUGUUUCAUCCACCUUUGGUGUGUGGAGUAGAGGUGGGCUAGUCAGAUAUCGCUUUAGCUCUUCUAAUGCGCGUUGGCACUCUAGAGUCCAUUUGAAGUUGUUCCUUAUGUUGAGUAAGGAGAAAAAAUGAUGGCUCUUGUCGUAUGACCUGGAUAUGAAUUUGCCCAGGGCCGUUAUCCAUCCUGUUAGCCGUUGCACGGCCUUUACAUUGUUUACAACUGUAAUUUCUUCGAUGUGCUUGAUUUUAUCGAGGUUAAUCUCAAUCCCUCUGUUUGAUACCAUGAAGCCUAGGAAUUUGCCCGAACCUACUCCAAAGGCACAUUUCUCGGGGUUGAGCUUCAUGUUGUAACUCCUACGGAUGUCGAAUGUUUCCUGCAAAUGAGUUAAAUGGUCCUCUGCACGCAGGAACUUAACUAGCAUGUCGUCAAUAUAAACUUCCAUGGAUUUGCCUAUUUGACUCUUAAACAUUUUAUUAACUAAACGCUGGUAAGUAGCCCCUGCAUUUUUUAGUCCGAAAGGCAUUACAUUGUAACAGUAGGUACCAUACUUUGUGAUGAACAAGGUCUUCUCCCUGUCUUCGGGGUUCAUCUGAAUUUGAUUGUACCCAUCAUAGGCAUCGAGAAAUGUGAGGGUCUCGUGGCCGGCCGUAACAUCGAUUAGAUGAUCGAUGUUAAGCAACGGGAAUGAAUCCUUGGGACACGCCUUAUUUAAGUCUUUAUAGUUUACACAUAUUCUUAACUUAUUUCCCUUUUUGGGUACCACUACCACAUUUUCCAACCACUCGGGGUAUUUUACCUCCCUAAUGGACCCUAUUUUAAGGAGUUUCAUUACCUUAUCCUUGAUGAAUGCGUGUUUUAUCUAGAAUUGGGGUCUUCUUUUUUUCUUUACCGAUUUAAACCUGGGGUCCACACUCAGUCGGUGGGAGGUUGUGUCCGGCGGGAUACCUGUCAUGUCUAAGUGGGACCAUGCGAAACAAUCUAUAUUAUCGAUAAGAAAUUGAAUAAACUUUUUCCUGAGUUCGGGGGUUAAUACCGUUACCAGAUAUACCUUACAAUCGGUGAGGUUCUCGAUAAAAAACAGCUUUCUCCAGAUCUUUGAUUGUCGAUUUUGUUGCAUCCGACUCUUGGGGUAAACAAAGGUUCGACGAGCUAGGAAAUCUUCUUCGUCAUCCUUGGGGGUCUGUAUGUUCCCAAAAUCGUCCGAGGUCGGGAGUACGGGGGUCGACUCCCCCCGGUAAACCGCGAACAUUUCUUUCGCUACAUGCUGUUCUCCGUAUAUGGUCGUUAUGAUGUCCUUUUUCGGAAAUUUAAUCAUCUGGUGCAGGGUUGACGGUACUUCCCUCAUGUUGUGUAUCCACGGCCUGCCAAGCAAUGCAUUAUACCUUAUGUCCCCAUUGAUGACUUGAAACUUUGUGUUCUGAAUCGUGCCAGAUGCGUCGACUGGGAGGGUGAUCUCCCUUUUUGUUACUUCGUCAGUCGUGUUGAAGCCGUGAAGGACCCUGGAGGUGGGUAUGACCUGGUCUAGUAACUCGAGCUGUUCCACUACCACUGACCUGAUCAUGUUGGCCGAGCUACCUGGAUCCAUGAGCACACUUUUAACUCGGAUGUUGUUUAAAAGAAAUGAGAUUACCAGCGCGUCGUUGUAUGGUUCUAUCAAAGUCUCGAGAUCUUCUUUGCUGUAUGCGAGGGUGUCUUCGGCCACGCGGUCUUGGAUUAGCCCUUCCGUGGUGGUGGAUAUUGUUGUCUUCUUGAUCACGGGCCCUUAGGGAAUGUCGGCCCAUCCAAUAAUCAUAUGAACGACGUGCUGAGGGGUCUCUUUUUGUUCCCAGGCUGGAACAGCCACAACACUUUCUCCCCGGCUUCCCAGGUAGUUGUUUUCACCUCUAUCUGAUGAGUUAGGCAUUUCAACCUGAAAUUUGAAGAUCUUGGACAAGAAAAGCAUGAAAGAUAACUUGUGUUGUGUGAUGAAACCAGCAAGAAAAUAAUCACUAUUAUUUUUAGCCCCACGGUGGGUGCCAAACUAUUUACCGUAAAAAUGGUUAUAACAAAUAAAUUUGUUGAUGGGACUCUAAAAAUACGUGAUCUAUUUUUAUGCUAGUUUGUUAAGCAGUUGAUGCUAAGUAUGCGAGAUUUAGAGACAAAAUAAAGUUAAGGAGGGAGCUAUAACCAAACCGACGGGCCAAUUAUUUGGGGCCUCGGGCUUGUCGAUUAUGGACCUCGAGGUCGAUCCCGGGGCUCGGCCACGAGCUGUUGAGGAUAAUCGGGUAUGACUAAUAGUUAUAAGGUAAUUAGAGAGGGCUCUUUAUGACCAAUGAUAAGCAAUAAUAUGGAGAAAAUGUGUUAGAGAUCGAAAAUAGAGAGUUCUUGUAUAUUUCUUAUGGACCAACUGAAGCAACAGAAUUUCCAAGAAUGGUAGAAAUGCCCCUUAUAUAGGAGGGGAAUCAUAACAUAGUACAAAAUACAUUAACUACUUGGGAACGGGGAAUCAUAACAUAGUACAAAAUACAUUAACUACUUGGGAACGGGGAUGGGACAGCUAGACAUGAUGUCAUGACGUCCUGCGUUGGGUUCUAAAAUAGCUCGCUAGGCUCUAUCAGUCUUAGCCAAGCAUCUUGGGAACUUCCCUCUCUUCUAAUGCAGCCAUUGGUCUGUACUGCCCCGAGACCAGGCUCCGAUGACCCUUGACAGUGAGCCUCGACCUCGGUCUUGAACCUCGAGAAACACAUUCGCGGGGCACCAUAAUGACGAGAAAAUUGGGCUCCCCUGAUUUUACCUUACACAACAGUUAUAGGAAUAUACUUUAAGUCAUUAAUAUGGUAUAAAUCCAAAAACAUAGAGCGAAAUAGAAUAAUUGUGGAAAUAACACAACCCGACAUCAGGGUGUCACCAGUCAUGAGCAUCUAAACAUCCGUCUAAGAGUAUGAAAAAGGACUACACAGUCUAUUACAGAGCUAGUACAAAGGAAAGUAAUGAUAUGAGGGAGAAGCACUGGGCUGCGAACACUAAGCAGCUACCUAGUGAACUCCGAAUAGCCUGUUGGAAGCAAUCAACCCUUGCUAGCAUGACUCGAGGCUCCUGAAUCUGCACACAAGGUGCAGGGAGAAAUGUGAGUAUGCCAACUCAGUAAGUAAUAAAAGUAAAGGCACCUGAGCGAUAAGAAAACACGUAAAACACAGCAAAAUGCUACAAAGAGGUAGUGUAAAACCAGAACAAGACCAUAAUCAGUAAAAACUCGUAGAAACACCUUAGUUCAGUAAAAACUUCUUUAAAACAUCUUUAAGAAGUUAAACAAGUGAAUGAAAGCAGUGAGAAAAUAUAGACACAUAAAAUCAACCCCUCGGGCAAAAUACCAACAAAAUCAGCCCCUCGAGCUAUCUCACAAUCACUCGUAUCAACCCCUCGGGCAAUAACAUGNNNNNNNNNNNNNNNNNNNNNNNNNNNNNNNNNNNNNNNNNNNNNNNNNNNNNNNNNNNNNNNNNNNNNNNNNNNNNNNNNNNNNNNNNNNNNNNNNNNNNNNNNNNNNNNNNNNNNNNNNNNNNNNNNNNNNNNNNNNNNNNNNNNNNNNNNNNNNNNNNNNNNNNNNNNNNNNNNNNNNNNNNNNNNNNNNNNNNNNNNNNNNNNNNNNNNNNNNNNNNNNNNNNNNNNNNNNNNNNNNNNNNNNNNNNNNNNNNNNNNNNNNNNNAAGCCAUCUCGUGGCAUAAUCAAAUAAGCUCUCGGCCUCAUAUAAAGUCACCUUGUGGCAUAACAAAUCAGGCCCUCAGCCUCAUAAUCGUGAAUCAGUAUAACACUGUUGCGGCGCGCAGCGCGAUCCCAUAAUAACCUCACAACACAGGCCCUCGGCCUCAGUCAAUUAGAAAUCGCUCAAAGCCACUCGGGCACAGUAAAAUAUAAUGCUCAACCCAAAAUAUCAUUUGAGAUGUCAAAACAGAGUAAAUAUGGCUGAGUUGCGAAAACAGUAGAAUAUAGCAUGACUGAGUACAAAUAUGAUGUCAAAACAGUGAGGAAUAGUAGUAAAAAUCCCCUAAGGUUCCAAAAUAGUUGGCACGAGGCCAAAAUAUGGCAUUCAGCCCAAAACAUGAUGAUAGCAAACAAUUUUCAAUCAAAUACGCGGUUAAACCACCAGACGGGACGGACUAAGUCACAAUCCCCAACGGCGCAUGACCUCACGCUCGUUAUCUAGAAUAUAUGUCACCUCAUAAUAGCACAACGAUGUGAAAUCCGGGGUUUCAUACCCUCAGGACAGCAUAUACAAUCAUUACUUACCUCUAUCCGAUCCAAACUCUAGCCCGCAAUGCCUUUGCCUCUCGAAUCGACCUCCGAAUGCUUCAAAUCUAACCAAAAUCAAUACAUAACCAUCAAAAUAUGCUAAGGGAACAAAGCCCACUCAAAAGUAAUCAAAUUACAACACAAAUCCCGAAAUUAACCAAACCCGACCCCGGGCCCACGUCUCGGAAUCUUAUAAAAAUUACAUCAAUAAACUCCUUAUCCUCUCACGAGUUCAUCCAUAUCAAAAGUACCAAAAUCCGACAACAAAUGACCCCUCAAAUCCUUAAUCAAAGGUUUCUAAUCUCAAGCCCUAGUUUCUUCAAUAUUUACCCACAAAUUUCCAUAAAUUUCAAGCCUAAUCAAUGAAAUAACACCAUAAGAAUGAGUUUUAUGUUCAAAAAUAUUACUUCAAUGAAGUUCCCUCUGAUUCCCUCUUCAAAAUCCCCCAAAAAGCUCCAAGGUCGAUUUUAAAUAGUGAAGAAAGGCUGAAAAUUGUGAAGGAUAAAAUAUAUACUUUCUGACCCAGGGAUUCCGCACCUGCGGUUCUUUUUCCACUUCUCUAGUCCCGCUUCUACGGUCUAACCCACUACAUUUGCGGUUUUCACUUAAAAUCCCCUUUUCCACAUCUAUGAUCAAAUGCACGCACCUGCACUAUCGCAGGUACGCUCCAGUAGCCGCUUCUGUGGUUCCAGCUGACCUCCUUCUUGGUCGCAUCUCCGGAUCCAUAUCCGCUUCUAUGAGUCCGCACCUGUGGUCCCCUAGCCGCAGGUGCGAUUAUGACAGCAAUAGAAAAGCUUCAGCUUCCAAACCCAACUCAAAAUCUUCCGUCAACCAUCUGAAAUCACUCCGAGGCCCCCGGGACCUCAACCAAAAGCACAAACUAGUCAAAUACCAUUAUCCAAACUUAUACCAAUCUUCAAAAUACCUCAAACAACAUCGAAUCAACCAAAUCACAUCGGAUUCAAGCCUAAAGUUCCAAAAAUCUUUUGAAUUCUGCUUUUGAUCAAAAAGUCUACCAAUCCACGUCUGAAUGACCUGAAAUUUUGCACACACAUCCUAAAUGACACAACGGACCUACUGAAACUCUUGGAAUUCUAUUCUGACCCCUAUAUCAAAAUCUCACCUACCAACCGGAAAAUGCCAAAAUUCCAAUUUCGCCAAUUCAAGCACAAAUCUACUAAGGAGCUUCAAAACACAUUCCGAUCACGCUCUGAAGUCCCAAAUCACUUCCCGAAGCUAUCAUAACCAUCAGAAUUCACAUCCAAGCCCUUUUCACAUAGUCAACAUUCGGUUGACUUUUUCCAACUUAAGCUUAUUCAAAAGAGACUAAGUGUCUCAAACCUUACCAAAACCUUUCUGAACCCAAGCCAACCAACCUGAUAACACAUAAUACAACCUAACAAGGUAAUAAGAAGCAUAAAUAGGGGAAAUAGAGCAGUAACUCAUGUAACGACUGGGAGGGUCGUUACAUUUUAGGCCCAACAGACUUUAGAAAACCAAGGCUUAGUGAUAUAGGAACCCAUUUCUGCUGCAUAAUUUUAUUCAUUACAAAUUAUAGGAAAACAAUUCAAAACUUAAACCAAAGCGUGUAGAAUACAUUAUUAAUUUGUUGCACCAGAAAGACACCAACAAUAACAACUAUUAACCUACCGAUUGAUUCCCAUAAUUGAUGGUUUAAGUCUAUCACGACCCGGAUUUCCCACCCUCGGGAGUCGUGAUGGUGCCUACUAAUGUGAGCUAGGCAAGCCGAUUGUUUGAAUAAAUAUACUUUUUACUAAUUUAUAUUACUUAACAAUUAUAAAGCAAUAACGUGUAAACAGCGAAAAUUACAAUAAGCGGAAGAAAGUAAUAAAUUAUCUGAAUAUGUAUCUAAUACAACUAUUUGAGCAUCGACUACCCAGAACUGGUGUCACAGUUUCACAGACGGUCUAAGAGUACUACAAAUACGGGUUGAGAGAAAUAAAUACAACACUGUCUCUGUAAAUACAUGAAAGAAACAUGAAUAGUAGAUAGAAGAAGAUGUCAAGGCCUACAGAUGCCUGCAGGACUACCUCGGGUGGCUUGAUGAACCAGAAUCAGCAAUCUCACUAUAGUCCGAAGUCUACAACAUUGGGGUCUGCACAAAAGAGUGCAGAGUGUAGUAUCAGCACAACCGAUUCCGUGUGCUGGUAAGUGCCUAGUCAAACCUCGGCGAAGUAGUGGCGAGGCAAGGACCAGACUACCAAAUAAACUGUGCAGUUUAACUAUAUGCAGCGGAAAAAAAGAAUAGUAAUAUACAGUCAAGUAUGGGAAGGGGAAACAUGUUGCGGGGAAACACUGAAUAAUAACAGAACAACAACAAAUAAUUAUGAGGAUCAUCACAGUUCAAUCAAAAAUAAGAAGGGGAAAUCAUGUUGCGGGGUACAACAAGUAUCAACCAGAAACCAGCAAUUAAAUUUAGAGAAAUUGUAACUCAGAUAUCAAUAAAAAUCAGAAAAUCAAAGACAAGUACACGGCAUUACUCUUCGUGCUUUAACACUCUUUCACCAAAACAGUACACGGCAUCACCAUUCAUGCUUUAACACUCCCUCGCCAAAAUAAUACGCGGCAUCACCCUUUGUGUUUUACACUCUUCUUCACCCAAGCAACAAAUCACAAGGCAAAUAGAGUAAGGGAAUCUAUAACAUCGAAAUAAAAUCAAGCAACAACAGAAAAAUCAGUAAGUAAACGUAAAGGACAACAUAACUCAAUUAUCAGCAAGAAAUAGGAAAAUCAAGGACAAGUACAUGGCAUCACCCUUUGUGCUUUUACUCUCGUCCCCACCAUAAGAAUCAACUUAAACUACACGGCAUCACCCUUCGUUCUUUUACUCUCAUCCUCUCCAUAAAAUCAAUAUGAUAGGCACGGAAUGGUACAUCGUGCGGCACGGGAUCACCAUUUGUGCUUUACACUCUUUCCUCACAAAUCAUGCACGACAUCACCCUUCGUGCUUUAACACUCUUCCUCAUCCAAACAACAAUCACAAGCAAUAGGUCAAGGGAAUAAAUGAAACUACAAUAAGAAUCCCGGCAAGGGAACAAUAGUUAAACAAUCAAGUCCCGGCAAGGGAACAACAUCAAAGAAGCAUCAAUAUCCCAGCUAGGGAGAUAAUAUCAAAACAACAAAUUCCUGACAAGGGGGAUAAUAUAAUGAUUCUCUUAUCUUUUUCACUUUUACUUCACAACUCACUUCACAACCUUGAGCCAAUGCUCUAAAAGGUUCAAUUUCCACUUAUACUUUCACAUUUUAUUGUACAACUUGAGCCAACGCUCCUCAAUGUUCAAAUGUCACAACUACUUCCACAAACUUUGCCCAACAAUAGAAAUCAUCAUCAAAACAUGAAUAAUACAACGAAGCCAUAAUAAUCACAAUAUAAGACUCACGGGCAUGCUUGACACCAAUGUAUAAAUACUCGUCACCAUGCCUAUACGUCGUACUCGACAAACACCACAUAGCAAAUAGGACUCGACUCCUAAUCCCUCAAGCUAAGGUUAGACCAAACACUUACCUCGAUGCCACGAACACAAUUAACGUCUCAACUAUCGCUUUACCUCUUGAUUCCACCACCAAUUCGCUCGUAUCUAGCCACAAGUUACUUAAUUAUAUCAAUAAACGCUAAAUGAAUCAACUCCAAUGCAUGAAAAUGGGUUUUCCAAAGUUUUACCCAAAAAGUCAAAAAUUGCCCCAGGGCCCACACGGUCAAAACCCGAGGUUCGAACCAAAACUCGAUUACCCAUUCCCCCCACAAACCAAAAUAUAUAAUUUAUUUUGAAAUCAGACCUCAAAUCAAGGUCUAAAUCCCCAUUUUUGAAAAACCUAGGUUCUAUCUAAAACACCUAACUUCCCCCAUGAAAAUCAUUGAUUUUGAGUUAAAAUAAUGUGAAAAAAUGUUAAUGAUUGAAGAAAACAAGUUAAAAUUGACUUACAAUCGAUUUGGAAGAAGAGUUAUCUUUGAAAAAUCACCCAAGAGUGUUUUGGUUUUGAAAGAGUGACAAAUGGGAGAGUUUCGGCUAAGUAUAAAAAUUGCAGGUUACAGAUAUGGGAAUUGCGACCAGGGUUUGCAAUUGUGAACCCCAACCUCUGCUAUGUUCGUAUUUGCGAAGGGGUUCUCGCAUUUUCUAGGUGAGAAAUGUGAAGGAUGGGUCGCAUUUGCGACGACCGGCUAAAAGGGGGCGUAACGCAUUUGCGAUAGAAUCCUCGCAAUUGCGAGGUAGGCUGGCCUGGGCUUCUUUCGCAUUGCCUGCAAUGCUACAGCUAAAAGUCUACAAUUCACCAAGUCCAAAAUCCACAUCGUGGCCUAUCCAAAACUCACCCGAGCCCUCUGGGCUCCAAACCAAACAAGCACACCCACCUAAAAACAUCAUACGAACUCCCUCAUGCAUUCAAAUCACUAAAAUAACAUCAACAACUAUGAAUUUAGCAUCAAAAUCAUGAAAUCUUCUUAAAAACUUCAAAUUUCCAAUUUUCUCAAAAACGAACCGAUUCACGUCUUUUCAAGUCCGUUUCUUACGAAAUUUCACAAACUUAUUUUACAUCACAUAUAAGACCUGUACCGGGCACCGGAACCAAAAUACGGGCCCGAUACCAUCAAGUUUUAAUCACAAUUCAUUUCCAAAUCUUAUAAAUAAUUUCACAAAAUUAUUUUGUUAAAAAAUUCAUUUCUCGGGCUUGGGACCUCGGAAUUCGAUUUCGAGAAUAUGCCCAAGUCUCAUAUUUUCCUACGGACCCUCCGGGACUGUCCAAUCACGGGUACGGGUACAUUUACCCAAAAGGUUCACCGAAGUUAACUUAAACUCAUUCUAAAUGCAAAAUUCAUCAUUUUUCACAAAUUUUCACAAAAUGGCUUUCCGGCUUCACACCCGGACUGCGCUCGCAAAUCGAGGUGAUGCCUAAAGAGGUUUUUAAGGCCUCAAAACGCAGAAUUCAAUUUUAAAACAAGUGAUGAAAUAUCCUCCACCUCUAAAACAAACGUUCGUCCUCGAACGGACAUAAGAAGAAAGUACCUGAGUCGGGGAAAAGAUGAGGAUAACGGCUCCACAUAUCAGACUCGGACUCCCAGAUCUAUGCUUCAGCAGGCUCACCUCUCCAUUAAACACGAACAGAAGGAAAACUCUUGAUCUCAACUGACUAACCUGCCGGUCUAGAAUAGCUACCGGCUCAUCCUCAUAAGACAAGUCCUUGUCCAACUGGACAUUGCUGAAAUCUAACAUGUGGGAUGGAUCGCAUGAUAUUUCCGAAGCAUGGACACAUGAAACACUGGAUGCACGGCUGAUAAGCUCGGUGUUGAUACCCAAUUUUUCCCUUUAUAUUGUCAAUAUGCAAAAUACUUCAAAAUNNNNNNNNNNNNNNNNNNNNNNNNNAAUAAUUAUUUCCAAAAUUAUUAUCUUGAUAAUUCAUCUAUUGGAUUUUUAUAUUUAUGCCAAAAUAUGGCUAAGGUAAUUUUUACACAUUUGUAUAAUUUUAUUUAUUAUUUUUAAAGCUAAAUCGCACAUAAUUGCAAAAUUUACCCUUUUAAAGUUUAAUUAUGUUUUGUACGCAUAAAAUUGGGCCCUGUAUUUUAAAAUUACUAUUUAUGUGUUAUAAAUCAUUUUAGUACUUUCAAUUUAUUUUCAGAAAACUAUUUACUAUUUUUUAUAAAUUAACAACAACGACGACUAGUGAAAUCCCACUACAAAACAUGGCUAUUUAAAUAGGGAAAAUGGCUAUUUAAAUAGCAGCCCAUUUUUAUUUCAAUUAAAGCCUAAAUUAGACCCCAAAUCCCCAGCCCAAUUUUGAUUUAAACCUAACCCUAACCCUUCUAAAACCAACCCAAACCCAGAUCCCCACCUACCCCAUUUAAUCUAGGUCGUUGAUCAUUUAGAUCAACGACCACCAUUCCACCUUACCAUUUUUAACCCCAAACGACCCCCUAACCUAAAUCAUUUUUCACCAGUCCGCCGCCCUUGAAUCCCCUCUCCUCUCAAACUCUCUCUGAAAACCUAAGGCUAACCCUAGCCGCCGCCACCCAAAUCCACCCUAAACCCCUUUGAUUCUCACCUAAUCCAUGGACUCCCAUGGUUGUUUGAAAGGUGUACCGGUCUCAUAUAUCUCCUGGUUGCUUGUUUUCGUGAUUUCGUGGACAGGUCUCAAAGAGAUCUAGUCCAGUCUUGCUCAAACUUCUAUCCAUGGCCUUUCUCCGACCAUCCAUGAUUGUUCAAGUCAGAUCCAUGGAUUUUCCGGCUAGAUUGGUGACUUUUCAAAGGAUUUCUCAUUUUUCUGGGUGCUUCGAAACCCUAACUUUAAAGGCGUUUGAUUUUUCUUUUAGAUCUGUCUUAGAUUUGUGUAUGUUAUGAGCCUCUUAAGCAUUUCCCUUAAAGGUUUUCCGAUUUUUCAAAGCGAUUUUUCAUUUUUUUAACGAUUAGGGUUUUUCUUAACCUCUUUUAAAAGAUCUCAUAUCUUAUUUUUAGUGUUGCUUUAUGAUUCUACUAUGUUCAAACGAUUUGUUUAUGCAUUUCUACUACCUAAUUCAGCAUGCUGAAAACCUUAAAUAUAUUUGGUUUUAUUUGGGGUCCCGGAACUGUCUUUGUUUAUUUUGUAUACUUGUUCCGACUGAGUUCUUUGAGUUUAGAUCCUUCUCUUUGUUUAACUUUACUGAUUCUGAGUUCCUACCUUUUUAACUCAGCUUUGUCAAAACCCUAGUUUCUUGAAAUUUUCCUCAUUUAUUACGGAGAGUUUUUGAAAGAUAUCCUUUACCUAUUGUUAUGUGCUAGACUAUUUCCUUCAUUUUUUGGUUCUACGUGACUACUUGACUUUGUUGACUACUGUGCUUCGAGUAGGUUUCUUUUACUACUGAAUCCUAGCCUACUCCUGCUACUACUGUAUAUUUGUGUUGCUUCUUUUGGCCAUAUGGUUGGCCUUGCGUGUCUGAUACUCUUGUUCAUUCUUCUCUAUUUAUAUGGCAAAGUGUAGAAUCAUGAUUCUUUCUUGAUUGAUCUUGACUUCCUCAAGUUACGACUGAUUGCAAAUAUUUUCUUAUAACGCAUGGUUUCACUCAUUUUUUGUUUAAAUCGAUUGAUUCAUUUCCUUUAAUGUGAUGUUUUAACCCUGCUGAAUCCUUUCCCAAUUAAGUAUAUUUUGUACUUAGACUCAAUUAUUUACUCUUUCCCCUAUAUGGUCAGAAAUCAAUCUUUCUCAAAUUGGUUUUCUUUCCUUAAUUAUUCCUGUCAGUAUCCGUUUGAACAGUAAUUCCUUGAUUAAAGGAAAGUACUUGUAUUAAUUGAUUUUGAUUGUGAUUAUUUUCAUGUUUGGGUUAAAACUUUACCUGUUACCUUAUUUUUACUCGUUUUCAAAACUAUAAAUACUCUACCCUCUCUUCUUUAAACACACGAAUAAUUGAGUUCAAAAACACACACUUACACACUCAAAACUCUCUCUUUCUUUACUACUACUUGUGCUACUGCUUUGUCUAGUCGGCUGAAAGCCAAGGCUAGACUGUGGAAUUCUACUUGCUUUACCUUUCUGCACCUUGCUUUCUCUACUGGUAUGUCCUAGUAAUUUUAAAGCUUCAACAACAACAUGCUUCUUUAAUUGUUUCAGUUUCUCUCAUUCUUGUCUACUUCUGCUUGUGGUUCUGCAGUCAAGUUAUAUUACCAGCAUGCUAUAAUGUCUCCCCUUCCUUUUAGAUUAAUGCACUCCCAUAUGUGUGUUUCAAGGCAUACUCUGUCAGUCACUUAUUGUGUACUUGCCAUCCCAAGUCCCUAUCCCUUCAAUGUGCUUAUAUUCUUUAUGACUAGCAUGUGAUUAUGCCAGUAUCAGUUAUUGUUGUGCAUAUCCAACUAGCUAAGACCCUUGAUGGGGGUUAUGUGUUUACAGUCAAAAGUUUGUAUGUCCCAAACCCUUUGACCCCCCUUGUAUAACUACUGAUUCUGUGUGUGAUCCCAUCUUGGUAGUUUGAGUUUUAUUUACUACUACAACUGCUUUCAAUCACCUCUGUUACUGAUUAUAUUCAAAGUGGACUUGCCAGUCCAGUUUUUAAUAAAAAACUCUUUUUCAAACUAUGUCAAGCACUUUCACCUACUCUUAGAAUCUAGGUUCUGCCCCUUUUGUGAGAGCCUUUUCUUGGGACACUUGAGCUCCCUUUAAACUUGGACACAUAAGAUCUGGCCCUUCCACGCUGCACUCGUUCUGUUUGGUUAUGCAAAUCUGGGUGUGAGCGCUGCCCGGGAUCCCUUGAGGUCCUUAGGGAACUGUAACACACCUAGAUAUGAGAAAGGCUUUGUAACAAUAGUGGGUUCUUAGGUGGUUCAUUACAUAACUCAGAGAGGAAGUCAAGAUCAGGCUUCCUAUGGUUGUAACUUCUUAUUUUUGCAUUUCUUUUGGUAAUUCAUCAUUUGAUCUGUAAUAAUUUGUAAACAAUUAUGGGGUUGGCUAGUGAAAAGGGAAUGGGUAAGUAUGCAUGCUUUAGCUAUCAAAAGGGUAUAAAGCAUGUUAAUAGGUUUAGGUUCCUACUUGCGCAAUAGAAACCAUGCCUAGGACUCAUUUCAUGCAUUAGAGAUCAUGCUCUUUAGGAUUUACACUUACUGUUUUUAGCAUGUCCAUUUCACUAUCAUAUCACUUAGAAAAUCCUGCAUUAAAUGUGUUAAUAACCGGUGUUUUCUGCAGUCAUGUUCCUACUUCCAUGCACACUUAAAGAUCUUUUUUUAGGCUAAACAACACCAACAAGCAUAUCCUUUAUGCAUAUUUUGGAAGUCAUGUUUUAAACACUGUAAUAUAUGUGCAUAUAAAAAUCCUGCUUAGGAUUCUCCAUAUACAUUAUUCUGCAUCUCUGUACAUUAGAUGCCAUGUCUUUAGAACUUCAUUUAUAUUCGCUUAAACAUGCUUAGGCUAACUAGGAAUGCAUAAAACAAUUUUAUUUAGAUUUUUUACAACCAACUAGCAAUAAUUCUAUGUGUUGAACACCUAGAACAACAUAUCUUAGGUAAUAAUAAUCUCCAGACAUCUCAAUGAUUCGGAAUAACUACUGAAUACUGCUUACGCCUAGGCAAGCCUUAGGUAUUCACUUAAAUAAAAACUGGAACUGCCUCUGUUUAAUUCUAGACUGCUACAACCAGUAGGCAAGCCUGAUUCGGACUUCUUUUCUGAGUUAUAUAAUGAAUCUAGUUCUGACUUAAACAUCCUGCUUUAGGAUUCUAAACUCAGACAUUAAUUGUGUAUAAGUCUUGUUGUCUAUGUGCACUACUUGCGGAGGUAUAACUGAGCCUUCUAUUUGCUUAUAUGUUUCCCCUAAUUGCAGUUUUGUAUGUUUUGUAUGUCGCCUUAGCAUUUUACCUUUAAACCUAAGGGUUAGCCUAGAACGUCCUUCUUAUAGGAAAAGGAGUCCUAAAAUUCCUUCGGCACUGAUAGGAAUGGGAUGGGUAACAACAUGCAAUAGAGGUCGAGACCAACCCUUGCUUUAAUACCUUCACAAGGUGGGGAGGGUAGAUAUGGAUAUGAUGACCGGUGCACUAAUACCACGUGUAUCCCCUCUUCUGAGGAGUAUCAUAUCGGGUAUUGCGGUGAUGUAAUCCAUAUUACAAACAAACCUAGGACACCUCCUUUAUUUUUAUAAGCACGCUUAGACAAUAACUCUUUUCAAAACCUUGCUUUUAUUAAUCGUUUUUUUCAAACACUUGAGUAUUCAAACUUAAAUCCUCUAUUACUUUAGCCUUUAUUUAUUUAUUUGCUAAUUGCACAAAUUCACAAAAACUGUCUCACCGGGAACCACACUAGUGGAUCUUGGGGGUGCCUAACACCUUCCCCUUAGGAUAAUUUCAAGCCCUUACCCUAUCUCUGGUUAUCAAAUAUAGUUGUAGUUGAACCAUAUGGGUACCCAAACGGACCUUAGAAUCAUUAGGUGGAGACUCUUCAAAUACCCAAUUUCCAGAAGGAAAUGAGUCAUCAUACCCUAUGAAUGUCGAAACACGGACUCCUCUCCAAUGGAAAGGGGAAAAAGGGGUGCGAUAGCAUGGUGACUCUACUGGAGAUUUUUAGGCUUUUACCAUUUCAGAUUGUUCUUGUGAAUUCGUACCUCCUUAUGUGCAAUUACUUGUUUAAUUUCUUUAAGCAUUUAAUUUUUCCUUCAAAAGCAAAACUGACAUAUCUUUCUUGUUUCCUUUUCUUUAUUGUUGCUUUAAAUUAUAAAACUAUUGUAUUUAUCACUUUCUUAAAAGUGCAAAUACAUGUCAACAUGCUUUUAAUUAUUGCACAAUCAUGCUCAACAUCAUACUCCACUCGUGCCAAAUAAAUACCAUAGCAAUGCUUGAUGAGUGGUUGCGCUCUUCCUAUAUCAUUACCCCCUAAAUUCGAAAAGGCAUAUUUGCGGUAAAACUAGUCGAUCAGCGGUGCAGUCGAUAGUUCCGUGCCUUCCCCCUUGAGUUGUCCGCUCAAAGGUACCAGUUUAAAACCCCGUAGAAACCUUACUCCUGUUUAAAUUGUGCAUGCAUCAUGGUCAAACCUAGUUGGGUCAGUUAUGUUGUCCACAUAAUGACCCUUUAAGAUAGCCUUGUACAAAAGUCCACUGGGUUUCCCUAAACCCAAAUGGACAUCAUCACGUUCUGUGCAUUUAUUUGGAGAACUAAAUGCUUCAUGCUAAUUAUUGAGAUUAAAUAGUCAAGUCCGGUAGGGGUAAGGGCCUAACCAUAUUUGCCUUGCAGAAAUAUAAGGCACGAAGUCCCCAGAUUCGGCAUGGUCACUAACAUCCACCCAAGAUUGCUAAGCUGGUGGAGAGAUUUACACUCUAGUGACCAAACCCUCAUCAGAAAAUAUCUGGGCCACCUACCAUCCCUCCUGAGGUCCAGCCUAACAACAUGAUCAUAGAAGCUGCUACAUUAUUUUGGGAUUGUGAAAGGGCCGUGUUCCGCUUUGGGGACAUCGAAAUGAUACCUUUGCUAGAAGAAAUAGGAGGAUUGGUCGGUCUAGUGUGGGAAACUCCGGGUUUACUGAUGCCUGAGAACCAUAAAUGCAAGGGUUUCCUUAAAAUGAUGGGUUUGAAGAAGAAUACAGAAUUGACAUGCUUGAAGGAAUCAUACAUCCCUUUUGAUUACUUGUAUGAAAGGUACGGUCACAACAAAUUCUAUUGUACCUACCCUGACGAGUUUGCUAUAACAUCCUUGGGACAUAUCCAUCGUAGGGUGUUCAUCUUAAUGUUUUGCUUCCUGGGUCUAAUCGUGUUCCCAAUGAAGAAACGGAGAAUCCAUACUAGGCUGGAUAUGGUAACCAAGACCCUAAUUAAGGGGAUUGGUGGGCAAAAAUUCAGCAUUGUACCCAUGAUCAUUACAGACAUAUAUCGAGCUUAAAAGAAGUGUUAACGAUGAGAAAAACACUUCGAAGGCUGUAAUCUGCUACUUCAACUCUGGCUCAUGGAACAUCUCCAAAAGGGCGAAUAUCGACAAGAAAUUCAGCGGAGGGACUGGGAUGAUCACAUCGCUUUCCACCAUCCAAAGCAAAUUAAUUACAUCCCCGACAUGUUCGCUCAGCCUGAGAAUGCCAAAGGAUGGGUUGAGUUAUUUGAUAAUCUGACUGAAGAAUAAGUUCAAUGGAUGUUUGAGUGGUUUCCAGCAGAAGAGUUCAUCGCUGGUCCAGAGAUGCACCCUUCCUGAUACUGAUCGGUCUGAGAGGAACAUAGCCUUACGUCCCUCUUAGAGUGAUGAGGCAAGCUAGUAUAAAGCAAGUUAUACCCAGGGUCGACAAGAUGAGCCACUUCCGAGCUGACUUCCAAAAUGAUAACAGUCCCUACAAGUGCCAAGCCCAACACAUGUGGCAUUGCAAGAUCGUAAUGGGGAAAAAUACCAUCGAGCCCGACAGAUAUCAUGCUGGAUAUACUCCUUUCUAUACAGGUUGGUUAGAAGACAAUCAUGAUGGUCUAGGCCAGUCAGGGUUCGUUCGAGGUCAUAGAGUUAUAGAUGAAAGGGUCGAGGCACAAGUCAAGUACAACCAGCUACGUAAAAGGAUUCGCGAAUGUGAGAGGGAACACCGCAAGAUACAAAAGUCCAACCAAAAGCUGAUUAAAGAAUGGAAAGACAUGGCUAUCAGUGCCAACAAGAGGCUAGGAUACUUGGAGCGAGGCAUAGUAGAAUUGGAUAGAAAGUUUCUCAAAAGGGUUGAAGAUUGUCAAAAUGCUGAAGGGGCCGAAGGCGGACAUCUAGACAGAGCAUACCUGUUGCUGGGACUUCGCGAGCUGGGGAAGCUGUUUGACGGAGCCAAGAAUGCCGAAUCUGGGGAAGGUCCUUCUGGGACCAAGUAGAUAGGAAUUUAUCUUUUUUGCUUUACGAAUUUAAUAAGGCCAAUGGCCGUUAGUAACUUUUAUUUCUCAUUUAUUCAGUGUCGUCUUGGGAUUAAUCUAUUUUUUAUCAAUAAAAUGAGGUACUUAGCAUUUUAAGUUCACCAAAUCAAUUUGUCCCUAGGCCUACCUCGGGCACAAAGGGGUUCCCCAAAUUAGGACAUGUUUUACAUUCCCGCACUAUGUGUUUAAAUAUUGCAAUACAUUUUAUAAUCCUCACUGACUUGGUAACCUUUUUGUUUUUAUUUUUGUUUUUGUUUUGUUACUCCCCUCCCCCAAAGGUUAGUUUGUGCACUCUGGCAUCAUCAUCAUAUUUCACAAGAUCUAAGGGCCCUUCACCCACUCCUCCUCUCAUUCCUAUUAAAGGCAAGAUGGAAGAUUUAAACAACAUCAGAUAGGAGAACACGGUUGAAUGGCUAGAAUCCACUAAUAUCCAGGGUAUUCGGGUUCCAAACGAGAAUGUGUAACAACUUGAACAAAAACUGCUGAAAUUCCAAGAAGAGCUUGAUCAGGUUCGGAAUCUGGCAAACUUGUCAUUUUCCCUCAGCACCCCGGAUGUCAACUUCCCCAACACACAAAACCCUAUGCCUCUUUAAAAUAUCCCAAAACAACAAAAUCAUCCCACUCCUUACCAUCAUAUUUCUCCACCAAAGAACCAAUGCAACACCUGCCAUGACCCAAACAACGCUCCACUACUCAUCCCAGAACCUCAGAACACCACAAACGACCAUUUCCACACACAUACGUCAGGCCACCAUAACAAUCCUAUCUAUGUGGAUACCAUACCACACUCCACCCAACCUAUCUCAACCACACAUGAGUCUGACGAAAAGGACCUACUUAUCAGGAACCUGGCUGAGGAGUUUAAGAAACUGACCAGCCGGAUCAAGGCAUUGAAGGAAGCAAGGGAAUUGAGGGGCUAAACUAUGAGGAUCUUUGCAUACAGCUUAAUGUCAAACUGCCCGAAGGAUACAAACCUCCAAAGUUUGAGAUGUUUGAUGGUAUGGGUGAUCCAAGAGUCCAUCUGAGGACAUACUGUGACAAGCUGGUUGGAGUAGGGAAUGACAAGAGAAUCCGCAUGAAGCUGUUCAUGAGGAGUUUGAAAGGAGAUGCAUUAUCUUGGUACAUCAGCCAAGAUCCCAAGAAGUGGUCAAGCUGGGUAGGCAUGGCGUCUGAAUUUAUGGAUAGAUUCAAGUUUAAUACAUAGAAUGCGGCAGACGUGUUCUAUAUUCAGAAUUUGAAAAAGAAGCCCACGGAGACAUUUCGCGAGUAUGCUACUCACUGGAGGUCCGAAGCUGCUAAGGUCAGGCCUGCCUUAGAAGAAGAGAAAAUGAACAAGUUCUUCGUCCGGGCUCAGGACCCACAAUACUAUGAGCGACUGAUGAUGAUUGAGAACCACAAAUUCUCUGACAUUAUCAAAUUGGGUGAAAGAAUUGAAGAAGGCAUCAAAAGCGGUAUGGUUACAAACUUCAAGGCCUUGCAAGCUGCAAAUAAGGCUUUACAGUCCGGUGGUGUGUCCAAAAAGAGGGACGUAGGGGCCAUGAUGGUUGCACAAAGAACCAAGUCUCCCCUCAAAUACCAAACUUACCCAACACCUCCACUCACAUACCAGCCAACUCCAAAUUACCAAGCACCUUCACCCUCGUACCAAGCUCCGCCACCAAAUUAUCAGUCACCUCCACCUCCUACAUAUCAACCUGCUUUACCUAGAUACUCCCAACCCGCUCAUGUCUACCAAACUCAUAAUUCUCAACAAUCCCAUUAUCACCCACCCCCCCCCCCCCCCCGUUUGCCAAAACUUCCCUUAACCUCGACCAAAUUUUGAUCGCAGACCUCCAAAACAAUAUACAGCCACCGCUGAAUUCAUUGACCAGCUAUAUGAGAAGCUCAAAGCUGUUGGUUAUGUCACCGCCAUCCCUACUGCAAUCCCUGUGAACCCUUCUUAAUGGGUUAAUACAAACAAGUCCUGUGCAUACCACUCCGGCAUGAAAGGGCACAUCAUCGAUGAAUGUCGUUCCUUGAAGGACAAGAUACAAUCUUUGAUUGAUAACAAGAUCAUUAUGGCAAAAAAACCCACUCCAAAUUUUCUCAACAACCCUCUGCCAGACCAUAAGGGUAGAGGUAUCCACAUGAUUGAAAUAGAAGAUGACUGGUAUCCGAGGGAUCAAUCGGGUUGAUCGAAAAAGGUGAUGACCCAAAGAAACCAACAAUCACUCUCAAUCCAAUCAUAGUCUAGAUCCAACCGUCUGAGGACGCUGAGGUGACUAUAUAUGCGCCACUUGAGUUUGAAGUAGCACCAUCUGCAAAGAUACCAACGCCGAUUGAAGUUGAAUUCAUGUCUCCAGCAAAUGCACCCGCACCAUUUGAGGUUGCAAUUUUGCCACCUAAGGCACAUGUUUCGUUCGGGAUAAGGAUAGUCAUGCCAAUCCCAGUGGUGAUGUCAGCCAUGAAACCAUUCUAUACAAAGGCUGUACCCUGGGAAUAUACAGCCGAGGCAAGAAGGAAAGGCAAGGUCAGGAUUGGGGAAACUGUCGCAGCAUAGGGUAUGACAAGAACUGGUAGAGUCUAUACCCCUGAACAUCUAGAUGAAUCAAGCGAGCAAGUAUCCAAUCAGCCACGCAUCAUUGAGACAGGUUCAGACGAUCUUUGGAGGAAAAUACAGGUCAAGGAGUAUUCGGUCAUCGACUAGUUAAACAAGACGCCAGCCCAAAUCUCCAUUCUCUCUUUGCUGCAAAAUUCUGAGACGCACAAGAAUGCUCUACUAAAGGUGCUAAGUGAGGCAUACGUACCAAGUAACAUCACUGGCGGGAAAAUGGCUAACAUGGUAGGACAAAUGCUGGAAAAUCAUAAGAUCACCUUCUAUGAGGAUGAGCUGCCACCUGAAGGGUUGGAGCACAACAAGGCAUUACACAUCAUUGUACAAUGCGACGAUUAUUUCAUCACCAAAAUCUUGAUCGAUGGAGGUUCUAGUCUUAACAUUUGUUCGUUGGUAACACUAAAGAAGCUGGGUAAAGGACUGCACGAGAUAAAAGAUGGAGCAAUCAAUGUGAUAGCCUUGGAUGGUUCUCAGAGGUCCAUCAUUGGUUAGAUUAGUUUAUGCCUGCAGAUGGGACCAACCUAGUUCAAGGUCAAUUUCCAGGUAAUAGAUGUACCAGCAUCUUAAAACUUACUGCUGGGAUGACCAUGGAUUCAUGCUGCUGGGGCCGUAGCAUCAACACUGCAUCAGGCAGUAAAGUUUGAAUGGAAUCACCAGGAAGUAAUCAUUCACGGUGAUGGUAGCAACCCUAUAUACAGUCGCCAGACCAUUCCAGCAAUCGAAGGAAGAAGAAAGUUGGGCGGAGAAACUUACCACCACAUCGAGUGGGUCAAUGCUUUCGACAAAGACAAAUGGUGGGAUAACAAAAUUGAGAGUAUACUGAAUUGGAGUGGGUACGAACCUGGCAAAGGGCUCGGCAAGAACCUCCAAGGAAUUGCUAACCAAUAAAACUCAGGAAGCAUGGCACUGCUUUCGGUUUGGGAUAUGAAUACACCCGGGAAAAAUUCAACAACUGGUCGUCAUCAUGGUGCGGUCCUUACUAUCCAUUAGAGCAGUCAAUACCACAUCUGGAGCAGACCUUCCAACAGGCCGACAUCAUUUAUGGGUCAGAUGAAGAAGAAGCACUUGCAGCCGUGAAGAACUUGUUUCUAGAGGACAAUGAUAUGGACCGUUGUGUUAUUCUCGAGGAGGAGGAAGGCCCUUCCAUACAGGAUGUGAGUAGAGGGGCCUAUCUCAAGAAUUAGACCAUCAGGACAACCAAAGCCCGAUGGGCCUCGGGGUAGCAAGGCUAAAACAAGUAUUAUCCAUUGUUUUACUAAAUGAUUUUCUUUUCGCAUUUUCAAUUCCCGUAAUAAGAUCUUCAAUGUUCAAAUCAGCUAUGAAAUUUAUCAAAAGCAUUUUUGACUUUUCUUAUGAAUCAACACUUAUUGCUAUCGUUUUCUCUCAUUACUUUAUUUAUACAGUAUUACUAUUACUUGUCUGGAUAAACCAAUGAUUGUGACAUGCAAUAAGACAACGUGACAAAUGGACAUAGAUUCAGAGAAAGAUGACAUACCUGACGAGAUUGUCAAAGAAGUUGAGAACUUUGAGAACAUAUCUAAGUCCAUCCUGGACGAGACCAAAAUUGUCAGGAGAUGCAGAAAAUGCCAAGGAAAUGUGAAUCAGCAUUCACCUAUCGCCAUCGGAGAAGAAAGAAAACACAAAAUUUCUAAAAGAAUAUGAGGAUAUAUCUGCCUGGUCGUAUGAUGACAUGACCGGUCUGAGUACGUCUAUUGUGUCUCACAAACUGCCAACCGAUCCAAUACGUCAGCCGGUAAAGCAAAAGCUCAGAAAGUUCAAGCCAGAUAUGAGUUUGAAAAUCAAGGAAGAAGUCAACAAGCAGAUCAAAGCUAGGGUUAUCAGGGUACGUAGUAGAAUACCCGACAUGGUUAGCCAACAUUGUACCAGUACCAAAGAAGGAUGGGAAGGUCAGAGUCUGUGUCGACUACUAGGAUCUCAACCGGGCCAGUCCGAAAGACGACUUCCCUUUGCCAAAUAUACACAUCCUGAUUGACAAUUGCACCAAGCAUGAUCUGCGGUCAUUUGUAGAUUGCUUCGCUGGUUAUCACCAGAUCUAGAUGGAUGAAGAAGAUGCUGAGAAAACGGCCUUCAUUACGUCGUGGGGAAUAUACUUUUACAAGAUGAUGCCGUUCAGCCUGAAGAAUGCAGGGGCCACCUACAUGAGGGCCAUGACUACCACUUCCCAUGAUAUGAUACACAAGGAAAUAGAGGUGUAUUUAGAUGAUGUUAUUAUCAAAUCCAAGAAGGCCACUAACCACAUGGAAGAUCUGAGGAAGUUCUUCAAUAGACUGCGGAGGUACAACCUGAAACUAAAUCACGUAAAGUGCGCAUUUGGGGUUCCUGCUGGGAAAUUGCUUGAGUUUAUUGUGAAUCGCCGAGGAAUAGAACUGGAUCCAUCAAAAGUCAAAGACAUUCAAGAACUACCAUCGCCAAAGAACAAGAAGGAUGUGAUGAGAUUCUUGGGAAGGGUCAACUACAUCAGCUGAUUCAUAGCACAGUCUACAGUUAUCUGUGAGCCAAUCUUUAAGAUGUUGAAGAAGGACAUCGCUACCAAAUGGACUGAUGACUGCCAAAAGGCCUUCGACAGAAUCAAGGAGUACCUAUCAACACUGUCCGUCUUAGUCCCUCCUGAGCCAGGUAGACCCUUACUACUCUACCUUGCAGUGUUGGAUGGAGCUUUCGACUGCAUUCUAGGUCAUCAUGAUGAAACGGGGAGGAAGGAGCAAGCCAUUUAUUACCUCAGUAAGAAGUUCACCGGUACGAGGCUAAGUACUCUCUAUUGGAAUGCACCUAUUAUGCUUUGACUUGGGUAGCUUAGAAGUUGAGACAUUACUUUUGUGCCUAUACUACAUAUCACAUAUCGAGAAUGGAUCCUUUGAAGUACGUCUUUCAGAAACCUAUGCCCAUCGGCAAGCUAGCGAAGUGAAAAAUCCUGUUGAGUGAAUUCGACAUUGUUUACGUAACUUAGAAAGUGGUCAAGGGACAGGAAUUGGCAGACUACCUUGUUGAAAACCCCAUGGAUGGAGGAUACGAACCCCUGAAAACAUAUUUUCCUAAUGAAGAGGUAUCAUUCAUAGGAGAAGACAUUGCAGAAUCUUAUGACGGCUGAAGAAUGUUUUUCAAUGGAGCAUCAAAUUUCAAAGGAGUUGGCAUAUGAGCAGUCCUAGUAUUAGAAACCGGUCAGCAUUAUCCGGUGUCAGCCAAACUCAGGUUCUCGUGCACCAAUAAUAUGGCCAAGUAUGAAGCCUGCAUCUUGGGGCUCAAAAUGGCCAUUGACAUGAACGUUCAAGAGCUGCUAGUAAUUGGAGAUUCAGACCUACUUAUAUAUUAGGUACGAGAAGAAUGGGCAAUCAAGAACUCCAAGAUACUACCGUAUAUGCAUCAUGUACAGGAAUUGAGAAAGAGGUUCACAAAGAUAGAGUUCCAGCAUGUUCCCAGACUCAGAAUGAGUUCGCCGAUGCAUUGGAUACUCUAUCAUCUAUGAUACAGAAUCCAGACAAGAACUUCAUUGAUCCCAUUCCGGUGAAAAUCCACAAUCAACUAGCUUACUAUGCCCAUGUUGAAGAGGAAUCAGACGGAAAGCCUUGGUUUCAUGAUAUCAAGGAAUAUUUGGCAAAAGGAGAGUACUCAGAGCUUGCAAAUCCUACUCAGAAAUGCACGCUUUGGAGAUUGUCCAACAACUUCUUUCACAACAGAGGAAUCCUGUAUAAGAGGACUCCUAAUUUGGGACUAUUAAGAUGUGUCGGUGCAAAGGAAGCAUCCAAGCUACUAGAGGAAAUUCAUGGGGGGACCUGCGGUCCACCUAUGAACUGUUUUGUCUUAGCAAAGAAGAUACUCCGGGCUGGUUACUUUUGGAUGAUUAUGGAAAUGGACUGCAUCCAGUAUGUUUGAAAAUGCCAUCACUGUCAGAUACAUGCAUACAUGAUAAAGGUACCUCUAAGCGAGCUUCACACAACAAGCUCACUGUGGUCGUUCGCCGCCUGGGGAAUGGACUUUAUUGGACCAAUCGAGCUUGCCGCUUCCAGCGGACACAGGUUUAUCUUAGUAGCCAUCGACUAUUUCACCAAAUGGGUCGAAGCAGCAUCUUACAAAGUAGUAACCAAGAAAGUUGUGACAUACUUUGUCUGCGACCGCAUUAUUUGUCAAUUCGGAAUUCCAGAGUCAAUCAUUACUGAUAAUGGCUCCAACCUCAACAGUGACUUGAUGAAACCUAUGUGUGAAACCUUCAAUAUCAUACACAAGAAUUCCACAGCCUACAAUCCUCAGAUGAAUGGAGUUGUAGAAGCCGCCAACAAAAAUAUCAAGAAGAUAUUGAGGAAAAUGAUAAAGAAGCAUAAAUAGUGGCACAAGAGGUUGUCAUUUUCUCUUUUCGGGUAUCACACUAGAGUCCGCACAUCAACCAGGGCAACCCCCUAUAUGCUUGUUUACGGUACAGAGAUUGUCAUUCCCGUUGAAGUAGAAAUUCCUUCCUAAGGAUCAUACAACAAGCUGAUCUCAACGACGCAGAGUGGGUAAGAAGUCGUUAUGAGCAACUAGCCCUCAUAUAUGGAAAGAGAAUGAAUGUAGUCUUCCAUGGUCAGCUCUAUCAGAACAGAAUGUUUAGAGCCUUCAACAAGAGAGUGAAGCCAAGACAAUUCACACCGAGGCAACUGGUGUUAAAGAAAAAAAUUUCGCAUCAAGAUGAAGCCAAAGCGAAGUUCUCUCCUAACUGGCAGGGUCCAUACCUGGUCCACCGAGUUCUGAUAGGAGGAGCCCUCAUACUUGCAAAAAUGGACGGAGAAGUCUGGCCAAAGCCGAUCAAUUCAGAUGCAGUCAAGCGCUACUAUGUGUAAUCUUUAUGCUUUCUUUAUGUGAUGUAAAUUGAACUACGCCUCACCUAAUUCCCGUCUAAGAGGGGAUACGUAGGCAACCCUAUGGGUUCGGUCACAAUUUAAUAAAAUUUUCAUUUCCCCCUACAAUUGGAAACUAGGGUAGAAUUUUGAGGAGGACCCUCAAAAUUCCGAAGUAAUUUCAGCCAAUUGUCGCACGAGCAACAGUCAGAAGAGUCAACCCAUCAAACUGAGGCAAAAUUUUAAAGAGGACCCUCAAAAUUCUGUAGAAAGAGAGGUUGCAAUGUCCCGAGCCACGUCACAGUCAUCGGUUCAUUUAAAAGCUAUUUUUAAUUAUACGUUCAUGUCAUACUUUUGCAAAAUCACGCAUGUUUAAACUUCUUUGUUUAGCAACGCUACCCCAAUGAUACAGACGGUAUCACCAGAUCAAAGUCGAACGAGUCAAGCAAAGCCAACGGGUAUACGAACUAACCUUCCCCUUUACAAAACUCAUGAUUUUCCUUUGGAUGCAGGCACUAGGAUGGCGAAAUCACUAAACAUAUUAUACGCUCAUGGAACUAACAUUGUUCAAGAAUACGAUUCUCAGAACCGUUGCACUUGCCAACAUCUACUAUCAGCACACACCAGUGAUGUCCCGUAUGUCAUAAUGCUCCCACUAAUCACAAUGUCGUAAUAUGUUAUCAACUAAGAAAACUCUACUAUCGUUUAUUAUUUUAUUUAUUACAUAAGGCUACCAUUCUGCCUUUUGAGGUUAAGCUCUACCUCCAUCUGCAUCUGCGUUCUUUCAUAAGGCUACCUUUCUGUCUUCCGAGACUAAACGAUGUCUCUAUCCACAUUUGUAUUACAUAAGGCUACCAUUCUUCCUUCCAAGGUUAAGCUCUACCUCCAUCUGCAUCUGCAUUCUUGCAUAAGGCUACCUUUCUGCCUUCUGCGACUAAAUGCUGUCUCCAUCCACAUUUGCAUUGCAUAAGGCUACUAUUCUGCCUUCCAAUUUUCAUAAGGCUACCAUUCUACCUUCCGAGACUAAACACUGUCUCCACCUGCAUUUUGCAUAAGGCUAUCAUUCUGCCUUUCGAGGCUAAGCUCUGUCUCCAAUUUUCUUCGAAACUAGGCGCCAUCACAAGCACUAUUUAUUCCAUUUUUCUUAAGGGCUAAGCUCUGCCCUUCAAUUCGCAAGACUAAGCUCUGUCUUGUCCAUAUCAUACUACCGCAUAUUUCAUGGGCUGAAAUAUCGCCAACUCAUCCAAAGUCAUCAUCAUUCAGAGGCACCAUUUCCAUAGCCCGAGAACACCAUGUCAUGGCCCGAGGAUCUCUUUCAAUCUUUUGCAUACAAUUAUUCAAAGGCAUCAUGGUUCGAAGGCACUAUCCUCAUAGCCCGAGAACAUCAUUUCAUGGCCUGUGAAUCCUUUUAUCAUACGCUUCAUGCCCAAGACGUCAUGGUCUAAGGACACCACUCCAAACCGUCCAAAGACAGCAUUCAUGGUCCAACAGGAACUUGCAUCAUGUUUAAAUUUAUGCACAAUAUAUGUUUGUAUUAUUUCUAAUUGCAGGAAAACCGACGAGCAAAGGCCAUCCUGGCUGGACCUUAUCAAACCUAACCUUUCCCGUAAACCUACCACUCACCCCGCCAUAGAUAUUGCGUCCGUUCUUGAAAUAUCUUCAUCGGCAUACUUCGCCGGUGAUUCCUGAACUACAUACGGCUUGAUUCCUGUAAAACCAGGGAUAUGUAGGCAGCUGAAAGCCAGGGUGCGGCCUAAACCUCUUCAACCUGUUUCGCUCGGUCAAAAUUGGCCAUCAUAUCUUUACCCGACAACUCUUUCAUCCUUCCCGGGUAAAGAGGGGCAGCUGUUGAUACCCAAUUUUUUCCUAUAUAUUUUUCAUAUGCAAAAUAACUUCAAAAUAGCAUAUAUAUAUCCAUAUAUAAUCAAGGCCAAAUGUUUUAUUAUUUUUCCAUAAUUUUUAAAGGUUUAAAUUGAUUUAUUUUCUCCCUUUUAUCCAUAAAAUCCAAAUAAUUAUUUCAAAAAUUAUUAUAUUGAUAAUUCAUAUAUUGGAUUGUUAUAUUUAUACCAAAAUAUGUCUAAGGUAAUUUUUAUACAUUUUUACAAUUGUAUUUAUUAUUUUUAAAGCUAAAUUGCACAUAAUUGCAAUAUUGGCCCUUCCAAGAUUUAAUUAUGUUUGGUACGCAUACAAUUGGGACCUAUAUUUUUAAAUUAUUAUUUUUGUGUUAUAAAUCAUUUUAGUACUUUCAAUUUAUUUUUAGAAAACUAUUUAUUAUUUUUUAUAAAUUAAAAAGUGAAAAUGGCUAUUUAAAUAGCAGCCCAUUUGUAUUUCAAUUAUAGCCUAAAUUAGAUCCCAAAUCCCCAGCUCAAUUUUGAUUUAAAACCGACCCUAACCCUUCUCAAACUCUCUCUGAAAACCUAAGGCUAACCCUAGUCGCCACCACCCAAAUCCACCCUAAACCUCUUUGAUUCUCACCUAAUCCAUGGACUCUCAUGGUUGUUUGAGAGGUGUACCGGUCUCCUAUAUCUCCAGGUUGCUUGUUUUCGUAAUUUUGUGGACAUAUCUCAAAGAGAUCUAGUCUAGUCUUGCUCAAACUUCUAUCCAUGGCUUUUCUCCAGCCAUUCAUGGUCGUUCAAGUCAGAUCCAUGGCUUUUCCGGCUAGAUCGGUAACUUUUCGAAGUCUUUCUCAUUUUUCUGGGUUCUCCGAAACCCAAACUUUAAAGGCUUUCGAUUUUUCUUUCAGAUCUGUCUUAGAUCUGUGUAUGUUAUGAGCCUCUUAAGCAUUUUCCUUAAUGGUUUUCCGAUUUUUCAAAGUGAUUUUUCAUUUUUUUCAACGAUUAGGGUUUUUCUUAACCUCUUUUAAAAGAUCUCUUCUCUGAUUUUUAGUGUUGCUUUAUGAUUCUACUAUGUUCAAAUGAUUUGUUUGUGCUUUUCUUCUACCUGAUUCAGCAUGUUGAAAACCCUAAAUAUCUUUGGUUUUAUUCGGGGUCCCGGAACUCUCUUUGUUUAUUUUGUAUACUUGUUCCGACUGAGUUCUUUGAGUUUAGAUCCUUUUCUUUGUUUAACUUAACUGAUUCUGAGUUCCUACCUUUUUAACUCAACUUUGUCAAAACCCUAGUUUCUUGAAAGUUUCCUCGUUUGUAACGGAGAGUUUUUGAAAGAUCUCCUUUACCUAUUGCUAUGUGCUAGACUGUUUCCAUCAUUUUUUGGUUCUAUGUGACUACUUGACUUUGUUGACUAUUGUGCUUCGAGUAGGUUUCUUUUACUACUGAAUUCUAGCCUACUCCUGCUACUACUAUAUGUUUGUGUUGCUUCUUUUGGCCAUAUGGUUGGCCUUAUAUGUCUGAUACACUUGUUCAUUCUUCUCUAUUUAUAUGGCAAAGUAUAGAAUCAUGAUUCUUUCUUGAUUGAUCUUGAUUUCCUCAAGUUACGCUGAUUGCAAAUAUUUUCUUAUAAACCCCUGGUUUCACUCGUUUUUGUUUAAAUCGAUUGAUCAUUUCCUUUGUUGUGAUGUUUUACCCCUACUGAAUCCUUUUCCCCAAUUAAGUAUAUUUUGUACUUAGACUCAAUUAUUUACUCUAUCUCCUAUAUGGUCAGAAAUCAAUCUUUCUCAAAUUGGUUUUCUUUCCUUAAUUAUUCCUGUCAGCAUCCAUUUGAAUAGUAAUUUCUUGAUUAAAGGAAAGUACUUGUAUUAAUUGAUUCUGAUUGUGAUUAUUUCCAUGUUUGUGUUAAAACUUUACUUGUUACCUUGUUUUUACUCGUUUUCAAAACUAUAAAUACUCUACCCCUCUCUUCAUUAAACACACGAACAAUUGAGUUCAAAACCACAUACUUACACACUCAAAACUCUCUCUUUCUUUACUACUACUUGUGCUACAGCUUUGUCUAGCCGGCUGAAAGCCAAGGCUAGACUGUGGAAUUCUACUUGUUUUACCUUUCUGCACUUUGCUUUCUCUACUGGUAUGUCCUAGUAAUUUUAAAGCUUCAACAACAACAUGUUUCUUUAAUUGUUUCAGUUUCUCUCAUUCUUGUCUACUUCUGCUUAUGGUUCUGCAGUCAAGUUACAUUACCAGCAUGCUAUAAUGUCUCAUUUUCCCUUUAGAUUAAUGCACUCCAUUAUGUGUGUUUCAAGGCAUACUCUGUUAGUAACUUAUUGUGUACUUGCCAUCCCAAGUCCCUAUCCCUUCAAUGUGCUUAUAUUGUUUCUAACUAGCCUGUGAUUAUGCCAGUAUCGGCUAUUGAUGUGCAUAUUCAACUAGUCCUAAAACCCUUGAUGGAGGUUAUGUGUUUACAGUCAAAUGUCUGUGUGUCCCAAACCCUUUGACCCCCCUUGUACAACUACUGAUUCUGUGUGUGAUCCCAUCUUGCGAGUUUGAGUUUUGUUUACUACUACAACUUCUUUCAAUCACCUCUGCUACUGAUUACUUUCAAAGUGGACUUGCCAGUCCAGUUUGUUUUUUUUAAAAAAACUUUUUUUCAAACUAUGUCAAGCACUCACACCUACUCUUAGAGUUUAGGCUCUGCCCCUUUUGUGUGAGCCUUGCCUUGGGACCCUUGAGCUACCUCUGAACUUGGACACAUAAGAGCUGGCCCUUCCACACUGCACUCAUUCUGUUUGGUUAUGCAAAUAUGGGUGUGAGCACUGCCCGGGAUCCCUUGAGGUCCUUAGGGAACUCUGACACACCCAGAUAUGAGAAAGGUUUUGGAACAAUAGUGGUUUUUGAGGUGGUUAUUACAUAACUCAGAGAGGAAGUCAAGAUCAGGCUUCCUAUGGUUGUAACUUCUUAUUUUUGCAUUUAUUUUGGUAAUUCAUCAUUUGGUCUGUAAUAAUUUGUAAACAAUUAUGGGGUUGUCUAGUGAAAAGGGAAUGGGUAAGUAUGCAUGCUUUAACUAUCAAAAGUGUAGAAAGCAUGUUAAUAGGUUUACGUUCCUACUUGCGCAAUAGAAACCAUGCCUAGGACUCAUUUCAUGCAUUAGAGACCAUGCUCCUUAGGAUUUACACUUACUAUUUUUAUCAUGUCCAUUUCACUAUCAUAUCACUUAGAAAAUCAUGCGUUAAAUGUGUUAAUAACCGGUGUUUUCUGCAAUCAUGUUCCUACUACCAUGUACACUUAGAGAUCCUGUUUUAGGCUAAACAACACCGACAAGCAUAUCCUCUCUGCAUAUNNNNNNNNNNNNNNNNNNNNNNNNNNNNNNNNNNNNNNNNNNNNNNNNNNNNNNNNNNNNNNNNNNNNNNNNNNNNNNNNNNNNNNNNNNNNNNNNNNNNNNNNNNNNNNNNNNNNNNNNNNNNNNNNNNNNNNNNNNNNNNNNNNNNNNNNNNNNNNNNNNNNNNNNNNNNNNNNNNNNNNNNNNNNNNNNNNNNNNNNNNNNNNNNNNNNNNNNNNNNNNNNNNNNNNNNNNNNNNNNNNNNNNNNNNNNNNNNNNNNNNNNNNNNNNNNNNNNNNNNNNNNNNNNNNNNNNNNNNNNNNNNNNNNNNNNNNNNNNNNNNNNNNNNNNNNNNNNNNNNNNNNNNNNNNNNNNNNNNNNNNNNNNNNNNNNNNNNNNNNNNNNNNNNNNNNNNNNNNNNNNNNNNNNNNNNNNNNNNNNNNNNUCUCCAAACGUCUUAAUGAUUCUAAAUAACUAUUGAAUACUGCUUACGCCUAGGCAAGCCUUAGGUAAUCACUUAAAUAAAAACUGGAACUGCCUCUGUUUAAUUCUAGACUGCUACAACCAGCAGGCAGGCCUGAUUUGGACUUCUUUUCUGAGUUAUAUAAUGAAUAUGGUUCUCACUUAAACACCCUGAUUUAGGAUUCUAAACUCAGACCUUAAUUGUAUAUAAGUCGUGUUGUCUAUGUGCAUUGUUUACGGAGGUAUAACUGAGCCUUCUAUUUGCUUAUAUGUUUCCCCUAAUUGCAGUUUUAUAUAUUGUGUAUGUCACCUUAGAAUUUUACCUUUAAACCUAAGGGUCAGCCUAGAACCUCCUUCUUAUAGGAAUAGGAGUCCUAAAAUUCCUCCGGGACUGAUAGGAAUGGGACGGGUAACAACAUGCAAUAGAGGUUGAGACCAACCCUCGCUUUAAUAACUUCACAAAGUGGGGAGGGUAGAUAUGGAUAUGAUGACCAGGGCGCUACCACGUGUAUUCCCUCUUCUGAGGAGUGUCAUACCGGGUAUUGCAUUGAUGUGAUUGUUAUUGUAAACAAACCUAGGACAACCCCUUUAUUUUUAUAAGCACGCUUACACUAUAACUCUUUCCAAAACCUUGAUUUUAUUAAUCGUUUUUGUCAAACACUUGUGUAUUCAAACUUAAAUCCUCUAUUACUUGAGCCUUUAUUUGUUUAUUUGCUAAUUACACAAAUUCACAAAAACUGUCUGACCGGGAACCACACUAGUGGAUCCUGAGGGGUGCCAAACACCUUCCCCUUAGGAUAAUUUUAAGCCCUUACCCUAUCUCUGAUUAUCAAACAUAGUUGUAGUUGAACCAUAUGGGUGCCCUAACGCACCUUAAAAUCGUUAGGUGGCGACUCUUCAAAUACCCAAUUCCCAAAGGAAAUGAGUCAUCACACCCCAUGAAUGUCGAAACCCGAACUCCUCUCCAAUGGAAAGGGGAAAAAGGGGGCGCGACACUCGGCGGCAACGCAAGUCUAUAAGACACCUCACCCACUCGAUCAAGAAUCUCAAACUGACCAAUAAACUAGGGGCUAGGCUUGCCCUUCUUCCAAAAUCUCAUCCUGCCCUUCAUAAGAGACACUCGAAGCAAUACUCGCUCACCGACCAUGAAUGUCAAAUCACGAACCUUGCAAUCGGCAUAACUCUUAUGCCUGGACUGAGCUGUACUAAGUCUAUCCUGAAUAAUCCUGACCUUGUCCAAGGCAUCCUGAACCAGAUCUGUACCCAACAAUCGAGCCUCUCUCGGGUCAAACCAUCCAACUGGAGACCGACACCGCCUACCAUACAAAGCCUCAUAAGGAGCCAUCUGGAUACUCGACUGGUAGCUGUUGUUGUAGGCAAACCUUGCUAAAGGAAAAAACUGAUCCCACGAGCCUCCAAAGUCAAUGAUACAGGCUCGGAGCAUAUCCUCCAAAAUCUGAAUGGUCCGCUCGGACUAUCCGUCCAUCUCAAGAUGAAACGUUGUGCUCAACUCAACCCGUGUGCCCAAUUCUCGCUGAACUGCUCUCCAUAAAUAGGAGGUAAACUGCGUACCUUGAUCCAAAAUGAUGGACUCGGGAACACCAUGGAGACGAACAAUCUCCCGGAUAUAGAUCUCAGCUAACCUCUCGGAAGAGUAGGAGACUGCCACAGAAAUGAAAUGUGCUGACUUGGUCAGCCUAUCAACAAUAACCCACACUGCAUCGAACUUCCUCUGAGUCCGUGGGAGUCCACAACGAAGUCCAUAAUGAUGCGCUCCCACUUCCACUCAGGAAUCUCAAUCUUCUGGAACAAACCACUAGGUCUCUAAUGCUCGUACUUAACCUGCUGACAAUUCAAACACCGAGCCACAUAUGCAGCGAUGUCCUUCUUCAUUCUUCUCCACCAAUAAUGCUGCCGCAAAUCCUGAUACAUCUUCACGGUGCCCAAAUGAAUAAAGUACCGGCAACUAUAGGCCGCCUCUAAAAUCAACUCUCAGGUCCAUCCACAUUAGGCACAAAAAUUCGAUCCUACAAUCUCAAAACUCCAUCACCACCUAAAGUAACCUGCUUAGCACCUCUGUGAUGCACCGUGUCUCUAAGGACACACAAAUGGGGAUCAUCAUACUGCCGAUCAUGGAUACGCUCCAAUAAAGAGGAACAAGCGACCAUGCAAGCUAACACACGACUGGGCUCAGAAACAUUCAACCUCAUGAACUGAUUAGCCAAAGCCUAAACAUCCAAAGCAAGCGGUCUCUCACCGACUGGAAUAUAAGCAAGACUGUUCAUAAUGGCUGACUUUCUACUCAAAGCAUCGGCCACCACAUUGGCCUUUCCGGGAUGAUAUAUGAUGGUGAUAUCAUAAUCCUUUAAUAGCUCCAAUCACCUUCUCUGCCUCAAAUUUAGCUCCUUCUGCUUGAACAAAUACUGCAGACUCUUGUGAUCCGUGAACACCUCACAUGCCACGCCAUAGAGAUAAUGCCUCCAAAUCUUCAACGCGUGAAUGAUGGUUGCUAACUCCAAAUCAUGAACCGGAUAGUUCUUCUCAUGGAUCUUCAAUUGUCGUGAAGCAUAGGCAAUUACUUUGCCAUCCUGCAUCAACACUGCACCAAGUCCAAUACGAGAUGCAUCACAAUAAACCGUAUAAGGCCCUGAACCUGUGGGCAAAACCAACACAGGUGCCGUAGUCAGAGCUGUCUUGAUCUUCUAAAAGGUCGCCUCACACUCGUCCAACCAUCUGAACUAGGAGCCUUUCUGGGUCAACCUGGUCAUCGGGGCUGCAAUAGACGAAAACCCCUCCACAAACCAACGAUAGUAGCCUGCCAAUCCUAAGAAACUUCGGAUCUCUGUAGCUGAUACUGGUCUAGGCCAGUUCUUGUCUACCUCAAUCUUCUUCGGAUCAACCUAAAUACCCUCUACUGAUACAACAUAACCCAUGAAUGCAACUAAACUCAACCAGAACUCACACUUCGAAAACUUAGCAUACAACUGACUAUCCCUCAAAGUCUGAAGAACCACUCUAAAAUGCUGCUCGUGCUCCUCCCAGCUACGGGAAUAGAUCAAAAUAUUAUCAAUGAAGACUAUCACGAAUGAAUCCAAGUAAGGCCUGAACACUCGGUUCAUCAAAUCCAUAAAAACGUUGGGGUAUUUAUCAAACCGAAUGACAUCACCAAGAACUUAUAAUGCCCGUACCGAGUACAGAAAGCUAUCUUAGGGACAUCGGAUGCCAUAAUCCUCAACUGAUGGUAGCUAUAUCCCAAGUCAAUCUUCGAAAAUACCUUGGCACCCUGAAACUAAUCAAACAAGUCAUCAAUCCUCGGCAACGGAUACUUAUUCUUGAUUGUAACCUUGUUCAACUAACGGUAAUCAAUACACAUUCUCAUCGAUCUGUCCUUCUUCUUAACAAACAACACCGGCGCACCCCAAGGCGAAACCCUUGGCCUAAUAAAACCCUUUUCAAGAAAGUCUUGCAAUUUCUUCUUUAACUCUUUCAACUCAGACGGGGCCAUACGAUACGGCGGGAUAGAAAUGGGUUGGGUGAUCGGAGCCAAAUCAAUGCAAAAGUCAAUAUCCCUGUCGGGCGGCAUACCCGGCAGGUCCAAAGGAAAUACCUUAGGAAACUUGCGAACAACGAGCACAGAAUCAAUAGAACGGACCUCAGCACUAGAAUCACGAACAUAUGCCAAAUAAGACAAACACCCCUUCUCGGCUAGUAGUCCCUCUCCACUCUAAAUGAGGUAAACCCGGCAAGGCUAAGGUCACAGUCUUAGCAUGAUAGUCUAAGAUAGUGUGAUAAGGUGAUAACCAAUAUAUCCCCAAUAUGACAUCGAAAUCAACCAUGUCCAGAAGAAGCAAAUCUACACGAGUCUAAAGACCCCCAAUCACAACUAUACAUGAACGAUGGACUCGAUCUACCACAAUAGAAUCACCCAUCGGUGUAAACACAUAAACAGAAGCACUCAAAGAAUCACUAGGCAUGACCAGAUAUGGCGCAAAAUAAGAUGACACAUAAGAGUAUGUAGAUCCUGGAUCAAAUAAAAUCAAAACAUCUAUACUACAAACCGGAACAGUACCUGUACCUCCACCUCUAAUACCUCUAUCUCCACCUCUAGCACCUAUACCUCCACCUCUAAUACCUCUACCUCCACCUCUAACUAACUGAGUGGGCUGAAUGAGUCCUUAAAUGAACAUCCUCACUCUCUCUCUAAAUGGGAGUAUAAGAAGAGCAUGACGGGUCAAAUCAUUAAACCUAGUAUCGUACUGAGUAACAGUCAUAGAACUCUGUUGGAGAUGCUCAAACUGCCUCGGGUAGAUCUCUCUCUGAGUGACAGGACGAAACUUCUCCAGAAAUAGCUGAGAAAACUAAUCCCAAGCCAAAGCUGAUGACCUAACUAGCCAAACAAUAAUCUCUCUAACAAGUCUUGGCAGAUCCAGACGAGCGAAAAGUAGCAAAAUUGACCCCAUUGAUCUCCACUAUCCCCAUGUUCCUGAGAACCUCAUGACAGCUGUCCAGAUAAUCCUAGGGAUCCUCAGAAGAUGCACCGCUGAAAGUAGUAGUGAAGAGUUAGGCAAAGCCUAUCCAACCUCCGCAAAGCCUCCGAAGAUAUAGCUGAUCUAACACCGGUCUGUGUUGUUGUUUGGCGGAAGAAGCGGUACGUGACCUCGCCAUUCACGAAAGGACAGGAGUAGAUGUUUCAAUUUAGCAUUGAGAGGACAAAAUCGCACGACAGGAAAAAAUAGAUGUGAAGUUUUUCCUAACUCUGUAGCCUUUGGGGGAUAAAUACAGACGUCUCUGUAUCGAUCUCUUAGACUCUACUAAGCUUGUUUGUGAACUGUAAGACCUAUUUAACCUAGAGCUCUGAUAUCAACUUGUCACGACCCGAAUUUCCCACCCUCGGGAGUCGUGAUGCUGCCUACUAAUGUGAGCUAGGCAAGCCGAUUGUUUGAACACAUUUCCUUUUUCCAAUUUAUAUUCCUUAACAAUUAUAAAGCAAUAAAGUGUAAAUAGCGGAAAUUACAAUAAGUGGAAGAAAGCAAUAAAUUAUCUGAAUAUGUGUCUAAUACAACUGUUUGAGCAUCGACUACCCAGAACUAGUGUCACAGUUUGACAUACGGUCUAAGAGUACUACACAUACAGGUUGAAAGAAAUAAAUACAACAUUGUCUCUGGAAAUACAUGAAAGAAACAUGAAUAGUACAUAGAAUGAGACGUCAAGGCCUGAGAACGCCUGUAGGACUACCUCGGGUCGCUUGAUGAACCAGAAUCAGCAAUCUUACUACGGUCCGAAGUCUACAACAUUUGGGUCUGGACAAAAGAGUGUAGAGUGUAGUAUCAGCAUAACCGACCCCAUGUGCUGGUAAGUGCCUAGAUUAACCUCGGCGAAGUAGUGAUGAGGCUAGGACCAGACUACCAAAUAAACUGUGCAAUUUAACUAUAUACAGUGAAAAAGAAGAACAGUAAUAUAUAGUCAAGUAUGGGAGGGGGAAACAUGUUGCGGGGAAACACCGAAUAAUAACAGAAGAAUAACAAAUAAUUAUGAGGAUCACCAUAGUUCAAUCGAAAAUAGGAAGGGGAAAUCAUGUUGCGGGGUACAACAAGUAUCAAUUAGAAACCAGCAAUUAAAUGUAGAGAAAUCGUAACUCAAUUAUUAAUAAAAAUCAGGAAAUCAAAGACAAGUUCACGGCAUCACCCUUCGUGCUUUAACACUCUCUCACCAAAACAAUACACGGCAUCACCCUUUGUGCUUUAACACUCCCUCACCAAAACAAUACAUGGCAUCACCCUUCGUGUUUUACACUCUUCCUCACCCAAGUAACAAAUCACAAGGCAAAUGGGGUAAGGGAAUCUAUAACAUCGAAAUAAAAUCAAGUAACAAUAGAAAAAUCACUAAGUAAACGUAAAGGACAACACAACUCAAUUAUCAGCAAGAAACAGGAAAAUCAAGGACAAGUGCAUGGCAUCACCCUUCGUGCUUUUAAUCUCGUCCUCACCAUAAGAAUCAACAUAAACUGCACGGCAUCACCCUUCGUGCUUUUACUCUCAUCCUCACCAUAAAAUCAAUAUGAUUGGCAUAGAAUGGUACAUCGUGUGGCACGGCAUCACCCUUCGUGCUUUACACUCUUUCGUCACAAAUCAUGCACGGCAUCACCCUUCGUGCUUUAACACUCUUCCUCACCCAAAUAACAAUCACAAACAAUAGGGAAAUGGAAUAAAUGAAACUACAGUAAGAAUCCCGGCAAGGGAACAAUAGUUCAACAAUCAAGUCCCGACAAGGGAACAACAUCAAAGAAGCAUCAACAUCCUAGCUAGGGAGAUAACAUCAAAACAAUAAAUUCUCGGCAAGGGAGAUAAUAUAAUGAUUCUCUUCUCUUUUUCACUUUUACUUCACAACUCACUUCACAACCUUGAGUCAAUGCUCUAAAAGUUUCAAUUUCCACUUAUACUUUCACAUUUCAUUGUACAACUUGAGCCAACGCUCCUCAAUGUUCAAAUGUCACCACUACUUCCACAAACUUUGCACAACAAUAGAAAUCAUCAUUAAAGCAUGAAUAAUACAACAAAGCCAUAAUAAUCACAAAAUAAGACUGACGAGCAUACUUGACACCAACGUAUAGAUACUCGUCACCAUGCCUAUACGUCGUACUCGACAAAUACCACAUAGCAAAUAGGACUCGACUCUUAAUCACUCAAGCUAAGGUUAGACCAAACACUUACCUCGAUGCCACGAACACAAUUCACGUCUCAACUAUAGCUUUACCUCUUGAUUCCACCACCAGUUCGCUCGUAUCUAGCCACAAGUUACUUAAUUAAAUCAAUAAAUGCUAAAUGAAUCAACUCCAAUGCAUGAAAAUGAGUUUUCCAAAGUUUUACCCAAAAAGGCAAAAAUCUCCCCCGGGCCCACAGGGUCAAAACCCGAGGUUCGAACCAAAACCCAAUUACCUAUUCCCCCACGAACUCAAAUAUAUAAUUUAUUUUGAAAUCGGACCUCAAAUCGAGGUCCAAAUCCCCAAUUUUUGAAAAACCUAGGUUCUACCCAAAACACUCAAUUUCCUCCAUGAAAAUCAUUGAUUUUGAGUUGAAAUCAUGUGAAAAGAUGUUAAUAAUUGAAGGAAAUGAGUUAAAAUUGACUUACAAUCGAUUUGGAAGAAGAGUUGUCUUUGAAAAAUCGCCCAAGAGAUUUUUGGUUUUGAAAGAGUGUGAAAAAUGGGAGAUUUUCGGCUAAGUAUAAAAAUUGCAGGUUGCAGAUAUGGGAAUUGCGACCAGGGUUCGCAAUUGUGAACCCUGACCUCUGAUAUACACGCAUUCGCGAAGGGGUUCUCGCAUUUGCGAGUGAGAAAUGCGAAGGAUAUGUCGCAUUUGCGAUGACUGGCUAAAAGGGGAAGUAUCGCAUUUGCGAUAGAAUCCUCACAAUUGCGAGGUAGGCUGGCCUAGGCUUCUUUCACAUUUACGACAUACCUCUCGCAUUUACAAUCUUGCAUUUGUGAGCCAAGCUUUGCAAAUGCGAAGCCUGCAGGCCUGCAAUGCAACAACUGAAAGUCUGCAAUUCACCAAGUCCAAAAUCCACCCCGUGGCCUAUCCAAAACUCACCCGAGCCCUUCGAGUUCCAAACCAAACAUGCACACCCAUCUAAAAAUAUCAUACAGACUCGCUCGUGCAUUCAAAUCACUAAAACAACAUAAACAACUAUGAAUUUAGCAUCAAAAUCAUGAAAUCUUCUUAAGAACUUUAAAUUUCCAAUUUUCUAAAAAAUGAUCCGAUUCACGUCGUUUCAAGUCUGUUUCUUACAAAAUUUCACAAACUUAUCUUACAUAACAUAUAAGACCUGUACCGGGCACCAAAAUCAAAAUACGGGCCCAAUACCAUCAAGUUUUAAUCACAAUUCAUUUCCAAAUCUCAUAAAUAAUUUCAGAAAAUAAUUUUCUUUGAAAAUUCAUUUCCCGGGCUUGAGACCUCGGAAUUCGAUUCCGGGCAUACACCCAAGUCCCAUAUUUUUCUACGAACCUUACGGGACCGUCCAAUCAUGGGUCCGAGUCCGUUUACCCAAAAGGUUGACCGAAGUCAACUUAAACUCAUUUUAAAUGCAAAAUUCAUCAUUUUUCAUAGAUUUUUACAAAUGGCUUUCCGGCUACGUGCUCGAACAGCGAACGCAAAUUGAGGUGAUGUCGAAAGAGGUUUUUAAGGCCUCGGAAUGCAGAAUUUACUUUUAAAACAAGUGAUGACCUUUUGGAUUAUCGCAAAGUCACUACAGCUCAUUUUCAACUUGCUACAUGCAAAUCCUUAAACUUACACAAGAAAUGCAUUCGAAUUUUACAACAAACACUACACUAAGUGAAUUAAUACAUUAUGCAGUUGAGUCCAGCCCUUUUUUCUUCUUCAUGUUUUGAAAAUUUCAAGUGCAUGUGAAUCUAUACAUCAAAUCAUGAGAUGGACACCUCUUCUGGCUUCGUUUCAACUACAAACACUCGAUCUAAACUGACGAAAAUAACUAUAUUUUAAACUGCAGAACAAGUAACAAAUCUACUCAUGAAUAGCACGAAUAACUAUAGAAACAUGCUAGUUUUACACAUUGAAAGAGGGAGAGAGCAUUCCAAAUUCACUCAAACUCGCUAAACCAUCAUUGAAAAGCAGUUAUCGACACAACUGAAUGAUUAACUAUUACGAGAAGCAUUCAUCUAUACCACAAACAUUCAUAUGAUAACAGGAACUUCAUAAUAUUAUAGCAUUUAACAGUCAUUUCAUUUUUCGAAGCAUAAAUUGAUACCUGGAAAAACAGCAGUGACAAACAAGAAAAUAAGAAUCUAAAUUUGACAAGCACAACUAGAAAUGGGAUGAGCUUGACAGAAACAGCAGCAAACAAACAGAGAAGGUAGCUCAACCAGAUUUGAACUCAGAACUUGGAAAACGACUGUGAGAUAAUGAAACAAACUAGGAAGCCUUUAGUUUUUUUGUUUCUGAAAUCCCAGAGUUGGUUUUUCAGAAGUUUUCUUUUAUAAAAAAAAAUGAAGAACAGUGAACUCUCAUAAAUCAGUGUAAAAUCAGUAAAAAAUUUGAACUUUAGAGAGUUUUCGUGUGUAAAAAUCUGUCUAUCCCCUAAAAUAAGUGUGUGAGUG